CUAUUUUAUGUACACACUUGGCCAUUAUGCAUUGGUCAAAUGAUGUAAUAUAUAUGUUCCUAUUUUCUAUAUAUACUUCACCAUCAAAUGAUGCAAUAUAUAUCGCCUUGGUUAUAUACAUUGUAUCACCUUCCCUUCGUUCACUGCUCUUAGAAAAAAAAGGGAGAGGAAAUAAAGGAAAAGAAAAUAGAAGAAACAAAUAGGAAAACUGCUACAGGUACUGGCUAUAGCAGUAGCGCUUUCUGUAGGAAAAUGUCAUCACUAUCGGUAAUAGCAGUAGCGCUUUCUGACAAAAACGAUAUAGCUAUCUGUAAUAGCAGUAGUGCGGUCUGUGCAAAAGCGCUAUAGCUAACUUAGCUAUAGCGUGUUUGUCCGGAACGUGCUACUGCUACCUCGACUUAACCCCCAAAAUCAUCACUCUCUCUGCUUCUUCCCGCCUUUGCUUUUCCCCCAAAUCCCCACUCUCUCUUCCCCCGUGGCAUCGCUGCCGGAGUCCUCGACCCCGGCGCUCGCCCCUGACCCUGGUGCUCGCCCCCGUCCCCGCGCUCGCCCCCAUUCCGGUGCUCGCCCCGGUCUCCCUCGACACCGAUGACCCUCAGUGUCGUGCCGUCUCCCCCAACCCCGCCUUACCUCGCUGACGCGCCGUCUCCCCCGACCCCAUCUCUCUCUCUCUCUGUCUUCCCUCUGUAAGCCCUCUCCCCUCCCCUCUUCUCUGCUAUUUAGUGCUAAUUAGUAUGAAAUAGUAUGAACCCUAGGAUAUUUUUUAGUGUAAGAAAAAACAGAAUUGAUUAUAUAGGUUUCUUGUAUUUUUUAGUUAAAAAAAUUGUUGUUAUUUAAAUGUUAUAGUGCUAUAGUUAGUUAACUAGAAUUAUUAUAUGAAACCUAGGAUAGAUUAGUUAAAGCAAUUGUUGCUAUUUAAAUUUUUUAGUUAAAGCAAUUGUUGCUAUUUAAAAAACAGAAUUUGAAGUGGACAGAUUAGUUCUAUAUUCUAAAAAACAUGACUUCUUGCAUUUUUCUUCAAGUUCUAUAUUUUCUUCCUUUUAUAUGCAAAUUUGAAGUGGACAUGUGGUAUGUUGACAUUUGAUAUGUGGACAUGUGAUUUGGACAUGUCAUAUUUGGAAUUUGGACAUGUCAUUUGGACAUGUGAUGUGCAGGGUAAAUGAUCCGAGUGGCCUAUGUUUCUCCAGAAUGUUGAUUCAUCUUCAUUCCAGUGAAUUUCAGGCUCUCAAUAUGUCCACUUUUUAGCAAGGUCAUGCCAAAAAAUUUCGUGAAUUUUGGCAUGACUUGUGCUAGAAAGUAGGCAUAUCGAGUGCCGAGAGUUGCUGGGAACGGCAUUUCGGCAAACAUAGAUCUUUUUUAUGUCAUUUCUCUUUUUUUAUAGUUUUAGAUUUAAACAAGGAGACUUAAUCAUAGGAAACAUGUCGAACAACGAAGAAAUCGGGCCUUCUGACCAAGAUGCAGACGAGAUGGAUUAUCAGGGUGAACAAGAGUACCUCGACUUUUUGCCUGCUAAGCAUAGUCAAGGUUUGCAGGUCGGCCUCGAUGAUGGUACUGACGCCGACAUCAACACCGCCGGCGCCGGCACCGAUGGCGGCGCCGGGACCGGCGGGGAAGAUACUGACGCCGAUGAUGCUACCGGAGAGAAGAAGCGGAAGAAGUAGAGGAUACGAAAACCUGACAAACUCGGCAUUGAACGACUGGUGAUCACAAAGAUGGCACCUGGCAAGUUUGAGCCAUUAGAGACGGAAGAAGCUCGCAAGUGCUAUGGGAACCAAGUAGGAUGCAUCCUACGGGAAUGCGCGAGCAUCAAACACGGUGACUUAAGGAGUAAAGAACAUUUGAGGCAGUUGCUCCAAACGAAGUUGCACAAGAGAUUCAAGUUCCCCGACUGGGAUGAUAGCAUAGAGCAACUGUGGGAUGAUCCGAAGAUGAAAAAGAUUAACAAUCAUGCCAUGGGCAUGUUCAACAAUGAUUUGGCCUCUUGGAAAGGGAGGUUGAAACGAGCUAUUGAGGCUGAGGAACCCUUGUCCAAGAUUCUAGAGGAAAAUCCGACACUUACGGAAGAGGAGUUCGAAAAGUUCAAGGACACUUGCGCUACCGAGGCAGCCAAGGCUAAGGCUGCAAAAUUCGAGAGCCUUCAUCAAAGGAACACGGGGAAGCAUCGCAUUGGAAGCCGUGGCUACCUUGGCAAAAGGCCCACAUGGGAUAAGGAGGAUGCGGAAUGUGAAGCCGCGGGUCUCCAAGACCCCUUCGCGAAGUUCACCAACCCCUUGGAGCGUGACUUCAUCAGGGGACACUACAAGUGGGACAAGGAAAAGAAGGUUUUUUACACGGACAGAACACAAGGACAUUGAUUAGAUUACUGGUAAUUAUUGUUUUACCCCCUUACAUUUAGCUCCUGAUCAAGUCGACUACACAUUCAUAAAUGAUUCACGUUCCUUCUACAGGAGAAGCAACACUAGCUUGCAGCUGAAAGCCCUACUUCGCUGAUGAGGCCCAAGUGGGACACCCAUCUCAACCGGGCCUUGAACGAACUAAAGGGAGUCCCUUUGGGCCAGCGGCCGCAAUAUGGACGUGUGCACGGCGCCGGAGACAGCGCCAUGUGGAAGGUGUUUUACAAGGAGGGCCUAGAGGCCAAGAAGCGGAAAAAGAAGUUUAUUUAGGCUAACAUCGAUGAUAAGGUGAUGCUUGCAGUCGAGAAAAAAGCAGUUGAGGACACGCAAAAAGCAGCAGAGGAGAAACAUGAUUUGCUACAAUAGGCAGUAGAUGCAGCUGUAAAUGCAUGCAGAAAUGAUUUCGCUACUAACUUGGUCCCGACUAUCAUCAACUAGAUGAAGGAAAAUCCAGACAAUACAGUACAUGAUUUCCCCAUCCCUAGUUUUGUCGGGAGGAACUCGGUGAACAACACCACCGCACCAUCACCUGCUCACGCAAGCGGGCCUGCUCUCGCACCCACACCCGCACCCGCUCAUAGCAGCCCGUCCUCAGUCUCUGGCACGCUAGGCGGGCCUUCGUCUUUGGCUGAGCUCGACGCCCUCACGGUAAUUACAUGUCACACCAGCAUAUAUAUCUAGAAUAUUCCAUUUUCAUUGCCUUUCGGAUGUUUUACGCUGCAGAGAUGUGUUUGCAGGCUGACGAAACCCCGUGCGCCAUACUCUACUUGAUCAACGGCCAGAAGGUGGACGUCAGAAAGGGGGUGAUAAUGAAGCCCUUGCAACUCACGUUCCACAACCAGCCGAUGCCCGUUGGGCACUUCAGGGUUAACUUGUCGAGUGUGAAAUCAGGGCAUGAGGAUUUGCCUCCUCCAUUAUGGCUAGGGUGAUAGGACGAUGAGACCCCGCUGCAGAUUGGAAGUUGCAAGGGUUGGGUGCUACUACGGGCGAAGAAUAUUCUUCAUCUGGAGCCGGCCGAUAGCACACCAAUAACAACACAUCAACAAGCAUGUAUGGAGACGACCACCCCGCCUACGCAAUUACCAGCUCAUGUAGUGCCGGGUGAGAGCGGCGGACGACGUGAUGAAGGGGGUCCAAUAGUGGCUGAUGUAAUCGGCCCCGUAGAACAAAGAAUGGAUGAUGAGAUGGAGGAGACGGAGGACCCAAUGGGUUUCCUCAAUACACGUGCCUAUGACAGUGACUUAUAUAUGAUGAGUCAGCCAUAUGACGAAUUGGGCUAUCAGCAUGUUGAUGAGGAUAUGGAUGAUCUGCCCGGGCAGGAAUGUCCUAGCAGGGAUUGCAAGAAGUCUCUCUUCAUGAAAUGCCCACAGGACACGCCUGAGAUGCCGCCUCAAAACAAGCUCAACUAGUCGGGGGUCGUACAGUGCUUAGCCCGGCAACACUGGGGCAGGGAUUAAGGAAGGGUCUGGAAGGUGUGCGCAACAAAAAGGAGAGGAAGAGACUGGGGAAGAUAGGCUCAGCUUCCUGCAAACAAGCGAGAGCACAUAGGAGCCAGAUGGUGGAUUCUGAGGAGGUACCCGUCAAAGGUGCGGCCAUGUUCCAUGUCAAGGGCGAGCCGAUGCUACCACCGAAAUUGCUGGAGGCACUAUCAGGGGAUCUCAAAAUACUGCACGACCAUGUGUUGUCGACUGAGACAAGCCUACUAGCCUCGAAGGAUCCAGGAUAUCCGACAUACGCGGCUUGUGUGCAUGAGUGGAAGUGCUAUGUCGACACACGGCCCGCGAGGUGUUCUUCCUGUGGUUUGACCAUAUCUUCGAGAUGUUUUUGACAAGGAGGCUCGAUUUUACAAUCGUCCGCCUUUUUGUGCUACAUAUGAGCUCCAUCAUGAAGAGAGAAGAAGUCUCGCAAAUCUGUGUUGCGGAUCCAUACUACAUGCACGAGUCCUUCUUGAGUCUCGACGACUUUGAACGUGAAACUACUAGGGAGUACCUCCAAAACUUCAUGGUACAGAAUAAGGACUAGGAAAUUGUCCUCCUGCCUUAUCAUCCAAAGUAAGUCAGUUUCGGACAACCCUUUUAUACAUUUCAAUCAUUCCUUCCCGCUCAUAUGGAGAAUAAUAUGACGUGUCUUUUCCCAGCAGCAACGGGCGCGCCGUCCUUAUCAUUCAUUACCCGUGAGUCUCCCACGCCGUGUAUUUGGACCCUACCAGAAACUACAAGAAGAAGGACUACACCCACAUAAUGAAUAUUCUAGGUGAUGCUCUCCAAGGCUUCAGCAUUAGGGGUGGCCACCUGCAGAUCAGGAAACAAAGGAACGAGAACACGGGUUUCGCGCAUAAAACUAACUUCUUCUGCAUCCAUGUCCUAAAACCAAGCAAGAAAGAUGGAUUCUACAUCCUCCAUCUCAUGAUUGAGUUCAUCACGGGUCACCAAAAGCUUCGCAUGACAAACAGAAAUGAUGAUCAUAUCCGCAAGUGGGUAGAAUCUCAUGGUGAAGCAGAUUAUAAACUUGGAGAUGACUUCUUUCGCGUCCAAAGGGACAUUGCAACGAUCAUCAUGAAAGAAGUCGUCGAUGAGAAGGGGAUGUUCCACCACGGUCCUAUAUCGCGAGAUGACGUCUGAAAUCGCAUAGGCAUGCAACGUUAUGACCUCACAUCCUUCAAGAAGCUAGGGUCCAUCCUCGAUGAUAUGGAAUGAUGGAACUUCUAGUGAUUUACGAUGCCGAUGAUGAUGAUAUGUGUCGGUUGAACUUGUAUAAUUUCUGUAGCAAUGAAACUUUGUGAUGUCCACGGUCCCUGCCGAACUUGCCUAAUGCUACUUUGUUGGUUUGGGUACGAUGACCUGCGUACCUCUAGUUAAUUAGUUUGUGUACUAUAGGUUGCAUCUAGUUGCUAACCCUUUCUUUUUCGUGUUGCUCUAGUAUAUUUUGUUGCAUAUGAUUGUACAUUCUCUUGAUGAAGAUGCAUCUCUAACAGGUACCUAGCUUCUUGAUGGCGAGGAAGCAGUGCUAUUUCGUGUACAAAGGGAAGGUUCUGGGGAAGCAGUGCUACAACGAGUGGCCUGAGUGUUAGGCGCAAGUGAAUGGGGUCUCGGCGCCAGCCAUAAAGGCUUCAAAAGCAGACAAGAAGCAGAAGCUAGUUACUUGAGGUUCACGCUAGCGCGAGAGAGGACUUGUAACUGCUGCCUCAUGUACUGCAUAGUUCCGCUCUCACUCAUAGUGAUAGCUCUUCUCGCGUAUAUCAUUGUUUAGAUGGAUGACGAUGUAGUUACAAGUAUUCGAGACUUGUAUCACUAUUUUCGAAAUGAUGACGAGAGACCACUUUCUGUUGGAUGAUGAUUAUGAUGAUGGCCACCUUGUAUCGCUAUGUAUAUGCUAUGAUUACAUUUGUAUGUGUAUGAUGUGCUAAAGAUUAUUGUAUACAGCCCAAAACAAAAUUCAGGACCACAAAAUGUGGAGCAGAAAAAAAAACUAAUAACAGCAGCGUGGGGUAUGGCAUUAGCAGCAGCGAGCUCUUAGUAGUAGCACUCUUUGCACAAGGGCGCUGCAGCUAUUAUCAGCAGCGCGUGUUGCAGACAAACGCUGCUGCUAUCCCUAGUUAGUAGUAGCGAUGGUCAGGUCGCGCUACUGAUAAACAUUAGUUGUAGCGCCGUAUCAGUAGUGCGGCCACCCGCGCUACUGAUAAGCAUAUAACACGUGCUACUACUAGGCUUUUCCCUAGUAGUGGUGGGUUGCCGACCGUUGUCGGAGAAGCUUCGUUCGAUUUGUGUGGUGUCCACCAUGAGCUGGCUGUGGGUGGCCUCGACAUGGUCAUGGGAGGUCUCCAACAGGGCUAAGGCCGCCGUGUGAAACAGAUAGUUGUUGCGCCACUCUCGCCAGUUGCUAUCCCUGAGGCGAAUAUUGCUGCCGCCACCUGAGAAGCAACAGCGGCCGUUUGGGCUGCCUUGGCCGCCCGGUCGCAGAUUGUGGCCGAGUGCACGAAGCUUGUUCGCACGCGCCUGGCGGCUGCAGCCGCGCUCUCGCCAAAGUGGGCCGCCGAAGUUUCCCUCAUGAAGCGGGUCCAUGUCCCCAUCUUUCACCGGCGACGAUUGAAUAGUGAAAUGAUAUUUGGGAGCGAGCUAGUGUGCUUGAUGCGUCGGCUGUGGACUAUAGUCGACGCACCUUCUCAUGUAAGUCGUGUGCGUACUAUACACCGAUGGUGCUCCAGGAUAUUUUGUACUGCAUCUGACAAGGUUGGUGAUAAUAAAUUGUGUGUGAUCUACUUGAUUUUUCAUCUUGAUUUGAAUUACAUAAUGGGGUCACAGCUGCAAAGUAUGGUGUUUGAAUUCCUCGAACUUUUAUCUGCAGUGAACAUGCAACUAUAGGUGUGUCGUCAAAAAAUUGGAAUUAUUCAGUGUUUGUUUGGACAUUUUUAUACAUUACCUUGGUUUUCUAGGCAUUUGAGGUGCACAAUUCAAAAUUAAACUACAUGCACAUGCUCCGGUGCACCAAAAUAGGUUGUAAAAUGAUAUAUGUGUCCAUGGGUUGAUGCUUAUACCCCAUUCAAGAAAUGGGGAUGAAUUUCAAACACCACGGCACCGUGGCUCUCCGGCAAACAUUGAGGUGCUUGCUUUUGUAAUUCUAGUAAAUAUGAAAUUCAUGAACCCUUGCUGCUAUCAUGGAACGAUGUCAACAUGCUGGGGUAAAAAAUAUUAUCCCAUUUGGGACAGUUUAUGGUAUAAGCUUCUCACAAACCAGAGCUUCUCACAAGAAGCCUCAUGUUUCCGUUAGGGAAACAUGUCACCUUUGUGGACAAAACGAUAUUCGUCGCCUCUUCUUCCUUUCAAUUUUUUCCUGGUGUCAACAUAGAACAACAGAGUGUGGUGUUAAAUUUUGGAUUUUUUCGGGGAUCGUUUGGACAUUUUAUACAUUAACUAAGUUUUCUAGGCAUUUAUGUGCAUAAUUCAAAAUUGAACUACAUGCACAUGCUCCAAUCCAUACAAAAGGGUUGCAAAAUCAAAUGUUUGUCCUUGGUUGCAAGCUUAGGUCACGUGCAAGAAAUGAGAAUGAAUGUCAAACACCUUGACACUGUCGCUCGGCCACUAACAUUGAGAUACAUGGUUUUAAAAUUCUAGUAAAUCGAAAACUCUACUGAGAGUCAUGAAACUUGACAUGAUAUCAUGGAACGGCAUCAACAUGCUGUGGUAAAAAUAUUGUCCCAUUUGUUGCAGGUUUGGGUAUAAGCUUCUCGCAAACCAGGGUUUCUCUCACAACAAGCCUCAUGGUUUUGAUAGGGAACGUGCCACCUUGGGGGACGAAACGAUAUCUGUUGCCUCUUCUUACUUUCAAUUUUUUUCUCUUGUCAACAUAGAAGAACAGGAGUGUUGUGUCAAUUUUUGGGAUUUUUCGGGGUUUGCUUGGACAUUUUUAUAGAUUAACUGAGUUUCCUAUACAUUAAUGUGCAUAAUUCAAAUUUUAACUACAUCCACAUGCUCCAGUGCAUAUAAACGGGUUGAAAAAUGAAAUGUGUGUCAUUGGUUGCAACCUUAGGUCCCAUGCAAGAAAUGGGAAUGAAUGUCAAACACAUUUGCCAUGUCGCUCGCCCGCUAACAUUAAGAUACAUGGUUUUGAAAUUCUAGUAAAUCGAAAACUCGUCUUAAAUUUGAUGACCCACAAGUGUAUGGGGCAAUUUUUGUCCUUUUCGAUAAGUAAGAGAGCCGACCCCAACGAGGAGCAGAAGGAAAUUACAAGUGGUUUUCAGCAAGGUACUGUCUGCAAGUGCUAAAAUUGUGAGUAGCGGAGUAGUUUGAUAGCAGGAUAAUUUGUAACGAGCAAGUGACAAUAGUAGAAACAAAAUUGCAGCAAGGUAGCCCAAUCCUUUUCAGGCCAAAGGAAGGCCAAAACGGUUUCUUAUGAUAAGCAAAGUGUUCUUGAGGGUACAUGGGAAUUUCAUCUAGCCACUUUCAUCAUGUUGGCUUAAUUCGUGUUCGGUACUUUGAUAAUUUGAUAUGUGGGUGGACCGGUGCUUAGGUUCUGUUCCUACUUGAAAAAACCUCCUACUUAUGAGUAACCCUCUCGCAAGCAUCCACAACUACAAGAAAAGUAUUAAGAAUAAAUUUUAACCGUAGCAUUAAACUUUUGGAUCCAAUCGGUCCCUUAUGGAAUAGCGCAUAAAAUGGGGUUUAAUCUUCUGUCACUCUCGCAACCCACCAUCUAAUAACUACUCCACAAUGCAUUCCCUUAGGCCCAAACAUGGUGAAGUGUCAUGUACUCGAUGUUCACAUGACACCACUAAGAGAAUGGCAACAUACAUACCAUCAAAAUAUCGAACACAUAUCAAGUUCACAUGAUUACUUGCAACAUGAUUUCUCCCGUGACUUCAAGAACAAAAGUGACUACCGGCAAAUGAUAAACAUUCUCAAGAUCAGAGGGGUAUUAAAUAGCAUACUGGAUCUGAACAUAUAAUCUUCCACCAAAUAAACCAUAUAGUAAUUAACUACAAGAUGUAAUCAACACUACUAGUCACCCGCAAGCACCAAUCUAUAGUUUCGAUACAAAGAUUGAACACAAGAGAUGAACUAGGGUUUGAGAGGAGUUGGUGUUGUGAAGAUGUUGAUGAAGAUAGCCCUCCCCAAGAUGGGAGAGUAGUUGGUGAUGAUGAUGACGAUGAUUUCCCCCUCCGGGAGGGAUGUUCCCCCGGCUAAAUCGCUCCGCUAGAGGGAAAAAGUGCUCCUGCCCAAGUUCCGCCUCAAGGCGGCGGCGCUUCGUCCUGAAUGUCCUCCCCUUCUUUUUUCUAGAUGAAAAUGACUUAUAUACCAGAAGAUGGGCACCAGAGGUGGGCCGAGAAGGCAGCACCCACCAGGGUGCGCCUGGGCCUCCGGGUGCGCCCAGGUGGGUUGUGCCCACCUGGUGGCCCUCCUCUGGUACUUAUGUGCUCCAAUAUUCAUUAAAUAUUCCAUAAAAAUUUCUCGGGGAGUUUCAGCUCAUUAGGAAUUGUGCAGAAUAGGUAGCUUGACGUAGCUUUUUCAGGUCCAGAUUUCCAGCUGCCAGAAUUCUCCCCCUUGGUGCAUACCUUGCAUAUUGUGAGCGAAAAGGCAUUAGAAUUACUCCAAAAAGCAUUAUUAUAUAAUAAAAGAACAUAAAUAACAGUAGGAAAACAUGAUGCAAAAUGGGCGUAUCAACUCCCCCAAGCUUUGACCUGGCUUGUCCUCAAGCGAAAACCGAAAUCGAAAAACACGUCCACAUGCUUAGAGAGAGAGGUAUCAAUAAAAACAAAAAUACGGAGAUAGCAGCAUCAUGUGACUUAUUAUCACAGCAACAAACCUUAAUAUAAAACUUUUAUCAUAGAACUUUAACACAGACUUCUUAUGAACAAGUGACAAUUCAUCACAACAUCAAACUAUAAAGCAUAAACUCUAUUGGAAACCAACAAACUAUGUUCUCAGUCAACUUUGCAACUACAAUUCAUCAUAUUUUCAGGAAGGGUCACGUAUCAGAGCCUUUAGGCAAGGCACAUACUCAACCAUCAUUUAGUCUUCUAUGAUUUCUAACACUCACCUCGUACACGUGAGCAAAACGUUUCAACCGGACACAUAGGAAGAUAGGGGCUUAUAAUUUCGCCUCCCAACGCACUCACCUCAAGGGUGAUGUCAACAAUAAUAACUUACGCUACCCAUAUUCAACUGGACAUAUGUGCCUAGAUCUUUCCUCACCACAUGAUGCUUGCCAAAGGGGAAAGUUAAAAGGAAUAGAGAGAAAAACUUUGACUCUUGCAUGAAAGUAAAUACAUGAAAGUAAAGGAUAGGCCAUUCGUAGAGGGAAGCAGAGGUUGCCAUGCGCUUUUUAGUUUGUAUGCUCAACCCCUUAGUGCAAGAGAACGUAAACGUUAUAUUGCCCCUUUUGAUGGCAACCUUUAUUAUGCAGUCUGUCGCUUUUAUUCUUCACCAUCACAAGUUUGUAGAACGCUCAAUUUUCCCUUACACUAAAGGAUCUCACAUUUUUAUAAGCAAUUUUUAUUACCCUUUUUGCACCGAUGACAACUUAAUUGAAGUAUCUUAAUCAAUCCAUUGGUAGCUAUGGUGGACUCUCAAACAAGAUAGGGUUUAAGGGUUUUGGAUGCACAAGUAGUAUCUCUACUUAGUGCGGAAUUUUUGGCUAGCAAAGAUAGGGGCAAGCACCACAUGUUGAAGGAUCUAUGACACUAUAACUUCUAUGUGAAUAUGAACAAACAUAAAUCAUUAAGUUGUCUUCCUUGUCCAACGUCAACAAUUUUGGCAUAUAAUAUUUUGAUGGGUGCUCACAAUCACAAAAGAUUUCUAAGAUAGUAUAUUUAUAUGUAAAUCGUCUCGUCCCUUAUUAAUUCUUUCAUGUGUUGCAUCAUUGACCAAUGCUAUGUUUAUCAAUCUACAAGAAAAUUUUCUACUUAUACUUUUCCUUGUGUAAUGUCAUCACUUACCAUAAGAUUAGCAUAUGAUAUUUCUUUUUAUUUCGUUUCUUUUUAUUGCAACAAGAAAGUAAAGAAGGCAACACUCAAAUUAAACUUUAUUAUAUAUCUCGCACACGAUUACAAGGAUUGAUUUCUAAACAAACUCACAAAAAGAAAGGAUCGAACUAAACUUUUAUUCAUAUAAAGGCAAAAGAUAGUGGAGAUUGAUACGAUACCGGGCCACCUCCCCCAAGCUUGGCGAAAGCCAAGGGGAGUGCCCAUACCCAAUACUCAGUUUUCUUUUGGUGGUGAUGAAGAAGAUGGUGGUGAUGAAGUAGUGGGUUUGCCAUUCUUCCUCAGCUUACACUUGAGGACGGAAUUCUCAUAUUUUAGUUCAUGGAUGUCCUCCAACACCUUUUUGCACAAGUCUUGCUUAUUUUCCUGCAAGAGACGAAAAGGGGUAAACUGGAUCUUAGGCAUCUUUGCUUCUUAAAUUCAACGUGCAUGUCCCCAGGUUGAGGCAAUGGAACUUCAUCCUCCUCCGAGCUUGUCUCCUCCUUCUUCUCAGGAUCAAAGUCUUCUUCUUCCUCCAAAGUCCAUCCAUAGUGUUCUACAUCCCUAGGGACCUUGGAGUUUGCAAUAUAGUCAACAACAUAACUCUCACCCUCCGAGUCUUGGGACGACAUAAUUCCAAAUAUGACAGGAAAACAGAGAGAAAAGAAAACAGGGGAUUUCUCCGUGAUACGGAGGUUAACAGGUUCGGGAGGUAUAUAUAGAUUUUUUAUGUUGGGGAACAAGCAGAACGGAAGAAAAACGGAGUCCAAAAAGUACCCGAGGUGGGCACAACCCACCUGGGCGCGCCAGGCUUGCCUGGCGCGCCCUGGUGUAUCGUCCCCACCAGGGUCACUUUCCUGGAAGUUUCUUAUUUUCCUAAUUUUCUAAAUAUUCCAAAACUAACAAAACAAUAUUUUUGCGGAUUUUUCAGAGUCCGUUUACUUUCCAUAUCAUGUACCUCCUUAUUUUCACGAUUCUGGAGUGUUCCAGAAGGACUCUUUUAUGUGUUCUUCCAGUGUCAAAGUUUGGAUAACAUUGCUUUCAACAUUAAUGGGUGUACCUGAGAUAUAGUGUUUUAUUCAUUGCACAUUGACAACCUUCGGGUUAGUCCCUUUGGCAUUAUUUAUCUUGAUAGCUCCGGAUCGGUAGACCUCCUCGAUGACAUAGGGUCCUUCCCAUUUGGAGAGGAGUUUUCCUGCAAAGAAUCUGAAACGAGAGUUGUACAAAAGAAUAUAGUCUCCUACUUUGAAAUCACGCUUUUUUGGAUUCUUUUAUCAUGCCAUCUAUUAACUUUUUCUUUGAAUAACUUAGCAUUUUCAUAAGCCUGGGUUCUCCAUUCAUCUAAUGAGCUAAUAUCAAAUAACCUAUUUUCCACAGCAAGUUUGAAAUCAUAAUGGAGUUCUUUUAUUGCCCAAAAUGCUUUGUGUUCUAACUCAACAGGCAAAUGACAAGCUUUUCCAUUAACCAUUUUAUAUGGAGACAUACCCAUAGGAUUUUUAUAAGCCGUUCUAUAAGCCCAAAGUGCAUUAUCUAAUUUCUUAGACCAAUUCUUCCGGGACCUAUUGACAGUCUUUUGUAAGAUUAGUUUUACUUCUCUAUUGCUAAGUUCACUUGAUCACUAGACUAAGGAUGAUAAGGUGAAGCAAUUCUAUGGAUAACAUCAUACUUAGCAAGCAUCUUACAGAAAGCACCAUGAAUAAAGUGUGAACCACCAUCAGUCAUUAAAUAUCUAGGGACUCCAAACCUUGGAAAAAUAACUUCCUUAAGCAUUUUAAUAGAGGUGUUGUGAUUAGCACUACUGGUUGGAAUAGCUUCUACCCACUUAGUAACAUAAUCAACAUCAACCAAAAUAUGUGUGUACCCAUUAGAGGAAGGAAAAGGUCCCAUGAAGUCAAAUCCCCAAACAUCAAAUGGUUCAAUAGCAAGUGAAUAAUUCAUAGGCAUUUCUUGAUGCUUACCGAUAUUACCUAUUCUUUGGCAUUCAUCACAUGAUAGAUGAUUUUACGGGCAUCCUUGAAGAGAGUAGGCCAAUAAAAACCAGAUUGCAAUACCUUAUGAGCGGUUCUAUCUCCCGCGUGAUGUCCUCCAUAAGCUUCAGAGUGACAUUUCCGUAGGAUUUGUUCCUGUUCAUGCUCAGGUACACAACAUCUAAUAAUACCAUCUACUAAUUCUUUGUAAAGAUGUGGGUCAUCCAAAAUUAAUGUCUUAAAUCAUAGAAGAAUUUCUUCUUUUGUUGGUAUGUGAAGCUAGGUGGUAUUUAUUUAGCCACAAUAUAAUUAGCAUAGUCAGCAUAACAAGGUGUACUAUGAGAAACAUUUAUUGCAGCUAGUUGUUCAUUAGGAAAGCUAUCAUUAAUAGGUUGUGGGCCAUCAAGAAUAUUUUCAAGUCUAGACAAGUUAUCAGCUACGGGGUUCUCUGCUCCUUUCCUAUCAGUGAUAUGUAAAUCAAAUUCUUGUAGUAGAAGAACCCACCUAAUGAGUCUUUUAGCAUCUUUCUUUUCCAUAAGAUAUUUUAUAGUAGCAUGAUCGGUGUGAACAAUUACCCUAGAAUCAAUCACAAGCAAACACCACUGCUAAGAAUUAUUUUUCAGUAGUAGCAUAGUUUCGUUGAGCACUGUCUAGAGUUUUACUACCAUAAUGAAUAACAUUUAGUUUCUUAUCAACUCUUUGUCCUAGAACAACACCAACAGCAUAAUCACUAGGAUCACACAUAAUCUCAAAAGGCAAGUUCCAAUCAGGUGGUUCAACAACAUGUGCAGUAAUUAAGGCUUUCUUUAGUGUUUCAAAGGCUUCCAUGCAAUCGUCAUCAAACACAAAGGGAAUAUCCUUUCGCAAAAUAUUAGUAAGAGGCCUAGAAAUUUUAGAAAAGUCUUUGAUAAACCUCAUAUAGAAACCAGCAUGACCAAGGAAACUACGAAUACCUUUGAUAUCUUUAGGCCAUGGCAUUUUCUCAAUUGCAUCAACUUUGGCUUUGUCCACCUCAAUGCCUCUUUCAGAAAUUUUAUGGCCCAAGACAAUACCUUCAUUAACCAUAAAGUGGCACUUCUCCCAAUUCAAGGCGGGAUUUUUUUUGUUCACAUCUCUGUAAGUCUCGAUCAAGAUUGCUUAAACAAUCAUCAAAAUACUUCCCAUAAACAGAAAAUUCAUCCAUGAAAACCUCAACAAUCUUUUCACAAAAAUUAGAGAAUAUAGCAGUCAAACAUCUUUGAAAGGUAGCAGGUGCAUUAUAUAAACCAAAAGGCAUACGUAUGUAAGCGAAUGUUCCAAAAGGACAAGUAAAAGUGGUCUUUUCUUGAUCAGAUUGUAAAGCAGGUAUUUGUGAAAAGCCAGAGUAUCCAUCAAGGAAGCAAAAAUGUGUGUGCUUAGAUAAUCUUUCUAACAUUUUAUCAAUAAAAGGUAGAGGGUAAUGAUCUUUUCUGGUAGCUUUAUUUAAUUUUCUAUAAUCAAUUACCAGUCUAUAGCCUACGACAAUUCUUUGUGGAAUAAGCUCAUUCUUAUCAUUAGGAACAACAGUAAUGCCUCCUUUCUUAGGAACACAAUGAACAUGACUUACCCAUCUACUAUCAGCUAUAGGAUAGAUUAUACCUGCUUCCAGAAGUUUCAAUAUUUCCGUUCUUACCACUUCUUUCAUUUUCGGAUUUAACAGACGUUGGUGAUCGACAACGGGUUUAGCAUCAGGUUCCAUAUUAAUCUUGUGCUGACAUAGAGUGGGACUAAUGCCCUUAAGAUCAUCAAGAGUAUAUCUAAUAUCAGCCUUGUGCUUCCUUAGAACUUUCAAUAAACUUUCUUCUUCAUGUUCUGAGGUUAGCACUAAUAACAAUAGGAUAUAUCUUCUUUUCAUCAAGAUAAGCAUAUUUUAGAGUGUCUGGUAAUUAUUUUAAUUCAAACACAGGAUCACCUUUAGGUGAAGGAGGACCUCCUAGAGUUUCAAUAGGCAAAUUGUGUUUAAACAGAGGUUGUUGUUGUUGGAAAUAUGCCCUAGAGGCAAUAAUAAAUAAGUUAUUAUUAUAUUUCCCUGUUCAUGAUAAUCGUUUAUUAUCCAUGCUAUAAUUGUAUUGAUAGGAAACUUAGAUACAUGUGUGGACACAUAGACAACACCAUGUCCCUAGUAAGCCUCUAGUUGACUAGCUCGUUGAUCAAUAGAUGGUUACAGUUUCCUGACCAUGGACAUUGGAUGUCGUUGAUAACGGGAUCACAUCAUUAGAAGAAUGAUGUGAUGGACAAGACCCAAUCCUAAGCCUAGCACAAAGAUCGUAGUUCGUAUGCUAAAGCUUUUCUAAUGUCAAGUAUCUUUUCCUUAGACCAUGAGAUUGUGCAACUCCCAGAUACCGUAAAAAUGCUUUGGGUGUACCAAACGUCACAACGUAACUGGGUGGCUAUAAAGGUGCACUACAGGUAUCUCCGAAAGUGUCUGUUGGGUUGGCACAAAUCGAGACUGGGAUUUGUCACUCCGUGUAAAUGGAGAGGUAUCUCUGGGCCCACUCGGUAGGACAUCAUUAUAAUGUGCACAAUGUGACCAAGGGGUUGAUCACGGGAUGAUGUGUUAUAGAACGAGUAAAGAGACUUGCCGGUAACGAGAUUGAACAAGGUAUCAGUAUAUCGAUGAUCGAAUCUCGGGCAAGUACAAUACCGCUAGACAAAGGGAAUUGAAUAUGGGAUUGAUUGAGUCCUUGACAUCGUGGUUCAUCCGAUGAGAUCAUCGCGGAACAUGUGGGAGCCAACAUGGGUAUCCAGAUCCCGCUGUUGGUUAUUGACCGGAGAACGUCUCGGUCAUGUCUGCAUGGUUCCCGAACCCGUAGGGUCUACACACUUAAGGUUCGAUGACGCUAGGGUUAUAAAGGAAGUUUGUAUGUGGUUACCGAAUGUUUUUCGGAGUCCCGGAUGAGAUCCCGGACAUCACGAGGAGUUCCAGAAUGGUCCGGAGGUAAAGAUUUAUAUAUGGAAAGUUGUUGUUUGGGUUCCGGAAAAAGUUUGGGUUUUUUCGGUAUUGUACCGGGAAGCUUCCAGAAGGUUCCGGAGGAUUCCGGAGGGGUCCGUAGGUCUGGAAAUUGUUCCACCACGUCCAAUACAGCAGCAUGGGCUGUAGGGGGGCGCCCUAGCCUUAAUGGGCCAGGGGCACCAGCCCCCCAAGGCCCAUGCGCAUGGGAAGGGGAAAACCCUAAGGGGGAGGGCCUCCACUUGACUUGGGAGGCACUCCUCCCCCCCUUGGCCGCCGCCCCCUCCUCAGAUUGGAGCUGAGGGGGCCGGCCCCCCUCUCCCUUGCCCCUAUAUAUAUGUGGGGGGUGGGAGGGCAGCCGCACCACAAGUUCUGGCGCAGCCCUCCCCCUCUCCCAAGUACUCCUCCUCUCCAGCGGUGCUUGGCGAAGCCCUGCGGGAUUGCCACGCUCCUCCAUCACCACCACGCCAUUGUGCUGCUGCUGGAAGGAGUCUUCCUCAACCUCUCCCUCUCUCCUUGCUGGAUCAAGGCAUGGGAGACGUCACCGGGCUGUAUGUGUGUUGAACGCGGAGGUGCCGUCUGUUUGGCACUAGGAUCUCCGGUGAUUUGGAUCACGACGAGUACGACUCCUUCAACCCCGUUCUCUUGAACGAUUCCGCUUAGCGAUCUACAAGGGUAUGUAGAUGCACUCUCCUUCCCCUUGUUGCUAGUCUCUCCAUAGAUAGAUCUUGGUGACUCGUAGGAAAAUUUUGAAUUUCUGCUACGUUCCACAACAGUGGCAUCAUGAGCUAGGUCUAUGCGUAGUUUCUAUGCACGAGUAGAACACAAGUUGUUGUGGGCGUUGAUUUUGUUCAAUAUGUUUACCGUUACUAGUCCAAUCUUGUUUCGAUGGUAUUGUGGGAUGAAGCGGCCCGGACCGACCUUACACGUACACUUACAUGAGACAGGUUCCACCGACUGACAUGCACUUGGUGCAUAAGGUGGCUAGCGGGUGCCAGUCUCUCCCACUUUAGUCGGAACGGAUUCGAUGAAAAGGGUCCUUAUGAAGGGUAAAUAGCAAUUGGCAUAUCACGCUGUGGUUUUGCGUAGGUAAGAAACGUUCUUGCUAGAAACCCAUAGCAGCCACGUAAAACAUGCAAACAACAAUUAGAGGACGUCUAACUUGUUUUUGCAGGGUAUGCUACGUGAUGUGAUAUGGCCAAGAAGAAUGUGAUGAAUGAUAUGUGAUGUAUGAGAUUGAUCAUGUCCUUGUAAUAGGAUUCACGACUUGCAUGUCGAUGAGUAUGACAACCGGCAGGAGCCAUAGGAGUUGUCUUUAUUUAUUGUAUGACCUGCGUGUCAUUGAACAACGCCAUGUAAUUACUUUACUUUAUUGCUAACUGGUAGCCAUAGUAGUAGAAGUAAUAAGUUGGCAAGACAACUUCAUGGAGACACGAUGAUGGAGAUCAUGAUGAUGGAGAUCAUGGUGUCAUGCCGGUGACGAUGAUGAUCAUGGAGCCCCGAAGAUGGAGAUCGAAAGGAGCAAUAUGAUAUUGGCCAUAUCAUGUCACUAUUUGAUUGCAUGUGAUGUUUAUCAUGUUUAUGCAUCUUAUUUGCUUAGAACGACGGUAGUAAAUAAGAUGAUCCCUCAUUAAAAUUUCAAGAAAGUGUUCCCCCUAACUGUGCACCGUUGCGAAAGUUCGUCAUUUCGAAGCACCACGUGAUGAUCGGGUGUGAUAGAUUCUUACGUUCACAUACAACGGGCGUAAGCCAGAUUUACACACACGAAACACUUAGGUUAACUUGACGAGCCUAGCAUGUACAGACAUGGCCUCGGAACACAAGAGACCGAAAGGUCGAGCAUGAGUCGUAUAGUAGAUACGAUCAACAUGAAGAUGUUCACCGAUGAUGACUAGUCCGCCUCACGUGAUGAUCGGACAUGGCCUAGUUGACUCGGAUCAUGUAAUCACUUAGAUGACUAGAGGGAUGUCUAUCUGAGUGGGAGUUCAUAAGAUGAACUUAAUUAUCCUGAACAUAGUCAAAAGAUCUUUGCAAAUUAUGUCGUAAGCUCGUGCUUUAGUUCCACUGUUAGAUAUGUUCCUAGAGAAAAUAUAGUUGAAAGUUGACAGUAGCGAUUAUGCGGACAGUAGAAAGCUUAUGUCCUUAAUGCACCGCUUAGUGUGCUGAACCCCAAACGUCGUUUGUGGAUGUUGCGAACAUCGGGCAUACACGUUUUGAUAACUACGUGAUAGUUCAGUUAAACGGUUUAGAGUUGAGGCACCAAAGACGUUUUCGAAACGUCGCGGAACAUAUGAGAUGUUUUGAGGGCUGAAAUUGGGAUUUCAGGCUCGUGCCCACGUCAAGAGGUAUGAGACCUCCGACAAUUUUCUUAGCCUGCAAACUAAGGGAGAAAAGCUCAAUCGUUGAGCUUGUGCUCAGAUUGUCUGAGUGCGACAAUCACUUGAAUCGAGUGGGAGUUGAUCUUCCAGAGAUAGUGAUGUUUCUCCAAAGUCAUUGCCACCAAGCUGCUAGAGCUUCGUGAUGAACUAUAACAUAUCAGGGAUAGAUAUGAUGAUCCUUGAGGUAUUCACGAUGUUUGACACCGCGAAAGUAGAAAUCAAGAAGGAGCAUCAAUUGUUCAUGGUUGGUGAAACCACUAGUUUCAAGAAGGGCAAGGGCAAGAAGGGAUACUUCAUGAAACGGCAAAUCAGCUGCUGCUCCAGUGAAGAAACCCAAGGUUGAACCCAAACCCGAGACUAAGUGCUUCUGUGAAAAGGGGAAUAGUCACUAGAGCGGAAUUACCCUAGAUACUUGGUAGAUGAGAAGGCUGGCAAGGUCGAUAGAAGUAUAUUGGAUAUACAUUAUGUUAAUGUGUACUUUACUAGUACUCCUAGUAGCACUAGGGUAUUAGAUACCGGUUCGGUAGCUAAGUGUUAGUAACUCGAAAUAAAAGACAUGCGGAAUAAAUGGAGACUAGCUAAAGGUGAGCUGACAAUAUGUGUUGGAAGUAUUUCCAAGUUUGAUGUGAUCAAACAUCGCACGCUCCCUCUACCAUCAAGAUUAGUAUUAAACCUGAAUAAUUGUCAUUUGGUGUUUGCGUUGAGCAUAGACAUGAUUGGAUUAUGUCUAUCGCAAUACGGUUAUUCAUUUAAGGAGAAUAAUGGUUACUCUGUUUAUUUGGAUAAUACCUUCAAUGGUCUUGCACCUGAAAAGAAUGGUUUAUUGAAUCUCGAUCGUAGUGAUACACAUUUUCAUGCCAAAAGAUAUAAGAUAGUAAUGAUAGUACCACUUACUUGUGGCACUUCCAUGUAAGUCAUAUUGGUAUAAAACACAUGAAGAAGCUCCAUGUUGAUGGAUCUUUGGACUCACUCGUUUUUGAAAAGUUUGAGACAUGCGAACCACGUCUAUUCUUGUAUACGCAUGAAGAAACUCCAUGUAGAUGGAUCGUUUGGACUCACUUGAUUUUGAAUCACUUGAGAUAUGCAAAUCAUACCACAUGGGCAAGAUGACUGAGAAGCCUCGUUUUCAGUAAGAUGGAACAAGAUAGCAACUUGUUGGAAGUAACACAUUUUGAUGUGUGCAGUCCAAUGAGUGCUGAGGCAUGCAGUGAAUAUCGUUAUGUUCUUACUUCACAGAUGAUUCGAGUAGAUGUUGAGUAUAUUUACUUGAUGAAACACAAGUCUGAAUUAUUGAAUGGUUCAAGUAAUUUCAGAGUGAAGUUGAAGAUCAUUGUGACAAGAGGAUAAAAUGUCUAUGAUAUGAUCAUAGAGAUGAGUAUCUGAGUUACAAGCUUUGGCACGCAAUUAAGACAUUGUGGAAAUUUUUUCACAAUUAGUACCGCCUGGAACACCAUAGUGUGAUGGUGUGUCCGAACAUCAUAGUUGCACCCUAUUGAAUAUGGUGCGUACCAUGAUGUCUCUUAUCGAAUUACCACUAUCGUUCAUGGGUUAGGCAUUAGAGACAACCGCACUCACUUUAAUAGGGCACCACGUAAUUCCGUUGAGAUGACACCGUGAGAACUAUGGUUUAGAGAAACCUAAGUUGUCGUUUCUUAAAAGUUUGGGGCUGUGACGCUUAUGUGAAAAGGUUUCAGGUUGAUAAGCUCGAACCCAAAGCGGAUAAAAUGCAUCUUCAUAGGACACCCAAAACAGUUGGGUAUACCUCCUAAUUCAGAUCCGAAAGCAAUAGGGAUUGUUUCUUGAAUCGGGUCCUUUCUCGAGGAAAAGUUUGUCUCGAGAAGUUGAGUGGGAGGAUGGUGGAGACUUGAUGAGGUUAUUGAACCAUCACUUCAACCAGUGUGUAGCAGGGCACAGGAAGUUGUUCCUGUGGCACCUACACCAAUUGAAGUGGAAGCUUAUGAUAGUGAUCAUGAAGCAUCGGAUCAAGUCACUACCGAACCUCGUAGGACGACAAGGACGCAUACUGCUUUGGAGUGGUACGGUGAUCCUGUCUUGAAGGUCAUGUUGCUAGACAACAAUGAACCUACGAGCUAUGGAGAAGCGAUGGUGGGCCCAUAUUCCGACAAAUGGUUAGAAGCCAUGAAAUCUGAGAUAGGAUCCAUGUAUCAGAACAAAGCAUGGACUUUGGUGGACUUGCCCGAUGAUCGGCAAGCCAUUGAGAUAAAUGGAUCUUUAAGAAGAAGACGGACGUGGACGGUAAUGUCACCGUCUAUGAAGCUCGACUUGUGGCGAAGAGUUUUUCACAAGUUUAAGGAGUUGACUACGAUGAGAUUUUCUCAUCCGUGGCGAUGCUUAAGUCCGUCGGAAUCAUGUUAGCAUUAGCUGCAUUUAUGAAAUCUGGCAGAUGGAUGUCAAGACGAGUUUCCUUACCAGUUUUCGUAAGGAAAGGUUGUAUGUGAUACAAUCAAAAAGGUUUUGUCGAUCCUAAGGAUGCUAAAAGGUAUGCUGGCUCCAACGAUCCUUCUAAGGACUGGAGUAAGCAUCUCGGAGUUGGAAUGUGCGCUUUGAUGAGAUGUUCAAAGAUUUUGGGUUUAUACAAAGUUCAUGAGAAACUUGUAUUUCCAAAGAAGUGAGUGGGAGCACUAUAGAAUUUCUGAUGAGUAUAUGUUGUUGACAUAUUGUUGAUCAGAAAUGAUGUAGAAUUUCUGGAAAGCAUAUAGGGUUAUUUGAAAGGUGUUUUUCAAUAGAAAACCUGGAUUAAGCUACUUGAACAUUGAGCAUCAAGAUCUAUGAGGAUAGAUCAAAAACCGCUAAAUGGUACUAUCAAAUGAGCACAUACCUUGACGUGAUCUUGAAGGAGUUCAAGAUGGAUCAGUCAAAGAAGGAGUUCUUGCCUGAGUUGUAAGGUAUGAAGUUAAGACUUAAAGCUCGACCAUGGCAGAAGAGAGAGAAAGGACGAAGGUCGUCUCCUAUGCUUCAGACAUACACUCUACAAUAUGCUAUGCUAAGUACCGCACCUGAUGUGUGCCUUGCUACAUACCUGGCAAGAGGGUACAAAGGUGAUCAAGGAGUAGAUCACAAGAUAGCGGUCAAAAUUAUCCUUAGAGGAAUAAGGAUAUGUUUCCCGGUUAUGGAGGUGAUAAAGAGUUCGACGUAAAGAGUUGCGUCGAUGCAAGCUUUAACACCUAUCCAAAUGACUCUAAGUAGCAAAACGGAUACAUAUAGUGGAGCAACCAUUUGGAAUAGCUCCAAGUGGAGCGUGGAAGCAGCAUUUACAAUAUGACCUAGAGAUUUGCGAAGUACACACGAAUCUGAAUGUUGCAGACCCGUUGACUAAAACCUCUCUCACAAGCAAAACAUGAUCAAACCCCAGAACUCAUUGAGUCUUAAUCACAUGGUGAUGUGAACUAGUUUAGUGACACUAGUAAACUCUUUGGAUGUUGGUCACAUGACGAUGUGACCUGUCAGUGUUAAUCACAUGGCGAUGUGAACUAGAUUAUUGACUCUAGUGCAAGUGGGAGACUAUUGGAAAUAUGCCCUAGAGGCAAUAAUAAAUAAGUUAUUAUUAUAUUUCCCUGUUCAUGAUAAUCGUUUAUUAUCCAUGCUAUAAUUGUAUUGAUAGGAAACUCAGAUACAUGUGUGGACACAUAGACAACACCAUGUCCCUAGUAAGCCUCUAGUUGACUAGCUCGUUGAUCAACAGAUGGUUACGGUUUCCUGACCAUGGACAUUGGAUGUCGUUGAUAACGGGAUCACAUCAUUAGAAGAAUGAUGUGAUGGACAAGACCCAAUCCUAAGCCUAGCACAAAGAUCGUAGUUCGUAUGCUAAAGCUUUUCUAAUGUCAAGUAUCUUUUCCUUAGACCAUGAGAUUGUGCAACUCCCGGAUACCGUAGGAAUGCUUUGGGUGUACCAAACGUCACAAUGUAACUGGGUGGCUAUAAAGGUGCACUACAGGUAUCUCCGAAAGUGUCUGUUGGGUUGGCACGAAUCGAGACUGGGAUUUGUCACUCCGUGUAAACGGAGAGGUAUCUCUGGGCCCACUCGGUAGGACAUCAUUAUAAUGUGCACAAUGUGACCAAGGGGUUGAUCACGGGAUGAUGUGUUAUAGAACGAGUAAAGAGACUUGCCGGUAACGAGAUUGAACAAGGUAUCAGUAUACCGAUGAUCGAAUCUCAGGCAAGUACAAUACCGCUAGACAAAGGGAAUUGAAUACGGGAUUGAUUGAGUCCUUGACAUCGUGGUUCAUCCGAUGAGAUCAUCGUGGAACAUGUGGGAGCCAACAUGGGUAUCCAGAUCCCGUUGUUGGUUAUUGACCGGAGAACGUCUCGGUCAUGUCUGCAUGGUUCCCGAACCCGUAGGGUCUACACACUUAAGGUUUGAUGAUGCUAGGGUUAUAAAGGAAGUUUGUAUGUGGUUACCGAAUGUUGUUCGGAGUCUCGGAUGAGAUCCCGGACGUCACGAGGAGUUCCGGAUUGGUCCGGAGGUAAAGAUUUAUAUAUGGAAAGUUGUUGUUCGGGUUCCGGAAAAAGUUUGGGUUUUUUCGGUAUUGUACCGGGAAGCUUCCAGAAGGUUCCGAAGGAUUCCGAAGGGGUCCGGAGGUCCGUAAAUUGUUCCACCACGUCCAAUACAGCAGCAUGGGCUGUAGGGGGCGCCCUAGCCUUAAUGGGCCAGGGGCACCAGCCCCCCAAGGCCCAUGCGCAUGGGAAGGGGAAAACCCUAAGGGGGAGGGCCUCCACUUGACUUGAGGCACUCCUCCCCCCCUUGGCCGUCGCCCCCUCCUCAGAUUGGAUCUGAGGGGGCCGGCCCCCCUCUCCCUUGCCCCUAUAUAUAUGUGGGGGGUGGGAGGGCAGCCGCACCAGAAGUUCUGGCGCAGCCCUCCCCCUCUCCCAAGUACUCCUCCUCUCCCGCGGUGCUUGGCGAAGCCCUGCAGGAUUGCCACGCUCCUCCAUCACCACCAUGUCGUUGUUCUGCUGCUAGAUGGAGUCUUCCUCAACCUCUCCCUCUCUCCUUGUUGGAUCAAGGCAUGGGAGACGUCACCGGGAUGUACGUGUGUUGAACGCGGAGGUGCCGUCCGUUCGGCACUAGGAUCUCUGGUGAUUUGGAUCACGACGAGUACGACUCCUUCAACCCCGUUCUCUUGAACGCUUCCGCUUAGAGAUCUACAAGGGUAUGUAGAUGCACUCUCCUUCCCCUUGUUGCUAGUCUCUCCAUAGAUAGAUCUUGGUGACUCGUAGGAAAAUUUUGAAUUUCUGCUACGUUCCACAACAGUUGUUUGAAAAAGAUUCUAUCUAUUUCAUUUCUUUCACGCAUAUGCAAAUCAUUCUCAUGGUCUAGCAAAUAUUGUUCCAAACGAUAAGUAGGAGGCACAGCGAUAGAAGCAAGACCAAUAAUUUCAUCCUUACUAGGCAAAUCUUUCUUAUGAGGUUGUUUACUAAACUUGGAAAAAUUAAAUUCAUGAUAUUCAUCACCAAAGCUAACACCGAAAGUUUGUUUCUCACAAUCUAUUUUUGGCAUUGACGGUGUUCAAGAAAGGUCUACCAAAAAUAAUGGGACAAAAGUCAUCUUGUGGGGUGCUAAGAACAAGAAAAUCAGUAGGGUAUUUUAUUUUCCCACACAAGACUUCAACAUCUCUAAGGAUCCCAAUUGGUGAUAUAGUGUCUCUAUUAGCAAGUUUAAUAGUAACAUCUAUGUCUUCUACUUCAGCGGGUGCUAUUUCAUCUUUAAUUUCUUGAUAUAAGGAGAAAGGAAUAGCACUCACACUAGCACCUAGAUGACAUAACCGAUGAUAAUAGUGAUCUCCUAAAUUAACUGAGACAACGGGCAUGCCCAUAAAUGGUCUAUGUUUAUCUUUUCCUUCAGGUUUGGCAAUUCUAGAAGCUUCACUACAGAAGUAGAUAACAUGCCCAUCAAUAUUAUCAACUAAGAGAUCUUUAACCAUUGCAACACUAGGUUCAACUCUGAUUUGUUCAGAUGGUUUGGGUGUUCUAACAUAACUUUUGUUAACCACAGUUGAAGCUUUAGCAUGUUCCUUCAUCCUAACAGGAAAAGGUGGCUUUUCAAUAUAAGCAGUGGGAACAACUGGAUCAACAUUGUAGAUGAUACUUUCUUCUUUAGCUUUUACCGGUUCUUAAAUUUAUUCUUUAAUUGGUGGGUGAUAUUUAAACCACUUCUCCGUAGGGAGAUCAACAUGAGUAGCAAAAGGCUCACAAAAGGAAGCUACUAUCUCAGAGUCAAGUCCAUAUUUAGUGCUAAACUUUUGAAAAUUAUCGGUAUUGAUAAAAGAUUUAGCACAAUCAAACUUAGGUUCAAUACCUGACUCUUUACCUUCGUCGAGUUCCCAAUCUUCAGAAUUGCAUUUAAUUCUUUCUAAAAGAUCCCACCAGAAUUCAAUAGUCUUCUUCAUAAAAGAACCAUUACAAGAAGUAUCGAGCAUGGAUUUAUUAUUACGAGAAAGCCGAGCAUAAAAAUUAUGAAUAAUAAUUUCUCUUGAGAGCUCAUGAUUGGGGCACGAAUAUCACAUUGACUUAAGCCUCCCCCAAGUUAGAGUGAUACUUUCUCCUUCACGAGGCCAAAAAUUAUAUAUAUAAUUCCGAUCACGAUGAACUAGAUGCAUAGGAUAAGUUUUUUGAUGAAAUUCCAAUUCAAACGGUUCCAGUUCCAAGAUCCAAUAUCAUCGCAUAGACUAUACCAUGUCAAUGCUUUUCCCUUCAAAGAUAAAGAGAAAAUCCUCUUCUUACCUUCAUCUCCGGGCAAACCUGCAAGCUUAAACAAUCCAGAAAUUCCAUCCACAUAUAUCAAGUGCAUAUCAGGAUGUUCGGUUCCAUCUCUUGCAUAAGGAUUAGCUAGCAGUUUUUCUAACAUACCCGAAGGAAUAUCGUAUUCAAUAUUUUCAGUAGGUGCAGUAGGUUGAGGGGUAACUAAUUGUGGUUCCGGUCGAGGUGAAGAUACCCCGAACAAACCCCUCAAAGGAUUGUUUUCCAUAGUCGGAAGUGACAAUAAAUUUCAGCACGUAGUAAUAAUGUUUCCUUACCAAUUUCCAGUUACCAAGAGCGCUUCACUCCCCGCCAACGGCGCCAGAAAAUUGCCUUGAUGACCCACAAGUGUAUGGGGUCAAUUGUAUCCCUUUUCGAUAAGUAAGAGUGUCAAACCCAACGAGGAGCGGAAGGAAAUGACAAGUGGUUUUCAGCAAGGUACUGUCUGCAAGUGCUAAAAUUGUGAGUAGCGGAGUAGUUUGAUAGCAUGAUAAUUUGUAACGAGCAAGUAACAAUAGUAGUAACAAAAGUGCAGCAAGGUAUCCCAAUCCUUUUGAGGCAAAGGACAGGCCAAAACGGUUUCUUAUGAUAAGCAAAGUGUUCUUGAGAGUACACGGGAGUUUCAUCUAGUCACUUUCAUCAUGUUGGCUUAAUUCGUGUUCGGUACUUCUAUAAUUUGAUAUGUGGGUGGACCGGUGCUUAGGUGUUGUUAUUACUUGAACAAACCUCAUACUUGUGAUUAACCCUCUCGCAAGCAUCCGCAACUACGAGAAAAGUAUUAAGAAUAAAUUUUAACCAUAGCAUUAAACUUUUGGAUCCAAUCGGUCCCUUACGGAAUAGCGCAUAAACUAGGGUUUAAGCUUCUGUCACUCUCGCAACCCACCAUCUAAUAACUACUCCACAAUGCAUUCCCUUAGGCCCAAACAUGGUGAUGUGUCAUGUACUCGACGUUCACAUGACACCACUAAGAGAAUGGCAACAUACAUACCAUCAAAAUAUCGAACACAUAUCAAAUUCACAUGAUUACUUGCAACAUGAUUUCUCCCGUGACCUCAAGAACGAAAGUGACUAUCGGAAAAUGAUAAACAUGCUCAAGAUCAGAGGGGUAUUAAAUAGCAUACUAGAUCUGAACAUAUAAUCUUCCACCAAAUAAACCAUAUAGUAAUCAACUAGAAGAUGUAAUCAACACUACUAGUCACCCGCAAGCACCAAUCUAUAGUUUUGAUACAAAGAUUGAACACAAGAGAUGAACUAGGGUUUGAGAGGAGUUGAUGUUGUGAAGAUGUUGAUGAAGAUAGCCCUACCCAAGAUUGGAGAGUUGUUGGUGAUAAUGAUGAAGAUGAUUUCCCCCUCCGGAGGGAAGUUCCCCCUGCUAAAUCGCUCCACCGGAGGGCAAAAGUGCUCCUUCCCAAGUUCCGCCUUGAGGCGGCGGCGCUUCAUCCCGAAUGUCCUCCCCUUAUUUUUUUUCUAGGUCAAAAUGACUUAUAUACCAGAAGAUGGGCACCGGAGGUGGGCCGAGGAGGGCAGCACCCACCAGGUCGUGCCUGGGCCUCCUUGCGCGCGCAGGUGGGUUGUGCCCACCUGGUGGCCCUCCCUUGGUACUUAUUUGCUCCAAUAUUCAUUAUAUAUUCCAUAAAAAUUCCUCGGAGAGUUUUUUAGCUCAUUUGGAGUUGUGCAGAAUAGGUAGCUUGACGUAGCUUUUUUAGGUCCAGAUUUCCAGCUGCCGGAAUUCUCCCCCUUGGUGCAUACCUUGCAUGUUAUGAGAGAAAAAGCAUUAGAAUUACUCCAAAAAGCAUUAUUAUAAAAUAAAACAACAUAAAUAACAGUAGGAAAACAUGAUGCAAAAUGGACGUAUCAAAAUUCAUGAAAAUUGAUAUGCUAUCAUGGAACAGCAUCAACAUGGAGUGGUAAAAAUAUUAUCCCAUUUGUGGCAGUUGAGGUAUAAGCUUCUAAAACAAAGCUUCUCGCAACAAGCCUCAUGGUUACGGUAGGGAAUGUUUCACCUUUCUGGGCGAGACGAUAUCGGUUGCCUCUUCUUGAUUUCAAUUUUUUCUCUAGUCUCAACAUAGAACAACAGGAGUGUUGUGCUAAAUUUUGGGAUUUCUCGGGGUUCGUUUGGACACUUUUAUACAUUAAUUGAGUUUUAAAUGCAUUUAUGUGCAUAAUUCAAAUUUGAACUACAGUCACAUGCUCUAAUGCAUAUAAAUUGGUUAAAAAUUCAAAUAUGUGUCCUUGGUUGCAUGCUUUGGUCCCAUGCAAGAAAUGGGAAUGAAUGUCAAACACCCUGCCACCAUCGCUCGGCCGCAAACAUUGAGCUACCUGGUUUUUAAAUUCUAGUAAAUCCAAAACUCGUCUAAAAUUCAUCGAACUUUGCAUUGCUAUCAUGGAGCGGCAUCAACAUGCUAUGGUAAAAUUUUUGUCCCAUUUGGGGAAGGUUUGGGUAUAAGCUUCUCAUAAACUAGAGCUUCUCACAACAAGCCUAAUGGUUUCGGUAGGGAACAUGCCACCUUUGGGAAUGAAACGAUAUCUGUUGCCUCUUAUUGCUUUCAAAAAAAUUCUAGUGUCAACAUAAAACAACAAGAGUGUUGUGUUAAAUUUUGGAAAUUUUCGGGGUUUGUUUGUACAUUUUUAUACAUUAAUUGGGUUUUCUAGGCAUUUUGUGUGAAUAAUUAAAAUUUGAACUACAUGCACAUGCUCCAGUGCAUAUAAAAAAUCAAAUAUGUGUCCUUAGGUGCAUGCUUAGGUCCCAUGCAAGAAAUGGGAAUGAAUUUCAAACACCAUGGCAUUGUUGAUUGCCACCAAAACAUUGAGAUACUUGUUUUUAAAUUCUUGUAAAUCCAAAACUCAUCUGAAAUUCAUGAAACUUGGCAUGCUAUCAUGGAAUGGCACCCAAUAUGUUGUGGUAUUUUUCGCGUCCAUUUUAAGAGAAGGAGCACUCGAAUAACAACCAACAAAGGCAUUUUGAAACAAAUAGCUGCCAUUGUAACAUCGCAAACAUUUUUGAUAGAACACUCGUAUGUAAACCGACAACUUCCCAGUAAGCCAAGGAAAAUAUGCCUAGUAGGAUUUGUGCAGCUCUUCAUCGCAAAUAUUUUAGAUAGAACACCUGUAUGCAAAGUGAGAGCUAUGGUCUUCCGCGGUAAGCCAAGGGAAAAUUGCCGCAGAUUGAAUAAUGUAUGCAAAGCGAGACUUCGGUGCUAAGCCAAGAGAAAAUUUGGCAAGAAGGAUUUGUAUCUCCCUUCAACACAAACGGUUUUUUCAGAUGAUCCGUGUGCAACCACGUAUAGACAAUUUGGUAAUAUUUGCAUCUAUCAUAUUCGGUCUAUUGUCGUUUGUCAAACCGGAAAGUUUGACAUUUGUUGAUCUAGUAACAUUGCCAUUUGUCAAUCCUUGUAACACUGGGAUUUGUCAAAAUAUGUAGCUAAAAAUCACUAGCACUAUCUAAUUUUUGCAAUUAAAAUUCAAUAAUUAAGCAUAUCUUUCAUUCAUAGAUUAAGCAACCAUUCUCAAUUUAUACAAACAGUUCAACUUGACAGCUGAACCGACCAAACUUUUCCCCAAUUUUUGCCAACCACGUACUGAAAUAGCUAGUUCAACUAUAUAUACUAGCUAAUUUUGAGUACGAUGUACAGUUCCACCACACCUAUAGUCAGAUGAACUGAACAAAAUAGCCCCUAAAUACUAAUACUACUACUACUAAUACUACUACGGAGGGGCUUUGUACUACUUCUGGCAGCCUCUCCUCUGCCGAGCGCACUUAGUAAGAGGAAGAAAAGGAGGAGCCUACCAACGAGCUGGACAACUGCAAUACAGUGCUUGCCGUUGUUGCACCUUCAGCGAUGCUCACCUCGAACGCCCUCUGCUGCUCCAGACGACCCCUCUCGAUGCGGCCGGACUGCUUGUAGAUCUCCUGAUUCCUCGCCUCUGCGUUGGCAUGUGCUACGGUCAUGGCUGUGGUAAUUCUCUUUGCGUGCUCGACAAGGUGCUCCUCCUCCUCUCGCGAGAACUCGAUGUAGAGAGCAAGGUUCUGACGCACGUGCGGGUCUCCACCUUCGCCUCCCUCCUUCGGGUAGCGGUGGCGGAGCAAGUGAUGAUCUCAGCGGUCGAUGGUGGGCUGGCAGCCAUGACAGCCGAUGAUGGGGUGGCGGCCACGACCACCACCUCCCGCCUUUGGGCCGCGGUGAUGGAGCGGGUGAUGGCCACAAUGGCCUUCAGUGGGGUGGCGGCCAUGACGACCACCUCUCGCCUUCGGGCCGCGCCGGCGGAGUGGGCGAUGGCUCUGGCUUUCGACGAUGGUGUGGCGGCAAUUGCGGCCAACAAUAGCUGCUGACGGGCAGUGGCAGCGGAGCGUGCGGUGGGUGUUCUGUGCACACCCAACAAGGACACCACACGCACUACACCACGCCGGGGACUGCGCCGCCGUCGCGGUGUAGCCUCCCAGCUAGAGCUGUCCUCUGGUGACAACAGAGUGGCUGGGCGAAAGACCGGUGCCAUUGGCGAUUGUGGGAGAAGCAAACAAGAUAAGCUACAUGGAGGGAGGGGAAAAUGCGACGCAAGAAUCGCCAGUCGUGAGGGUUUAUAUAGUAGGCUGGUAAGCAUUGGGAUUUUGGGGGAUUUCACCGAGUUGGGCGGGAAGCUUGCGCGGGAACCUGCGUGGUUGCGCGGGAAUGGGCUCACUACCAUUUGGCCAAAAGAAAGCCCCCGCGUGCUGCUCAAGCUUGUGCUCGAAGCCGCCUGCGACAACAGGGUGACACGAUGUGCAAGAGGAAGAUGAAAGGACACAUAUACAGUUAAUAAAAAAAGUUUGUGAUUUAGUUACCUACUAUACCCCCGUCCUGCUUUAUAAGUAGGAUUUAACUAAUAAAAUACGAAUGCAUGUCGCCAAAGAUUAUAGCGUUGGAUUCGUAGUUGAACAUAGUUUUCAGUUAUAUAUUUUUUGUAAUAUGCAUUAACAUUUUGUUGGUUAAAUUUAAGAUUAUAUACCAGCAAGCGUUUUCCCACAACACACACGACUUAUUCCAUCACAAACAUCUCGGAUGGAUCAACUGUAUGCCACGUAUCGCACACGCAACUCUAAUCUGAUUCAUGCUUGAUGUCUUCGACAUCGCUAGCACAGUUUGUCUUAUUUGCCAUGUAUCACUAUGUCGGCCUAUGUUCGUGUCCCUCGGCAAGCUCUGCUCGCCGUUAGGCACCGCAACGCGCUCGGCUUCUGCACAACUUUUCCUUGCGUGUUCAAUAGAUAUAUGCAUAUAUAUAUAUGGUUGCUCGCCGUUGAGGCGACCGCGGAGCACUCUACUCGCGUCCCUCUGUGCACGCUCUGCCAGUGGUUGGGCCUGCGCACGAUCACGUCAGGGUCCUUGUCGGUGUCAAAACCGGCGGAUCUCUGGUAGGGGGUCCCGAACUGUGCGUCUAGGCGGAUGGUAACAGGAGACAAGGGACACGAUGUUUUUACCCAGGUUUGGGCCCUCUCGAUGGAGGUAAAACCCUACUCCUGCUUGAUUAAUAUUGAUGAUAUGGGUAGUACAAGAGUAGAUCUACCACGAGAUCAGAGUGGCUAAACCCUAGAAUCUAGCCUAUGGUAUGAUUGUUGUUCGUCCUACGGACUAAAACUCUCCGGUUUAUAUAGACACCGGAGAGGGCUAGGGUUACACAGAGUCGGUUACAAUGGGAGGAGAUCUUCAUAUCGUAUCGCCAAGCUUGCCUUCCAUGCCAAGGAAAGUCCCAUCCGGACACGGGACGGAGUCUUCAAUCUUGUAUCUUCAUAGUCCAGGAGUCCGGCAGAAGGUCAUAGUCCGGCCAUCCGGACACCCCCUAAUCCACGACUCCCUCAGUAGCCCCUGAACCAGGCUUCAAUGACGACGAGUCUGGUGCACAAGUUGUCUUCGGCAUUGCAAGGCGGUUUCCUCCUCCGAAUAUUUCAUAGAAGAUGUUGAACACCAGGGUAGUGUCCGGCUCUGCAAAAUAAGUUCCACAUUCCUUCGUAGAGAGAAUAAUAUUUGUAUUAAUCGGAUCUGCUGACGUAUCCCGUGGCGUGACAUCAUGCCACAGCCAUGCUCUUUAUUUAUUUCAUUGUUCCACCUCAGCGCAUUUAGCGAGGCGGUUUCCUUGGCACGUCUUGUCAAAGCAGAGAUCGUGUCCCCUUAUUCCGGGAUUCUCAUCAAUACGGGUGUGGGUAACCCAACUGUGCCUUUGGUAUGACUCCCUAAUUGAAAGCGAGUCCCAAACGGUUACGGGGAGGGCUCUUGGUAUUCAACUCCUUUAUAAAGGGACCAAGGCUCGGCUCCCUUCUUUUCAAUCCAAUCGAAUCCGCCCCUAGCUUCGAGUUCCAACACCCAAAGCUCUAGCUUUAGGCGCUUCAGACUUUCGACGAUGUCCGGCUCUGACCUUGAAGCCGGUGGAUGCCUUCCUCCGUUACGGAAGAAGAUGUGUGAAAGCUGAGAGAUGCCAGGUAUCUAACCGGCAAAAUCUCACAUAGGCUGCCUGCUCAAGGGCAGGCCAUUCCCACUCCCCAGCCCGGUGAGAGCAUGGUGUUCGCAUCUCACUUCCUUUGGGGGCUAAGCUUCCCGAUUGAUCCCUUCGAGAGGGGCCUCAUGUUUUAUUACGGGCUGGAGUUCCACGACUUAGCUCCGGAGUCCAUCCUCCAAAUCUCAUCAUUCAUUGUCUAUGUGAGGCCUUCCUCCAUAUCACUCCUCACUUCGGAUUGUGGCUAAAAACCUUCAAGGUGGAACCGAAGAUGAUCGAGGGGCAGCACGCUGAGUGCGGAGGAGUUGUAAUAAGCAAGAUGGCCGACGCUCCAUGGCCCGAAGGCUCUUUUCAAGAGGAGCUCGGCUUAUGGCAACGGGGAUGGUUUUACAUCACAGCCCCUAGGGGCACCACAUGGGUGGCAUCGCCUACUUUUCGCUCGGGUCCCUGACCACGGCUGGCAUCAUGGGUUAAUGAAGGACUUAUCUGGGGGUCGUCGAAAGAUGUGCCCUUGCUGUAGGGCCGUAUUCGAGAUCUCCUAGAAAGAGAUAUCAAUCUGACCGUGGUGGCACAAGUCAUGGUGAUUCACCGCACACUGCCCUGCAAACGUCGACCUCUCCGCCUGUGGGAAUUCAAUCCUGAGGGACCACUGGUUCUACAACACUUCAUGGGAAUGACGCCCAUGGAGAUGUACAGAUUGUUCUUCGAAUCACAAGCAAGGUGUCCGGAUCUGUCCGAGGACGCUGGUCUGAGCUGCAACCGCCCAGAUGCUAAAGUAAGUAGCUCCAUAUUUGCACAUACCAUCCAUAUUUUUAUCAAAUCUACCCUUUAGCAUAGUUGCCCUUUGAACAGGAGUGGAUAGCAAAGGCUAAGCUUAUCAGGUGUCCAGCCCCCUUGCCCGAGACCGUGCCGAAUCCUAUGAUGACCAGGAUGCUGGAGGCUGUGCCGUUGGCGGAGGAAAAAGGGGGGGACCAAGGAGCUACCGCCUCCAUGAAGGAGGCCGUCAGGAAGGGAAGAAUCGAAAAUUCUCCCGACCAGGGAAAGAAAAGGACUGCCUCUGAAGACCCGGAGGUGAUAACCUCAAAACGGGGAAAGAAAUCUUCGUCAGAGGGUUUGGCACCGGUGGACGCUUCAGACGAAUCGCCCCCUAAAGGGGAUCCUCUCUCCCCCGAGGCGUAAGUGAGGGGAGGGGUUCCAUAAUGAAUCACAUUCAUGUUUUAUUCCUAAGGAAAAUAACCGAAGCAUUAUCUUGCAGUUCGGAUCUCAACCCUUCUCAGCAAAGCUCAUCUUGAGGGGAUCUUUGUCCAGAGAUGAUAGAGAGCAAAACGCCUCCCCUUGUUCCCUCGUCCUACAAGGCUGGCGACCCUGAGGUAUCGUCUCGGAGGGCUUUUUCAAGUCCGGACCCUGGGAAAGGUCGUCAGACUAGUCCGGCACCCUCUUGCGCGCCGGCGGAGGUGCUGAAGGAUCUGCUUGGUAGGGCGUCCAUCUCAGGAGAACAUCGUAUGUUGAUGGAUACGGUGAUUGGAAGGAUUUCAUCCGCAGAAAGCGGAUUGUACGAAGCUGCCAGGAGUUUACUAACAGGCUUUGAGGUAUGUAAAAAGGUGUACCUUUUGGUGGAGCCGCAUAUUAAAUGUGCCCUGUAUGAAUAGUAGCCCCUGAGACUCUGUGUGUCGUCAUGAAUGAUGGCGCAUAGAGGAUCAUAAUCCCAGGUAUAAUAUUUCGCUUAUUCCAUGAAGGUGGCGAGGCGCUCGGUGGCUAGCCGGACUGAUGAAUCUGCCGAACUAAAGCGGCAACUUGACGUAGCCGAUGCCAACAUCACGCUUGUAAAUAAGCGGCUAGACGAGGCUCAAGGUAUGUUCAAAAGACACCCAGUAAUAGGAGCUUGAUGCUCGGGCCUUAUAUAUAUAUACUUGAUGUAGAUGGUGCUGCUGCCAUGGAGAACCUUCGGGCGGAACUUGCCCGAGCCAAGGAGCAAGCAAGGAAGAGUGAUGCGGCUGCCGUUAAAGCGGUUGAAGAGCUAAGAGCCGAGCAGGCUGCUCACUGCCAGAGCAAGAAGGAAAUAGCCGAGAUGGCCAUAAAAUUGAAGGAUGCUACCAACCGCUGUGAAUUUCUUGAACAAGAAGAUAGGGCAGCUCAGAAGGACCUUGAAAAGAUCACUGCUGAAGCCAAGGAUACUCGCUCUGCCAUGAGAGCGAUGAAGGAGGAGCUGCGUCAGGCCGGAGAUAUCACGGCUGGAAAGCCUUAUAUGCUGCGGAUGAAGUUCAGAGACCCCAAGUAUGCUCCAUUAGACUGGCAGUGGAGUUCGGAAAACGCUUAUCUGGAUUUGGCCGCAAGUGCGGCGGACGCGACCAAACACUUCCGCAGCCGAGGUGACCAUGAAUUGAAAGAGCUUUUUUGGUCGCAGUACCACAAUCCAGAACGCCCACUGUCAGUAUCCGACCGUUUAGCCGCCUGGGCGGAGCUGAACAGAUUAUCCGGACUCGCCAUGAAAUUUGUUGCGAGUCGUCUGUGGCCGGAGAAGCCGGAGCCGAAGAGCUAUUUUGGUUUGGUGCAGUAAUUUCUUGGUUCGGUGCCGCAUGCUGAUGCAAUGAAGAGGUCGGCGUGCAUAGAGGGCGCACAGAUGGCUCUUGCCCGUGUCAAGACAUACUGGGCAGAUAUGAAGGCAUGUAUUGUUGCGUCCCAAGAUUCGGACGAAAGCCGAGUACCUGCCAAGCACUAUUUUGAGGAAGUUCUUCCUGGCGCUCGUAUAAUAGAGUCGCAGUGCUCGAAGGAUGCUGUGUUCGAAUAGCUUAUACUAUUUGUAAGACGGAUUGUGUUUUUAUGAAAAAAAAAGCUUUUUUAUACUUGUGCUUGCAAGAAUCACGAUACCUCCUGUGCGGCCGUUUAAUGUAUAUAUUUGUAUGUAAACUGAAAGAUGGCAGUCGUUGGCUUCAGCCCCCACGUAUAGAAUGCGGGGGUGUUCGCAAAAAGGCGUCUGUUCACACUUAAUCCAACGUCUUGGUCCUAUAAAGGAGGUGGUAGCGCGGCGAACUAGGCAACCGGACUAUAAUGCUUUAUCACUUUCACUUAGCCAUAGGAGUUUGACAGUGGGACUACUGAAUAGCCCCUAGGGGCACCGCGCUCGCCCGAAUUCGGGGCGCGAGUGUGCCUGACAGGGAAGCGGCCCUUCCUUAAUGCGGGGGAAUCCUAAAGAUUUUGAAAGUCAUCGAGUGGUUGAACAGUCUCUCGCUAUAUCAUGACAGUCAGUUUUCGGCUUUCUCUACUGAGGUGCUCACCCGGCCGAACCGGGGCACAAUCGUAGUAGUUCUCCUGGUGCCGCAUUAGCCGAUAUAACGGAACGUAAGGCAGCAAAACACAGGAGCCGGGCAAACCCAACAUUUGACCAAAGACAUGAUUCGGAGCUGGUGCAUAUACGGCCAAACUCGUGAUGCCGAACACUCCCUAAGGUGUUCGGUCUUUAUGAAGAUGGGCCGAAAUAGAGCCCUUGGUAAAAAAGCCCCUGGUGUCCAGGUACGUGCAAAAAAUUCUGACGUGGCCACAUGCCAAGACGCCAGCCUCCUCCUCGGCUAUAGAGAAAACCAGGGGAUGUUAUCAACAAGAGACAGUAAAAAAGGUUUACGCAGGGUCUUAAUCUGAAGAGAAUCCUUGGAACGGGUCCCUGCUGCACGUCUGCGCCUGUGUCUCCGUCGUGCCGUAUCCUGGACGGGCGUAGCACGAUGCUCGUCUGUGAAACAGAGGAACUUAGUAAAAAAUAAGCAUGCGAGAAAUCUAUAUCGAAGUAAAAAGAAUAUAGUUGGAGCAAGAGUUGGGCCGUAUUGUCUCCGGGCGUGAGCACACGGAGCCCCUUGCACUAGGGUAUGCGGUAAUUUAAGCAUGUUGACGCCGGACUCGUCGAGGCGUGUCCGGGAUAGUAGGGCUGGAUUUGUGGGCGGCUGCCUAGGCAACCGCACCCCUGCCCGUACUUUGGGGGUCAAUUUAUGUUCCCUUGUAAUGAGAUGAUGCCCUUUGGACCGGGCAUUUUAAGUGUAAGGGAUGCGUAGUGCGGUAUUGCGCUAAAGCGGGCGAAAGUUUCAUGUCCCAGUAGCGCUUGAUAGCGACUGACGAAUGGGGCGAUGUGGAAUGUUAGCUUUUCGCUUCGGAAGUUGUCGGGUGAUCCGAACGUGACUUCUAACAUAAGGGAACCCAUACUUGGGGUAUCCGAACCAGCUAUCCUCUCCUGCACAGAAGCGGGUCAUGAGGCUUGUUAACGCGGCCAUUGUUCGCGGCUUUUCUUGGCCGAGGUGUCUGGCGAGCCAUUCGUCUCGGAUGCUAUGUUUGAAAGCUGCUAGGGCCUCUGCAUCCGGACAGUCGACUAUCUGAUUCUUUUUGAUAAGGAAUCUGUUCCAGAGCUUCCUCGCUGACUCUCCGGGCUGCUGAGUUAUAUGGCUCAGAUCGUCUGCAUCCGGGGGCUGGACAUAGGUCCCUUGAAAAUUUGCCCGGAAAGCAUCCUCAAGCACUGCCCAACUUCCCAUGGUGUUCUCGGGAAGGCUUUUAAGCCAAUGCCGGGCUGUCCCUUUGAGCUUAAGGGGUAAGUAUUUUAUGGCGUGGAGGUCGUCUCCUCUGGCCAUGUGUAUGUGGAGGAUGUAGUCCUUGAUCCAGACUCCAGGGUCUGUUGUUCCAUCGUAUGGUUCUAUGUUCACUGGCUUGAAUCCGGCUGGGAAUUCAUGAUCCAGCACCUCAUCAGCAAAGCAUAGGGGGUGUGCGGCGCCCCUGUAUUUAGGUGUGCCGCAAUUUUCGGUUAUUUCUUGCGUUGCAUCACUCAUUGGAGCUUGCUUUCUUGGCCUAUACAUGGAUCUGGUAGGGCCAAUUUUCUGAUGCGGAAUCUUGGACGGAUCGCGCGCUAUAUUGAGUGCGGCGUCUUUUGACGCGUGAGAUUGAUCGUAGGGUCGUCUAUCUGACCUUGUGGCGUCCUUAUUUUUUGACUGUGGGGGCUUUAUGGCCUCUUCGUCAAAUUCCGGUAGUAGUUUGUGUGGCGACUACUGCCGUACUUGUGUGCGGUAUUGAGUACCUUGCCCCAUCUGAUCCUGAGUGCAUCCUCCGCUGUCUUGAGCCUCCGCUUCUGCUUUUUCAGGCUACGUGCAGUGGCGACGAGCCUUUGGUGGAGGUUCUGAUGUUCCAGCAGUUUGUCUGGUGUGAGGUCGACCGGGCUAUUAUCCUUCCCGGGGAUUGGUUGUUCGGAUUGUCCGCCCUGCUUGGACGGAUGCUCGAUGGCAUGUUCAUCGUCCGUUGAGUCGCCCUGGUCUAUGGCUGGGUUUUUGUCGAGGUGGGGCUUGGCUUGCGCUUACGCCGCCGCUUUGAUUGUUUCUCGGGGAAGCGAUCUCUGGCCGCAUCCUUUUGGUCCUCGUAGUCGUUUCUGUUGCGUGUGUCCACCAUGUAUACAUCGUAUGAUGAGGUGUUUUUCCGGAGCCCUAUAGGUGCUGGUUCUUGAUCGUCUCCUUUAUCGGCGUGCAUACCGUUGAUCUCUUCGCAGUCGGAGUCUAGCAUGUCAGUUAAAUCGUUGACAGUGGCUACGAAGUGGGUGGUGGGUGGGCUACAAAUUUCUUCAUCGUCCGCAUCCCAACCGUGUUGGCUGUAGUCCGUCCACGGCUCUCCUGACAAAUAGAGAGACUUUAACGAUUUGAGGAUGUUGCCGAAAGGUGAGUGCUGAAAGACAUCCGCGGCGGUGAACUCCAUGACCGGAGCCCAAUCGGGCUUAACCGGGAGAGGUGCGGGAUUUACGGAGUCCGGAUCGGAGUCCGGCACCUCGGAGUCACGGGCCUUGCAAGGGACUAGGCUGGUAUCCGGCUCUAUCGCCAUAGAGAUUGCAGUUUCCGGGGUGGCGUCUAACCGUCCGUCCCCGGCUGGCGUAGUGGGCUCCGAGCUAAUGGUCGGAGCGGACACCGGAGUGACGCUCUGGGCGUUGUCCGAUGACAGAGCUAAAUCGUGCCCAUCAUGACAGUGCGGCGCGCCCGGUUGUGGCUCGAAUCCGUCAAAGAUCAAGUCCCCGCGGAUGUCGGCCGUGUAGUUCAAGCUUCCAAACCUGGCCUGAUGGCCAGGGGCGUAGCUCUCGAUCUGCUCCAGAUGGCCGAACGAGUCAGCCCGCAGUGCGAAGCCGCCGAAUACGCAGAUCUGUCCGGGGAGAAAAAUCUCAUCCCGGACCGCGUCACGGUUGACGAGCAAAGAAGCCAUCGGGCCUAAAAGGCGACGACACAGAAGAACCCUCAAUGAAAGCACCAAUGUCGGUGUCAAAACCGGCGGAUCUCGGGUAGGGGGUCCUGAACUGUGAUUCUAGGCGGAUGGUAAUAGGAGACAAGGGACACGAUGUUUUUACCCAGGUUCGGGCCCUCUCGAUGGAGGUAAAACCCUACUCCUGCUUGAUUAAUAUUGAUGAUAUGGGUAGUACAAGAGUAGAUCUACCACGAGAUCGGAGUGGCUAAACCCUAGAAUCUAGCCUAUGGUAUGAUUGUUGUUCAUCCUAUGGACUAAAACUCUCCGGUUUAUAUAGACACCGAAGAGGGCUAGGGUUACAUAGAGUCGGUUACAAUGGGAGGAGAUCUUCAUAUCGUAUCGCCAAGCUUGCCUUCCACGCCAAGGAAAGUCCCAUCCGGACACGGGACGGAGUCUUCAAUCUUGUAUCUUCAUAGUCCAGGAGUCCGGCCGAAGGUCAUAGUCCGGCCAUCCGGACACCCCCUAAUCCAAGACUCCCUCAGUCCCCAUAUGCAUGCGGUUGUGCCACGCGCGUCGCCACGUGAUGUAGUUACGUGCGGCACGAUGGAGUUACGCACUGCAAACUAGAACUGCCAUCAGGGCAUGCUGAUAUUCUAGGCCGUCCGGCUUCCUCUUCAAUUCCCGCGGCCAUUAUAACCUUAGUCUCUUCAACCUUUCGAUCGUGCCCCGCAACCCAACAAGCACACCCACGACGACACAUAGAGAGGGGAUGUCUAGCGGCGCUCCAAUGGAGUUCAGCGAGCAUAAAGUGGAGACCCACGCAAGGGAGAUGGAUCUAUCAGUGGUGUACUCCAUCAAACUGGCCGUGGUGGACGAAUACAUCAACAUCAUUGAGAAGUUGCUUGCUCAAGACAAGUACAAGGUGCUCGGCAUCGACCUCUAGUACACCGUCUGUCGUCCCAACAUAGAUCGGAAGGUUGCUGUCACCCAGUUAUGCGUGCGCCAUCAUGUCCUCGUCUACCACUACUGCAUGGCCACAGAGCCUUCCGAUCAUUUUGCCAUGUUUGUCAACAGUACCGACUACAAGUUCGCUACAGUGGAAACCACCGACUAUGUAAAAGCGCUCAGAGUUACGGGAUUGGCCUGCAAGAACCUUGUUGAAAUCCAUGAGCACUACAGGGUCUGGGGCAGCACGAAGAAGGACUCCCUGGUUGAACUCGCCUCAGCCAUCAUCGACCUAUAUUACGAAAAGAUGAAGCAGGAUGCCAACAGAACAUGCUCGGUAUCCUGGCACGGGGCCUAGAUGCGGCAACUGGAUGAACCUCACCUCAGGUUCGCGACCAAGAGCGUGUACACAUGCUACGAGAUGCAUGGGAGGAUCAUUGACAUGAGGAAGUGCCUCGUUAUCAAAAUCGACGAGGCUGGAUUGAGCCACAAGCAGAGCAAGCGUCACAAGAAGUAGAUGGUGAUCAAAUUAUCAUUUAUCCUAGUUAAUCAUGCAUGUAAUAUAUAGUUUACUUUGGUGUGUGGAAAUGUUAUGUGUAUAGUACCCACCUAUGUAAUUAUGCAUGUAAUAGUUUACUUUGGUGUGUGACAAUGCCAUGGUUGUAGUAGCCACCUAUGUAAUUGGAUGUUUAAUUUGGCUAUGCAACCAUGUCCUUAUAAGAUAUACACUAGUAGAAAAUAGGGCAUACGUUCGGGCCAGAUAAGCCCAUUAGUCCCGGUUCAGUCACGAACCGGGACUAAUGUGAGCAUUUGUCCCGGUUCGUGUGGCUAAAGGCAUUAGUCCCGGUUCAAAUGAGCCCUUUAGUCCCGGUUUGAGACAUGAAUCGGGACUAAAGGAUGCGGUGCCCUUUAGUCCCGGUUCGUAUCUCAAACCGGGACUAAAGAUUAGACCUUUAGUCCCGGUUUGAGACACGAACCGGGACUAAAGGGUGCAAUGCCCUUUAGUCCCGGUCCGUAUCUCAAAACGGGACUGAAGGUCCCAUUUUCAAACUCUACACCCCAUCCCCCCCUAUGGAUCGCCUUUUCAGUUUUGUAAAAAGCAAAAGAAAAUGAUAAAAACUUCAAAAAUUAAAAUCCUUCGAGAUGUAGUUAUAUCACUACAUCUAUUAGUUAGGAAAAUUAAAAACCUUAAAUUUGGACAUGUUUUGCAAAAAAACUGUUAUGGAAAAGUAAAACGGCCAUAUCUUUUGCAUACGGUGUCGAAAAAAACGCAUAAUAUAUCAAAAAAAUCAGCAUGAAAAUACGCAUCCGAUUUUGACUACCUAAGACCUGUUUGUAAAUUUUUAGAAUCCUCAAAUUCUAAAAGGAAAAAAGUUAUGCUCAAAUUUUAGUUUUUUUUUAAUUUUGGUCAAAUCUGGUCAAACUACUUAUUCAAGAAGUAUUAGUGGUACUAAAUAAUUAUUCAAGAAUAUUAGUGUUACUAAAUAAUUAGUUCACCAUUUUGAAUUUUGGUCAAAUCUGGUCAAACUAUGGUCAAACUAUGGUCAAACUACUUAUUCAAGAAAUAUUAUUGUUACUAAGUAAUUAUUGUUUUUUAGAAUAAUACUUUCAAACUCAAGCAGUGAAACGUGUGGCUUAAUGCUCAAGCUAAACUCCUGAGGGUUAAUAGGAUUGACAUCUUACUAUUGUCAGGAAAACAACAAGUGCAGACUUGGAAACGAGGCGGAAUAGAACCCGGAAGUUAAGCGUGCUCAGGCUGGAGUAGUGAGAGGAUGGGUGACCGGCCGGGAAGUUAGAUGAUUUGGAAUGAUGAGGGAUGAUUAGAGAUUAGAGGUUAAAUUGAGAAGUGAUGAGUGGUGAUUAGAGAUUAAAUUGUAAAAUAAUUCGUAAAUUUGAAAAUUGAAAAAAAAAUCAACAAAUUCAAAAAAUAAAAUUUCGUAAAAUUGCCUUUAGUCCCGGUGGGACUAAAGGUGGAGCUCUAGACAGCGGCCACGUGGAGGGGCUUUAGUCCCGGUUCGUAUAAGAACCGAGACUAAAGGGGAGGGGGGCUUUAGUAACGACCCUUUAGCCCCGGUUCCAGAACCGGGACUAAAGGCCCUCACGAACCGGGACGAAUGGGGCUUUUUCUACUAGUGAUAUAUAUAUAUAUAUAUAUAUAUAUAUAUAUAUAUAUAUAUAUAUAUAUAUAUAUAUAUAUAUGUUGUUCUGUAUGCAAUAACAUCACACAACACACAUGUCUUAUUAGCAGCAAUCAUCUGUGUUAUUAUCGGUCUUUGCACACAUUUCUGAUUAUAGACCUCUUUGUCGCGUAUCACACAUAUCUUGUUAUAUUGAACCAUUUCUGUUCUCUUGUCUCAACACAAACAGUUCAUCCGAGUGAACCGCAUGUCGUAUAUCGGACACACCUUGAUCUGGCUGACCUUUUUUUUUGUGUUGCCUAAUCACAAACAGUUCAUCCGAGUGAACCAUAUGUUCUAUAUCGCACACACCUUCAUCUCGCUGCCCAUUUCUUUUGUUCCUGCUCAUCGCAAACAGUUAAUUGAACUGAACCGUAUGCCCUGCAUCACACACGUAACUAAAAUCUGAACCUUGUUUGAUGCUUCUGUCAUCACAAACGUUUUGCACCUUUUUGACAGUUUUUUACACCACCGUUUGCGAUUAUUGCAUCGCACACAGUUUCGUCGAAGGGUCUCUGAUCAUAGUGUCGCGUUAGCAGCAUCCUGCAUUAGUGUUGGCCCAUAUGGUCCUCUUUCCCGCGUAAGCAUAGCUUCCGAGGUGGUGGCACCCCAUGUUCCUCUCUUGGAGCCCCUUCAUGUACUCCGACUUCUCUUUGACAUCUUUGGCAACACAAGUCUUCUUGAAUAUUUCGAACUGCUCUUCCAUAAUUGUCAGAUUAUCCUUUACAAUCUCGGUGUAGGGUUCCUCUUUGGGGAUGAUCCGAUGUUUCACCCUAACUUUUCAGGCGGACAACACGCUGCUAAACUUGCCCAGGCCGCGUUUGUUUAUCUUCUUCAUUGUCGGGUUUUUAUCUGGAUUAGUAUAUUUGAUUUCAUCCCGGCCCGGGAACAAGAAUACCUGGUGCAUCUUAGUUAGGAGAGAGUGCUCCAUAUCUGGUAUCUUCUUUAGUUUCUCAUCGUUGAUGGUUGCGGUUGCCCGUAGGAUGCAACUAUUUGAUUGCCGUAGCAUCUGCGCGCUUCCGUGGGCUCUUUUGGCUCAAAAUUGCCAAACUCCACCUCCGUGACAACCAGUCUAGUAGUGAUGAGCUGGUUUGGGUGUCGUUGCCUCUUUAGUUUCAGUUCUAUACCGGCUUCGUUAGUCUCAGCACCGGUACCAGCGCUAGUGUCAGUCUCAACGCCAGUCUCUAUGCCGGUCUCAAUGUCGGUCUCAGCCUUGGAUGUGACAGGUGGGCCCUGCAACAACUGUUGCUCAUCGAGAAGGUUCAAAUAGGCGUCUGCCACUGUGUAGACGUUGCAAUCACCAGAACCCUGUCCUUCAUCGUUGCUAGCCAUGUUUCCUACGAUUAAAUCUAGUCAAUUAAUCAUAGACCUAAUAAAAUGAAUAAUGACAUAGAAAGGCCAAUGUUUUGUAGGAAUGUUGAUUCAUUCCAAUUGCGGCAAAUCCCAGGCACUCGAUGUGUCCUAAUUUUUAGCACAAGUCAUGCCGAAAUUCACAAAAAAAAUUGGCAUAACCUUUGCUACAAACUGGACAAAUAGAGCGCCUGAAAUUUGCCGGAAUGGAAAUGAAUCAACAUUCCAUCAAAACAUAGGCCACUUGGAAUCAUUCCCCGCAAACAAAAGAAGACCACUUGGGCACAGUCGAACCACUUCAAUGUUGCAUAUAACAUGAGCAAACACUGUUGAGGAAUUUGCAUAUAACAUGACCGCUUUAAUUAAAAGAUAUAAUCAACAAUAAUAGAAUAUGCAAAUGAACAUCAAUAACAUAUAUCAUAUAACAUCAAUCUUGUUUUUCGUUUACAUAGCAACAAUUACUUUAACCAAAUUUUUGAAAAGAAAAACAUUUUUUUUGUUUAUAGCUAAAUGCCAUAGCUACUAUUUUUUAUUUAUAGCUAAAUACUUUUGUUUUUUGUCUAAAGCUAAAAGUCUAAUCUUUAAAAUAGAACUUGCCUAAGUUAUUUUCCUUGACAAAUAGUGGUCUUUUCAAAAACCAAAAACCUUUGCAAAAUUCUGUUCUAGUUAUUCCUCUCUCUCUCUCUCUCACACACACACACACACACACAUUAUUAUUUUUCAUCCAAAUUGUUUUAGAGCAAAUAUUCCAACAAUACUUGUCCUUAUUAGAAAUUGCAAAGGAACUCCAUUUUCUCUGACCCUUUUGACCUUACCAAAAUUUCCACAGCAAGACCUUAGUACCUACACCCAAUUUCUUCAAAAAUAUUCAGGUCAAUAGUCCAAAUAAUUCAAAUUUCAUUUGAAUGAAAUUUGGACCAGAUUCAGGUCCAUAGUCCAAAUAAAUUUUUAUAGCUAAAUGAUACUGUCUUUUCUUUAUAGCCUCUAUUAAUUUAAAGCUAAAUGCUACUAUUAUAUAUAUACCCUCUGUUAAUUUAAAGCUAAAUGGAAUUACUAUUUAGGCAUUUUCAUAAAAUUUUGCCUUAGCUAAUUUCCUAAAAUAAUUUUCUAAUCUUCCUUCCUAAAUGCUAAAAAAUGCCUACUACUCUAAACAAAUCUAGGGUUCAUAUGAACACAUAAGGUUCAUAUGAGCAUCAUCACAAAAGCAACAUAUGAAUUGCCCUAGCAGAGAGAGAGAGAGAGAGAAAGAUAGAUAGAGAGAGAGAGAGAGAGAGACUUACGGUUGGCGGUGAGGGCGGGCUCGGGCUCGGGCGGUGGCAGUCCUGGGCGGGCUCGGGCGGCGGCGGUGAGGUCGAGGGCGGCCUUGGGCGGCAGCGGUGAGGUCGAGGGCCUGCUCGAUCGGGCAGGGCGAUCAACAAUGGCGAGAGGAGUUGGGGAAUAGGGGGUAAAGGACUUAGCAAAAUUUUGAGCCCGCGCGGUGUUAAGUCAAAAUAGUAGUGCCGUUGGUAGGCAAAAAGGGCUAUAGCGCUCUCUACCAAAACACGCUACUGCUAUAGGAAGUAGUUGUUUAUUUUCCUUUUUCUAAGCUUAGAAAACGUGAUACUGCUAGAAUAACUAUAGCGCUUUGUGGCAACAAGCCCUACUGCAAUGCCUUUCUCUUUUAUUUUUCUUUUAUUUUUUUUAUCUUUACAUUUUCUUUUUUUCAUUUCUCCUUUUUCUACUUCUUUCAUUUUUCAUUUACUUUUCUAUUUCUUUUCCAUUUUAUUUAUUUUUUAGCAAUAGUGCUCUAUACAGGAAACACGCUACUACAAGUCACUUAGCUGUAGCGGAAAGUGCUAUUCUGAGCUCGAGCUCAGAUGUGCCCUUUAUCUCAGCUGUUGUCUAGCGUUAAGAUUCACACCACCACUAGUAUUUUACUCUGUAUUCGGAGCAGUAUGCAUGGCUUUUUCAUCCCAUGUGGCCCACCCAACUACCGCAUUCAAUGUAACGGUCGUCAUCCUCGCAGCCACAACUCAGAUGGAGCGUUGCGCCAUAGGCCAUGGCUCAGUCGUUAGCCAGCAAACGGACGUCAUCCCUCGUCCCACAGCUCCCAUUAAUUUAGCUACUACAUCCUUCCACUCCCAGAUUCCUCUGCCACCCCUGCUCGCCCCCUUCCCUUAUCCCCUUCAUCCUCGUUGAGCAGACUGGAAAUGAUGUCGGCCUCCUCCUCUUCCUCGCAGGCCGACAGGUGCUCCCCUGAUUCCUUGCCUAGCUUGUGGCGACAAGGUGGUCACCUUCGAAUUCUGAGCUGGCAACGCUUCUACAAGUGGGUCAAAAAGAUGUAAGUACUCCAUGCUAAGAAAAUCAAAUGCCUAUCCCUUUUAUCUCAGGAUCAAAUCACUCUUCCUGCAGGCUGCUAUAUGCAAGUUUUUGAGAUCGACGGAACACCUACCCGCCUGAGCUUAGUCGCCGCGGCUUGACCCAGCCGUACAUGUUGCAUCACUCUAUAGUUGUGCACCCGUCUGCUUCCCUUCAGCAUAGAUCCAGGCGAGACCACCAGUUCAUGGAUGGCAGUCAGGCUGAGAUCCAAGCAGCGCAUGCACGCAUCCAGCCGCAGAUGCAGCAAGCUAGCCCUCCCUGCGUCGCCGCACCGCUGCGCUGCUCCGCUGAUAGCCAACGCACGGCGGUGCUGUUGGCCGGAGUGAACUUUAUCCUUGUCCUGGGUCUGCUCUUCUUAAUCUUUGUGCAGCGGAGCAGCUAGUUUCCUAUGUAGGAGGCUUGUAAUAGGGAUAGUCAUCUAGUUUGGUGUACUAGUUAAUUUCAUAAUCCCAGUUUGUAAUCCGGAGUCUGUAACCUGGCAAUCACUGCCAACUACUCCCUCUGUCCGGAAAUACUUGUCAUAAAAAUGAAUAAAAGGAGAUGUAUCUAGAUGAAUUUUAGUUCUAAAUACAUCCCUUUUUAUCCAUUUUGAUGACAAGUAUUUUCGGACGGAGGGAGUACAGGGUUCUCUUUUCUGUUAUCUCCAAUCAUCUGAUCAUUGUUAGUCCAUUUUGUACGUAAUCAUGGUUAUCUAUGAAUUAUUUCAGUAAGAUUUUUUUAAAUACCCAUGCUCCCGACCUAUUUGUCAAUUUAUGUCGGCGGCCACUCUCCUUGGCGCACCCGGAGACGCCCGCCUUCCAGGUUUCCCCUCUCCAUCUUAUUUUCAAUCCGCUUGUCCAGGGUGAUUUCCAUUCAUGGAAUUUUUGCAGAUGCACUUCUUUUGCAGAUCAAAAGCUAUUUAGCUUCACAGAUUGAAAGGUCCAGUUUGACAUUAAGAUUGUUUAUAGAUUCAUAGGUUCACAUAUUCAUUUUUCUUUAGAAACAAAUAGUGCAUGCAUUCAUUCAUGGAUUAUACGAUCCAAGGCACGAAAAUCAUUAUAGGUCCAUAAUGUUUUAUUGAUUCACAAUAUAUUACAUCCAGUUUUUGCAAUGCAGCAACACUGUCCUACAGGAUCCAUUUUACCUUACAUGCAUAGGGCCACAUAGAUUCAAUCUGAAACUUCAGUUCACAACUAUAUUUCUAGUUUUAGUCUCUAGGGAUAAAAAGUUUCAGAACUUUCAAAUCCACAUUGUCUACACAUGCAUUGUGUAUCGGAUUCAGUUGUGGAAAGCAUCGGAAUUUUAUAUAGGAUCCAUUUGAUGACUGUAUAUUAGAGAAAAGGUAAUAUGUUUUUUGAAUUCUCUGAAAGUCUGAAUCCCAGGUUUUUAUUUUUUAGUCCACAAUACCAGGCUUAUUUUUUUCCACCAAUGUUGCAGGGUAAAAUGUCAGUUGAAGGCGGCUGUGAGGGAGAGAUGGGCGACAAGAACCUGCAGGCGGCUAGCCAAGAUUCAGGACAGAGUGGUGACCCCGCCGUGCCCCCAACACCAACCUCUCGUAUAUCUGUCAAGCAGGAUGUUGAUGUCAUCUAGACAUUGAAUGAGUUCAAGCGAUUUCUUGUUACGAGCAUUGGGUUUGGUGGUAUGCUUGACCUUCAAAUGCUGCAGAAACUAAACCUGAAAUUCAGUGCAUGGACAAUGAGUAAGGUAAGCACCACCCGCCGCACCAUUGUCCUGGCAGAGAACAAGAUAAUGAUAUUUUCAGAAAGCAUGGAUAUGCCACUAUUGAUUUCUGGGGAACACUAGCUAAUACUGAGACGAUUAAGCAGUUCAACUGGUGUGAGUAUGUGAUUCAAUGCCUGCUCGCUGGUGUUAGGAGGCUAAAGAAUAAUACCCGAUCGGGCAACCCCACCACCAACUUAGUCGGAUGCUACUUGUUUCUCUAGGUAAUAUUGUGUAUGGAGGCCCCAAAUUCAUGACACUGGUUACUUUCAUUUUUUUGGGUGCUAACAAACUGUUGCACUCAUAGAUAUUCCUGCUAGACAACCUCACCAUUGGGAUGUUCAACUAGCAACAUUCUGAGUUGCUGAGGGUAAAGUUGUUUAUCAAGACUCAAUGCGGAGGAUGACAACCAUGGCUACUGAUGUUGGAAAGCCGGUCACAUCUUACAGUGGCACAUCGGUAAGUGCCGGCCAUAUCUCUUAACAGCCUUAUAAGUGCAGGGCAUUCGCAGCGGCAAGACCUCGUGUUCUCGACACCAACUUUUCCCUGCAAAAUUUGCACCAGCUUUUCCCUGCAAAAUUUGCACCAAUUUUGGUCACCGACGUUGCAAACUAAUCAAAAAUAAAUUGGGACUGUUGAAGCAGUAACACUAGCAAAGUUUUGUACUCACCGAGCAUCCACAAACUAUUUCUUGCAUGCAUUUUCUCCUCUCGGCAUUCAGGCGGCUCUUACCGUAUCGAAUACCAAAUCCUUUCUCCCAUAAGUAAAAAAUGUAGUAGUCGUAUGCCUCACCCACUGAGUCAAAUGUAGUGCCAACAACUGGGGUAAUAACACUCUCAGUUGGGUUCUCGGCAAAACUCCUGAUAGCCUUCUCAAAUGCACUAACGCGGUUUAGGCAAGGUGCUCUGCUAGGGGCUGCAGCUCCAAUGCAUAGCCUUUUUUGCAAAAACAGCAAGUAUGGUAUUAGCUUACAAAGGUUCAGCAACCAUCAGUCAACACUAACUAGAUGCGUUUUUUUUAAUUGACUUGUUUGCACUCAUCAUUUUACCCUACAGGAACUAACCAUGUUGUUCUGUGGUUGUCCUAAUCCAGCAAGCAACAUUUUUACUGCCAACAAGUUCAUGUAAUCCUGUACAUUUAUUUUUGCAAGUCCCGAUACAUUUUUUCAGCUUAAGCAAGAAUAAUUCACACUAACUAGAUGCAUGUAAUUCACUGGUUUCGUAAGAAUUUUUUUUGCCUGCAGCAAGUGAAUAUAAAUUAUGUACUCCCUCCGUCCCAAAAUAAGUGUCUUGAGCUUAGUACAAAUUUAUACUAGAGCUAGUACAAAGUUGAGCCAGUUAUUUUGGGACGGAUGGAGUACUUGUUAUAAUCCACGGAAUCAUUUCUCUGGAAGUCUCGGUACUUAACUGAUGGUAACCACGCAAAUCAUUGGAUACAUACGCAUACAUGUGUUUUGUCAGGACCACAAAUGCACACACUAAUUCAGCCAGUUCAGCCCAUCUGUGCCAGAACAUUACUGCCCCAAUUUAUCAGCAUUACUGGCUCAAAAAACACUAACCUUUUGUUCCAUCCAGGAGCCCGCGGGUUCAUCUUCCCAGUUGACAGCUCCGAAGCCGCAGGAGAGCUCUCCCUCUUUCUGCCGCUGCUAAGCCGCCGGCGCCAGCUUCUCAACAACUUGCUCCGUCACCAUGAUAGCCGCCAUCGCCAGUGCUUGUUCGGCCGCCACAGAAUCCCCCACGGCCGCUCUCUGGUCCACUUCACCCGCUCGUACCAAUUGCUGCUCUGGCACCUUUACAUCCCCAAUCGCCCCUGCCCGCCCCACCGCACCAUGUUUUGCCGCAGGAGCCAGCACCAUACUCUCGCUGACCUCCUCCAGGAAAGUAGAUCUGAUGGAUGACGAGCGAAAUCCGUACCAAACUAUCAAUCCAUGAACCUAAUCCAAGAAAUCAACCACGAGAAAAGGGAAGAUUUUACGAAGCCGCGUAUCGGCUGCAUCAGGAACUCCAUGGCUUGCCGCCGCCGCGUCCUGUCUCGAUGACUCACUACCCAAGCACCCAAAGUUUGGAGAAGGCAUUAGAAUAGUACAUCCAUCUGACCGCAUGACCCCACUGACAGGAAAAAGCAAUGCCCUGGGCCACGGAUCAGACGUCAACGACUAUUCUGGGCGACGGCUCGCAUCGUCUCACCUCGAGGCGAUCCGCUCUCCGGUUAAUUUAUGGCCCACCAUCCACUUGCAGUGCGUACGUAUUACUGAACAAUACACCUUUUCUAGCAGCCCAUGCCCUCCCGUAUAAAGAAAUGGCACAGAUUUUCACACAGAAAUCAGCUGUAGCGUGCUUUUUGCAGCAGCGCUACUACUAUUCCUAGCUUAUCGGCAGCAGUGUGGGAAUCAUAGUAGUAGCGCUUUUUCCUGCAGACGCGCUACUGCUAUAACCUGUAGCGCUCUUUAUUAACACGCGCUACUACUAAGUAUCACUAGCGCUCUGUUCUAACCAAGGCUACUGCUAUGCCUUUGGUUUAUAAGGUUUUCCCUAGUAGUGGUGGGGGCUUUCAAUAGCUAUGAUGUUAGUCCAUGUUUUGUAUUAUGCAGUUUCUUUUACAGGAGGUUCAACGAAAGUAAACACAAAAGAUGGAGCCAGAGACAACAAAUUCAAUAGACUUUGAUGUAACUUUCGAUGGUAUCAGGGGUGGUUUUUAUCUGUCUGUGGUUCGGUUUCUUUGAUCUGACGCACUUUAUUUAUUUAUAAUGAAUAAAUUUGGACCGUUCUAAAAAGAAUCGAAUUCAUGCAUAAGCUAGUUCAUUCAUAAGAUCAAACUAAUGGAGAAAAAAGGGCAAUAUGUUUCAUCAUUUUAUUUUUGUGGAUUAGCAACCGUUAUGCUCACUAGACCACAAGUUAGGAGCGGGAUCAUCUCUGUUCUCCAACGUAUGUACUCAUGAAACUGUAUCCGGAUCAUUCUAUCGUGCCAAGGUACCAUGUACUUCCUCCGUCCCAAAAUUCUUGUCUUAAAUUUAUCUAGAUACGAAUGUAUCUAACACUAAAAUAUGAAUAGAUACAUCCGUAUGUAGACAAAUCUAAGACUAGAAUUUUGGGACGGAGGGAGUAGAAACAUGUACUAUCCCCUUUGUCCCUAAAUACAUGGUGUCCUCGUUUUCAUGAAUAAAUUUGACAAUCAAUUGCGCCCACAAGAUAUAAAGUAUGUCAUAGAAAUUAUACCGCUAGAAACCAUAUUUAAAUCAAAAAAUAAGAAUUGAGGAAUUGAUUGAUGUAAAUUUUGUGAUAUAUAACUGACAUUAUAUUGGCCAAAUCGAUGUUCAAAAUUAAACCUUAACAGGGACCGACGGAGAGUAACUGAUAGUGGCGCCAAGCUGCCGUCAUGAAGUGUGGAACUCUCAGCCAAUGGUUAGGUACAUACUCCCUCCGUUUUUAUUUACUUUGCAUAUUAGAGUUGACUGAAGUCAAAUUUCAUAAAGUUUGAUCAAGUUUAUAGAAAACAAUAUAGACAUUUAUCAUAAUAGAUCUAUACGAUGUGAAAGUACAUUCAAUAAUAAAUCUAAUGUCAUUGAUUUUUUAUAGUAUAUCUUAAUAUUUUUGUCUAUAAAUUUGGUCAAAGUUUAUAAAGCUUGGCUUUGACCAAAGCUAAUAUGCGAACUAAAUAAAAACAGAGGAAGUACUACACUACUAGCUUUCAGAUCCUAGUAAACUUUCUAGCUAGGCUCCGCCUCUCUCGUGCACCCGCGUCGCACGACAGCACGAGUGCAGCACGCAUCGGCAUCGACGGCUUGACCAUGCAGCAUAUGCAUGGACGCACACGAAUCACCAUGUCAGCGAAAAUGUCCUUCAGAGUUAAGGGACCACAAAGUAAAAAGGCAAAUGCUUAUUACUCAUGGUCAAUAGGAAAAGCCAGGAAUCUUGUGCAAAAUAUUUGUUUAGUACUACUACAGACCACACAAAAUAUUUUUGCAAAUAAUUGGCUGAUGAUCAUCCCACGUUCCCGCUAUUCUCAGCCUGCACAGCUGAUCAUACGUUGCCUUCGACUCGACAAUCGUGGAAUACAAAAUUCAUAAAAUCAACAGCCCCCGUCUUCGUUAUUAUUUAUAUGUAAUCCUGUUAAAACAUAGUAUGACAUGCUAUCUACAUAGUACUUUUUUUUUGCGAAAAAUCUACAUAGUACUAUUUCUUUAAAAAAACUGACCCUAGGAGUAGAAACAACAAAUCCUGCUAAAACAUACGACAUGUUAUUUACAUAUAAGUAUAGCUGAGCAUAGGAAUAGAAGAAAAAAACUAAAAGAACAAAUCGAUUUUGCACAGGCAUAUCACAUAUGCUAGGCUGCGCGCACCUAGAGCUAGCUAGCGCCUUGCUGCAGCAGUAGCAGCCGCCGCAGCUUCCUCCGCCACCAACCGCUCAUGCACCUUCUUGAUAUACUCCGCCGCGGCCGCGUCGAUGCCGCGCAACUGCGCUACGGCGCCGGCGGUCGUCGUCGUCUUUCCCUGAGCAUCGAUCUUCUCCACCCUCUGGACGCAGAUUUCUGACAUGCCUGAUACUAAGUGGCGUCGAGUGUUUUCUGUUUGUUUGGUUUGGACUGAAUGAAAGAAUGAUCAUCGAGGCGGGUACAGUAUUUAUAGAGAGCAGACACCGCCUCCACGCGGUCGCGUGGAUUCCAAGGAAGAAGGCAAGAAACGACCGCGUCUGUCCGUAUAUACGUGGCUGCUGUAUAAGCACUGUAUAUAUAGUGUACCUCACGGUGUGUUUCAGUUUGAUUUGGUCAAGGUUCUUUCUGGAUGCCGUUUAAGAAAACACAUGCAUGCACUCCUACUCAGCAUAUUCACUAGUGCUGAUUAACUUGCACGAAAUCUCUUGUCAAACCACUCUGACUAUAUUACGGGUGCAUUUGUUUGGGCUCACCAGCAAGAAUCACUGUGAGAUUCUUUCUCACGCCUACCGGCUUCUCGGGCUCCGGAAGCUGGAGCCCAAACAAAGAGCAUUUUUCGGGGCAGCUCCAUGGAGCCGCUGGAGAGAAGCACUCCACGAAACGGCCUGUAGCAACAGAGGAGCUAAGACGAAGGAGCAUGAGGUUUGUGGAGGAAAAACUUCACCAUGGUACUACAGAAUGUGCAACAUUUGUGUUGAAGAAACUACUUUAACGUACAUGCUGCGCUAGAUAUCAAAUAUAGUGAGUGCUGAUUAACUUGCACCAAAUCUGUCGUCAAAACCACUCUAACUAUAUCACGGGUGCAUUUGUUUGGGCUCGCCAGCAAGAAUGAUUCUGAGAUUCGUUCUCACGCCCACCCGGCUUCUCGGUCUCCGGAAGCCGGAGCCCAAACAAACAGCUUCCUUUACAGGAGCAGCUACAUGGAGCCGCUGGAGAGAAGCACUCCACGAAACGGCCUGCAGAUAGAGAGGAGCUAACACGAAGGAGCAUGAGGUUUGUGGAGGAAAAACUCCACCUUGGUGCUACAAAAUGUGCAACAUUUGUGUUGAAGAAACUAUCUGAACGUACAUCCUGUGCUAAAUAUCUUUUUUUUUGCAUGAUAAUACGUGUCUCAUUUAUAUCAUAAGGAUUAUAAUACAAGUCACGUACAUACCGACCUGGCAAAACUAGAAAAAUAGCAGAACGCUAGUCUUUGCACAAAGGAGCAACAACCAAGAAGUAAAAUUACAAACAAAACCGAAGAAACCUCUGAGCUUGACACCAACACCCGUCACCUGCCUCUGGCACCACCAUAGCAGCCAUCAAAGGAGAAAAUGACGGAUCACCUCCACACCCGAGCUCGACGCGGCUCCAUCGCUGAUAUGCAGUUUUACGGACCUCCAAAUUGGCUUGCCAAAGAUGAAACCCUUAUCGUUGAACGAAUCAAAUCGGGGCAACACCUCGGACACGCCAUGGAACUCCAGAUCUGGCACCCCCAUAAGACUAAGACGUUGGAGGAAAAACCAUACCUGCCAUCCACGUACCACAAACCCAGCACACGAUCCACCAUCUUUCAGAUGCCGUCGAUGCAGACCACAAUCUACAUCCACUCCUGGACUACCUCCCAAGCUCCGCGUCGGUGCUGGAGUAAACGCCGUCGCAACGACGGAGCUCGAGGACACAGACAGGGCCAGCCCUGAGGAGGGAGGCCGCCCCAGACCCCCGAGAUUUAGGGGCCCUUCCCAUGUGUAGUGUACGUAUAAAGGUAAGUAACCCAUUUGGCCAUUGAUUCACGUAGAAAAAAAGGAAGUAGCCCAGGUCCAUAAAGGAAGGGAUGGCAGGUAGCGUACGCACGUAAAUCAGUGUACGAUCGUGAGGAAACAAAUUAGUGUAACACACCUAAAUCACGUCCUUCCGUUCUCUUUAUUCCUUACUAUCGUGAGACAAUCUCCCUCCAAAACAAAGACGAUUGUGUGACGUGAUUUAAUCCGUAAUUUGCUAUAUCCUCCGUUCUCUGCAUGCUCCAAACCCUAGUUUCCAAAUUGCAGAGCCUCCUGAAAAUAAGCAGCCGGGGGCUGAUUGUCUCCAGGCGCUGUACGCGGUGACAACGCAGCAUGAACAUCGCCUACCCCUGAAAAUUGACACUGCCAGAGUGGGGCACACACGUCAUCGAGUGUGUGUCACCAAAAAUCCACAUCACAUCAUCGCCGAGCGUCCAAUGAUUGAUGCUGAUCUAAGUAAACCUUACUAUUCCCUACUCCCCGCAAAAUGUUUUACUAUUCCCUACAAUUUUAAGUAAACCUUCGUGCUUUGAGGAAGAAACAAUUUGAUAAAAGUAGUUGCCAAAAUAAAUUUCUUGAAGCUGAGAAGGAUUUUCAUAUUAAAUAUUUGUUUGCUUUGGUUCAUAUGAAUCACUUCACUGAAGUAAAGGAUUUAAGAAAGUCACAGUGUUUAAAGAUUUAUUCUGAUUACUGUGCAUGUGAUUGUUCCAUCUUAGAUUAAAAAAAGCUUUAAAAAUUUGAAAUUAUUGUUGAACCACAUGGGAUAAACAAUGCCUGGAAGAGCUUAAAUGGUUAGGCAACAUUAUGCAUCGAGAAGUGCAUGACAUUGACUUCGAUAUCGACACAAUCAUAAGUCAAUUUACAUUGAAGAAUCUUACAAGAAAAAUUGAAAACAAUAUGCAUAUGAUGUUUAUAUUAAGGGCCCCCAAAUUUACGUUCGCCCCGGGCCCCCAAAAUCCCAGAACCGGCCCUGGACACAGGUCCACCACAAGGAUGCCGCCGCCGCCACACCAUUUUUACUUGAACAGACUGGAUUCCAAAUCCAUUCCCGACCAUAAGAACAAUAGCCUGAUCGAAGUAGGAUCCGAAGAAAUUUUAUUUAGCUGUCAUGGCCGCUGCCGAAGCAAGACGAUGAACAACCUAGAAACUAAUCUAUUUUGGACUAAAAACUAUCCNNNNNNNNNNNNNNNNNNNNNNNNNNNNNNNNNNNNNNNNNNNNNNNNNNNNNNNNNNNNNNNNNNNNNNNNNNNNNNNNNNNNNNNNNNNNNNNNNNNNNNNNNNNNNNNNNNNNNNNNNNNNNNNNNNNNNNNNNNNNNNNNNNNNNNNNNNNNNNNNNNNNNNNNNNNNNNNNNNNNNNNNNNNNNNNNNNNNNNNNNNNNNNNNNNNNNNNNNNNNNNNNNNNNNNNNNNNNNNNNNNNNNNNNNNNNNNNNNNNNNNNNNNNNNNNNNNNNNNNNNNNNNNNNNNNNNNNNNNNNNNNNNNNNNNNNNNNNNNNNNNNNNNNNNNNNNNNNNNNNNNNNNNNNNNNNNNNNNNNNNNNNNNNNNNNNNNNNNNNNNNNNNNNNNNNNNNNNNNNNNNNNNNNNNNNNNNNNNNNNNNNNNNNNNNNNNNNNNNNNNNNNNNNNNNNNNNCUUCAUGUGAAUACCCAUGAUUUUUAUAAAACAAUGUUGAUUUUGGCGAAAGAGUGACAAUCUUUAAAAAACAGUAAUGAUUUUGGUAAAAUGAAUACACAUAAGUACCUGGUUGCAAAUUUCUGGAGCCGCCACUGUCACCGCCGACGACCGAGGUCGUUGGCGGACAGGAACCGCCGGAGGACGGCUGCACAAAAAUUCCCUGGCGAGGCGGCGCUGGCUAGAUCGCCUCUUCCUUUGAAAGGAAGAUAGAGCGAUACAACGUUCUGCUGCGCUAGAUAUCAUUCUAGAGUUCUAGAGGCUAACAAACAUGUAGAGCACAUGAUCUAGUCCAAAAUCAACAUGUAUAAUCGUAGAUGAUUAACUACAACCCGGUCGUUCCUUUAAAUCAACAUCAAAACUAGAUGAUUUAACUUAUAAUCAGCAAGUUAUAUGUUUAAUUUAUCUAAUUCGUCUAAAUACAUUGUCUAACUAGAGAGUGUAAUUUUCAAAUGAUUGUGUUAACCGGUAUUGAAUAGAAAAAAAAAGGCAACGAUCAGAAUUGCGAGGAAGCGACGAGUGAAAAACGAAAAAGAGCUACACGCGCAGGAUGGCUUGGUUUGCGUGCGUGUGUACGUCAGGACCUGCAACUGCUGCACAAAUCUCAAAUGGGAAUCAGAUUCUUUGAUGGCUACAGGCGACUGUCAAUCGACACGAACAGAGAAGACUACUAGCUUACAUCCCCAUCAGUUCCAGGACUCUGUCGUGUGUCGGGCGGCCGGCCAAACAUUUCCACCUAACCAAAUUAAGCACAUGUGCACUUCUGCCUUAAUAGCUAAGCACUGGAUUCCCCCAAUCUGCGUGUGGAAGGUGAGAUUAGGGAAAUCGAGUGGAAACCAUUUAUGCGCAUGCUUCUCGUUAACCAUUUGUGCGCCUGCAUCUCGUUAUUCUUGUCAGAUGAAGUGACGAUAACUUCUGGGAUGUCAUCAAGAAUGACCUAAUGGAGUUGUUUAAUUUUUUUCAUGUCGGUCAACUAGACCUAUCUAGGCUUAAUUUUGAUGAGAUUGUUUUGUUGCCAAAGACUAAGGAGGCUGAACAAAUUCAACAGUUCAGACCGAUCUACCUCCUUAAUGUCAGCUUCAAAAUCUUCACCAAAGUUGCGACUAAUAGACUCAAUACGGUCGCCGAUCAUGUUGUUCAGCCAUCCCAAACGGUUUUCAUGCAAGGACGAAAUAUACUCGAUGGAGUAGUAAUCCUUCACGAGACCGUCCACGAGAUGCACCGAAAGAACAUAAGUGGAGUAGUAUUUAAAAUCGACUUUGAAAAGGCAUACGACAAAGUCAAAUGGUCAUUUCUCCAACAAACCCUAAGAAUGAAAGGUUUCUUAGAUAAAUGGCGCGAGUUGGUCCAAAAUUUUGUUACUGCAGGUAGUGUGGCUAUAAAAGUCAAUGAUGAUGUAGGCCAUUACUUUCAGACGAAAAAGGGAUUACGGCAGGGUGACCCAGUGUCUCCAAUGUUAUUUAACAUUGUCGCUGACAUGUUGGCUACCUUGAUCAAACGCGCCAAACAGGACGGUCAAAUUGCAGGAGUAGUGCCACAUCUUGUGGAUGGCGGACUCUCUAUCUUGCAAUAUGCCGAUGAUACAAUUCUUUUUAUGAAACAUGACCUAGAUAAGGCUAAAAAUAUGAAACUUUUGCUUUCAGCUUUUGAGCAAAUGUCAGGUCUGAAAAUUAACUUCCAUAAAAGUGAAGUGUUCUAUUUCGGAGAAGCCAAGGAGGCGACCGCACAAUAUGCUGACUUGUUAGGUUGUGCAAAGGCCAAUUCCCGAUUAAAUAUUUGGGAAUUCCGGUUCAUUAUCGUCGUCUCACUAAUGCGAGUGGAAACAUGUUGAAGAGCGAUUGGAGAAACGAUUGAGCAGUUGGAAAGGCAAGUUGCUCUCUGUUGGUGGAAGACUAGUUUUGAUCAAUUCUGUUCUCACAAACAUGGUUCUCUACAUACUCUCAUUUUUUCCAAAUUCACAAAGGGGUUCUGCAAAGACUGGAUUACUUCAGAUCCAGAUUCUUUUAGCAAGGAGACAGUGAAAAUAAAUAGUAUAGGCUAACCAAAUGGAGUGUGAUUUGUCGACCAAAAGACCAGGAAGGUUUAGGUGUUCAGGACCUCCAGGUUAAGAAUGAUGCCUUGCUCAGUAAAUGGUUGUUCAAGCUACUUACCGAGGAUGGUGUUUGGCGAACCCUGUUGCAUAAUAAGUAUCUAGGCCAAAAAGCGUUGUCCCAGGCAUAUUGGAAACCUGGUGACUCACAUUUUUGGUCUGGUCUGAUGGCGGUAAAGAAACAUCUAUUUCACUUUGGAUCAUUCGCGAUAAAGGAUGGCUUCGAGAUACGUUUCUGGGAGGACAGGUGGCUAGGAAACACCACUCUUCAGGAACAGUAUACAGCCUUGUACCGAAUUGUACGCGAUAAGAAUGAUACUCUUGCGCACAUGCUCAGCUCCUCCUCGCCGAAUGUAUCAUUUAGGAGGGAUUUGAUUGGCCUCCGCCUUGCGUCAUGGCAACAUUUUCUAUCCCGUUUGGAUUCGGUUAACUUGACACAAGGGAGGGAUAUGUUUCGUUGGAAUCUCACUACAUCUGGAUCCUACACAGUUGACUCUAUCUACAGUGCACUCUCGCACUCAGAGGUUCCAUUGGAUAAUAAUAAACUAAUAUGGAAAUCAAAGAUGCCACUAAAAAAAUAAGAUUUUCAUGUGGUAUCUUCGGAGAGGAUUUGUGCUAAUAAAAGACAACCUCGUUCGACACAACUGGCAAGGAAGUAAGAAGUGUAGCUUUUGUACUCAUGACGAGACAAUUAAACACCUCUUCUUUCAGUGCAAGUUUGCGCAUUCUAUAUGGCCAGUCAUCCAAAUAGCAUCCAAUUUGUAUCCGCCAACAAGUGUUGCCAAUAUAUGUGGUCACUGGCUUGAUGGAAUACCAAAUACUUUUAGUACGCUAAUACGGGUGGGAGCGUCUGCCCUAUUACGGUCGCUUUGGCUAUGUAGAAACUGAAAGAACAUGCGAUGCCCCCAUGUUUGGUUUUGGUAAUUGAUGACAGUCUCUAUGGACUAAUGGUUGCCUUGAGUUAUAUUUGAAUGUUUUGUCCAUAGGCUUUUCUUGAAGUCCAUGUGUUGGUUUCAAGGAGUUUAUGAGUUGACCAAGGUGCUAUUAAGGAAUUAUCCAAAGAUUGGUCAUGUGAGUGUUGAGCUUAUUGCAAGCAUGUCUUGAAGAAGAAGAUUAUGUGAUCAUUCAUGUUUACCUUCAAGACAUCAUCCAAAUGAAGAGAGUUGGAAAGAUUCAAGGUUGAUCUAGCCUAAGUACAGAGAGUGAUUCAAGUUGAUCAACACACAAAGCGCACAAGUUGUACCGAGAGGGACCAAGUGUUCCCAUGGUAUGGUAAGCAUUGUUCAUUACGCUUUGUGUACUAACCCAUGGUCUAAAUGAGAGUUCUUUGUGGGGUUAGGUAUGUUUCCAUGGUCUUGCGUCAAGAGGAAGAUUCCAUACAACCCAUGAAGGAUGACAUCAAGUGGUCAUCGUCAUCAAGUUUGUUGUGUGCAAGUUCAAGUGGAGCAACACGAAGAGUGGCUCACCCAUAAUGGAGUAUGGGGGAGCAAUCAAGUUUGAAUCUUGCCAUCCAUUGUGGUGUCAAUGGACUUGUGAAGAUGUGCCGAAGAGUCGCUCACCCAUAGUGGACUAUGGGGGGGCAAUCAUCUAGUCUUCAUCGAGCCAAUGCAAUCAAGAAAGGUGGUCCAACUUGAGGGAGUCAAAAUCGUCUUCAUCUAGCUCAAGUGGACCAUGUGCAAUGCAAAGGUUUGCCCUUGAUAGGUUUUCUAUUUUACCGGUCUCGUGGUGGUAGUUGGGAGACCGGGUUAUAGGAUCGUUUGCCGUACUAUCAAGGGGGGCUCUCAAGUUGGUAGCUUGAUCGUAUCGUUAGUAGAGAGCUGAAACCAUUGCAUCCUUGCAUCAUGUUUCUUUGUUCUUGUUUGGUUCUCUUUGUGAGUCUUAGAGCUUAUGGUCAUCUUGAUGACAAGCUUGAGUUCAUCAAAAACGGAGUUCGCAUGCGUCUUCUAUGAUGUUUUCGGUGUUGGAGGUUUUACCAGUCUUAUCCAAGGAAGGGUUCUCACCAUUUUCUUAUGGGCCUAUUCUCAUUUGCUUCUUAUUGAUAUUUCUAUCAAGAUUGUGUUAGCCCUUGUUGCUAUCUUUCCAACAAACUUGGUUUCAUCGAAUUCGGAGUUCGUAUGCGAAAGUUGUGGCUAUUUUGAUAUUGCCUGUUUUACAUAGAGAGGUUGUACCGCCCCGUAGAGAGAUUUACCGGUUGACCGAUACAACCGGUGUUUGGAGCGGUUGUACCGCUCCAGAAUUGGUCCGGAGGUUGUACCGGCCAUGUACCGCUCUACCACCUGACUAGUUUCUGUUUUGGAGCGGUUCUUGGGCGGUUGUUGACCGGUUUAACCGGUACUACCGGUUCCCCAGGCUAUUGUACCGCUUAGAGCUUUUCCCAGGUUGGUUUUUCCUCUGCUUUGGCCAGUUGUACCGGUUCGUGCACCGGUUGUACUGGUCCUACAGGUUUCUGCACAUAACAGGCAGAUUCGUGGGGACCUAUUUAAGGGGGUCUUCUUCCCCAAUGGUUCCCCAUCUCUUGAGCUCGUUUUGCCUCCAUUGUUGACCUUUGAGCUUGCUAACUCUCAAUCCCUCCAUGGAUUCUUGCUAGUUUUUGAGGGAAAAGAGAGAGGAGUUCUAUAUCCACACUUCCACCAAUCACUUUCUCCUCUAUGUGAGGGGAACCCCUUGGAUCUAGAUCUUGGAGUUCUUUGUGUUCUCCUUAUUGUUCUUCCUCUUACUUUCCUCCCUAGCAUUAGUUGCUUUGGUGGGAUUUGAGAGAGAAGGACUUGGGUACUCUGUGUGCCCUUGCCAUUGCAUUUGUGCAUCGGUUUGAGUUCUCCACAGUGAUACGUGGAAGUGAAGUUUGAGAAGCUUAUUACUCUUGGGUGUUUGGGCACCCUAGAGCUUGUUCCUCUUGGGUGCCUUGGCGCUCUAGACGGUUGGUGGUGUUCGGAACUCAAUCAUUAUGGUGUAAAGCUCCGGGCAAGCGUCGGGGUCUCCAAUUAGGUUGUGGAGAUCGCCACGAGCAAUUUGACAGGUACUGGUGACCGCCCCCAAGGGUUGCCAAAGUGUACGGGUUCGGUGACCGCCCCCAAGGGUCGCCGUUUGUACGGGUUCGGUGACCGCCCUCAAGGGUCCCUUAGUGGAAUCACGACAUCUUGCAUUGUGCGAGGGCGUGAGGAGAUUACGGUGGCCCUAGUGGCUUCUUGGGGAGCAUUGUGCCUCCACACCGCUCCAAACGGAGAUUAGCAUCCGCAAGGGUGUGAACUUCGGGAUACAUCAUCGUCUCUGCGUGCCUCGGUUAUCUCUCACCCGAGCCCCUUUAAUUAUGCACUUUACUUUGUGAUAGCCAUAUUGUUCUUUGUCAUAUAUAUUGCUAUCACAUAGUUGCUUAUCUUGCUUAGCGUAAGUUGUUGGUGCACAUAGGUGAGCCUAGUUGUUGUAGGUUUUGUGCUUGACAAAUUAACCGCUAGGUUUAUUCUGCAUUUGUUCAAGCCUAAAUCAUAAUUAUUUUAAAGCGCCUAUUCACCCCCCCCCUCACUACAAGAAAUAUGUCAACUUGUGACCACCACUAUUGGUCACUAAAAGGUCACAAAUUUCCAUUUGCGACCUUUUUGUGACCAAAAACAGAAGGUCAAAAGCUGGCCGUCAUAAACUGACUAUAGCGACCUUUCUUCUGGAAUGGUCGAAGAUGUUUACGACCAAAAUAUUCCUACUAUGGCGUUUUGGUCACUAGCAACCUCCCCAGGCCACGUAGGCAUCUAGCAUGGCAAGCUGAUGUGGCACAAGAUUCAGCGCGGUCCAAUUCGGUUUUCUACAUGGGCCUAGCCCAACAAUUCAGCCUAUUUGUGUUUUUUUUCUUCAAUUUUUUGUUGGGUUCAUGGGCCAAGCCCAACAUCCAUUUAUUCUUUUGGGCCAGCCUUUUUUCUAAGCUUCUUCCAUUUUUUGGGCCUCAGCCUUUUUGCGGUCCAUUCAUUUUUUUGUCCAAUAUUGUUUGGGCUAAGGCCUCUUCCAGCCCAUCAAUAUUUUCAGCCUGCUAAUUCAAAGGACUGGACAACAGAGAAACAAUUCAGUUUUUUCAAUUUUGCUAUCAAAGCAACAUUUGUUUCACUGUACAAUCAUACAUCAUCUGUUGCAGUUACAUAUUCAUCACAUUAUCUAUACAUAAGAAGCAGCAACUAAAAGAUUGUCAUAACAAACGACAGCCACUCAAAAGGAAGAUCACCAUCACAGCUCCAGCGACUACUAAUAUACACUACAACUUCCACUUAUGUGCAAACCUACAAGAAGGCCAAACAAAAAAGGAAUCGCUGAAUAUUCAGAGACCACUGCCAUGCUGCCGAUUGGAUUUGGUUGCAGCCCUUCCAGUUUGCUAAUGGCAUCUCUCCAGCAUCAUAUCUCAUAACCUACAAAGAGAACAUAAACCAACAUAAGAAUUUGAAACUUCUUCUAAUUUGAAAUUUCCGGUAAACGAUAAACUUGAGGUAACAUUCAGGACAGCAACACUGCUCCACUGUUUGAUAUAAGUGACUGCUGCAUGUCGUGUGUAUAGUACUAUAGUUUCAUCUUCAGACCAAUCAACGCCAAGUUUCAAAGAAAAUCUGAUGAUAAGUUGCACCAAGAUUUAGCAAGGUGCGUACCUCCAAGUGGAUGAGCGAGCUCUGAGACCCACUCCCUGACCCUCUCCGCAGAUGCUCCCGUCGAAGCAUACUUCAUCAUAGCAAGCACAAAAAUUCAGAAAACUACAGCUAGUGUAAAGAUGGACCAAACUACAGUUUAAGUAAAACUAUAAGAACACAAAAUAAAACUACAAAAACUACAGUUUCAGUAAAACUAUAAAUUAGUUUAGAUUAUGAGAGCAUACAUGGAAAGUCUGCACCAUUAGCAGUAACCAUUAACAAAAGAAAAUAAAUUAUGUCGAUGCUGGAAAUAACAUCUCUGGAGUAGUUUUAAUUGAAAAAAUCUAUAGAAUACUCCAGUAAUUAGAGUACACAGCUAAGAUGCUGGAAAGAACAUCACACAGGUAGGACAAACUACUCCAUCUCUGCACUACAUGCAGGAAAAACUACAGGAGUAUACAGCUACUCAUACGGGAGUACUAUGGGCAAGACAAAUAUAGGAGUAAGAUGUUGAUCAUGUUAGAUUCAGACUAUCACUGGUAGUGUAAUUUUCUACUACAUAAACAUCUACUGAACCAAUGGUGAAUAAUAGCUUAUUGUAGGUAAAAUCAUUUGGAUAACAAUAACUUGUUCAGAUAGUCGGAAUCAAUUAAGCUGCAAUCAAUUAAGCUGCUUAGGCAUCUGUGUACGUGAUUGUCUUGCAAAGAAUCGAUCAAAAUCACUAGUAGCACAAAGGACCCUCGCAGACAUUUGUAAUAGUAGGCAAACUGACCUUGUGCAUUGUACAUGUAAGGUAAGGUAAAUAGAGUUCCCAGCAGACAAUGUAUUCUAGUUAUCAAACAAAUGCUCGCCAAGAUAAUCAGUACAGUGGUGAACCGAACGCAGUAAUAAUCCAAAGGUGAUACUAAUAAGCAGUAGGAACCUCCCUACUUUUGUGAUAUAAAACUAAUAUCAGAUCAAUUUUGUACCAAGUUAAAGUUACUUUAGAUUGUGAACAGUUAGCUCGACUAACAUUUUCUAAACCUUCUAAUUAUAAGUUCCAUAACCUAAACACACUAUGCAACCAUUUGUGUGCUCUCUGUCAAGCUGAAUUUAGGCCUUUCCAUGGAGCAGAGAGCAUAGAUUCGAUCACCGGCCUUGUGCCAAGUCCCCCACGCCUUCCCGUGGCGGCCUUCACAACAAUGACCUGGAAGCAAAGCACACCAAAAACUAAGUCACACAUGCAUGCUAGUAAUCCACUGUCCUGUAGUUGUUUGGUUAUUAUUUUAGAUUAAUAUGAAUAAUUGAAUAUGUAUUAUCUGUUUUUAAAAAAUGAAGUAAAAAAGUUAUUCAAUAUUUCUUGGAAGAAAAUACGGCUGGCUGGAGAACCUGCUAUCCGAAAUGUCUAGACAAUGAAAAAGAAGCAGCAUUAUCAUAACCAGCACGGAAAUUUAGUGAAGUGGGAACCCAGUAAGGAGCUAUGUAUCUUUGUUCUAAUUUUCACUGUAUCUUCAGAGAUUGCUCUAAAUUCAGGAUGGUUCAGCUUUCAUUCUAAGAUGUGUGCAACAUUGCCAUCCUUCAGAAGGAAGCUACAGGGAGUCUCAAGGAAAUUAAACCUGCAAAGAGGCCGUGAUGGAGACACGAGGAAAUUGUGCAGAAAAUACUACAACCACAUUUCCUCAUAUCACCAUCACAUAUCCACAUCCCCUGUGCAGGUGGAAUUUGUCACAUAUCCAUAUCCACAUUCCCCUGCCGAACUGAACUCGUAUAUGGAAACACAAACCAACAAAUCAGACGAACAUAGCAAUUUCUGCACACUCCAGAGCUGGUGUUACUGACUAAACCAACCUAUUUCCUCUAGUAUUUCACAGAGAUUACAGGUCCGUACGCAACAGUGGCCUGAUUCCCUUGACAGGGCUAAGCACUACAAAGAAGUCGACCUAGGUAGUACGCGAUGGAACUAACAGAGCAGGUGCAGAGGCGAUGCUACGCAGACAUUACAGAGUGGAAUCAACGGGGUUCAGGUGGAUGAAUCGACAUCGCUUCGGCUGGCUCACCAAGGUUGCUCGAGAAGGAAAAGGAAUGGACCCAAAUCCGUACCUCGGGCUCGGAGGAGCCGAUGACCCAGGCUGGUCGACACCGACGAGCGUGGCCGGCAGGAUGCCGAAGACGAAGUCGCCGAAGGAAAUGUUGUAGCUCCGAGGCGCGCGCCGUGGUGCUCCUGCCAUGGGCCGGGCGUGUGAGGACGGUCGGGCUCCUCCCGCUUCUCCUCCAGAGGCCUCCGCUAUGCGCUGCUCCCACGCGAGCCCUGCAUGUCACCCAAGGAGAGGAGAGGAGCGCAUAUGUUAGGAACCGUAGGAGAGGGAGGGGAGGUGCGGAGUGUCGUGCGCGUACGUGGUCGUGGCGGGGCACGCCGCCAUCCUGGCCGUGGACUACCUGCCUGUGGUUGCCGGGCCGGCGAGACGAGGCGCCGCGCGACAAAAUCCCAAGGACGGAGUGGUUGGUUGGCUCGGAGUGGAUAAGGCUAGGGGAGAACGGGAGGGAGGGAGGAGCUCGAUCUCGUCUAUGGUGAGGGUCGUCGAUGGUGGGCGGCGGUGGAUAAAGAUCUAAGGGAGGGAGAGGGUGACUUGGAGAUGGGGAUCUAGGAUCGAGGGGCGCGGGAGAGGGUGGAGCAGUGGUGCUUGGGUGGUGGGGGUCGAGCUCCGCCGGAGGGAGGUGGCCGACGCACGCAGGAAUGGAGAUGGAGGCCGAGGGCUCUAACUUGGAUUGGAUCUGGGCGGCCGCGGUGAUUGGGAGAAGGGGGCUAGGGUUUCAUGGGUGGACGAGGAUGAGAGGAUCUGCAUCGGGGGAGAGGGGAGAGGAAGAAAGAAAGAAAGAAAGAAAGGAGGCGGGGGGUGGAUGGAAGAUGCCAGCUAGGGUUUCGCCUCAGGUGGGUUGGUGGGGGAGGCGAGGAGCGACGGCUACCGUUGGAUCCGGGAAGAUCCAAUGGUAUUUUGUGCAUGAUCUGUGUGCCUUGUCCACGGACCAAUCAGAACGCAAUACAAUAUUAUGACCAAUUGAAUUGGUCGUGAUAAAUUUAAAAAUAAGAUGCUAGAUCAUCUUAGUUAUUUACUUGACCUGAUACAUUGGAAAAAAAUGAAACAAAUGAAAAACCUUCUCAUCAUGUCAUCAAAUGUAACCUAGUUUUUAGAAGAAAAAAAUAACAAAAUAGUAAUAAGGAACUUUUCAUUUUCUUUGCACGAAAAUUCAUUUUUCAUUUUUUGAGUGCUCACAAUGAGUUUUUUUGUGAAGAACAUACCAAAUAUUUGUUGCAAAAUUGUAUCAAAUCAUUUUUCUAAAAUACUAGACCAUAUUUAAUGUACAAAUAACCAAAUGGUUGGGUGUCAAAACUUUUAAUCCACCUCUCGUGAAAAAGACAAAUUUCCGCUGAUUCAGCUGGAAGCGGAUCAAAUUUGAAUUACAGCUGCCUCAUAGUUUGCUAUUUAUUUUUUCCAAAAAUCAUUUCUAGGUACAUAAGUACCUAUUUUAUCAGAGAAACACCAAAAAAAUUCCAAGAUUCAACCACUAGCUAGGAACGGUCAAGCCCGUCGUUUUGACCGCAUUUUGAAACGGGCAUAAAAAAUUCAAAAAAAAUCAAAAAAUUGGAAAACCUUGGCGUUGUGUCAUUAUAUGUGACCAAGUUUCCAGGAAAAAUAAUUAUCUUGUAAUACAGAAAUUAUUUUAGAAAAGUGUUCUCAUAAAUGAGCUAUCAUGUGUGAAGAUUCAUGGAUUUCAACCCAAACGCUCAAUCUCAUGGUCACAUUCAUGGCAUAGUUUGUUCAAAUGAUCUCAUAUUGUGCACAAGGGUGCAUCUUGUAAUUCCAAACAAUGUUGCCAAAGGGAGUUUUCAUUUUCUUUGCACGGAAAAAUCAUUUUUCAUUUUCCGAGUGCCCGAAAUGAGGUUUUUUUUGUGAAGGAACUACCAAAUAAUUGUUGCACAAAUGGACCAAAUCAUUUUUAUAAAAUACUAGGCCAUAUUUAAUGCACAAUUGAUAAAAUGGUUGGGUGAAAAAAGUUUUGAUCCACCUCUGAUGAAAAAGACAAAUUGUCGUCGAUUCAGCUGGAAACGAGUCAAAUUUGAACUGUAGCUGCCUCAUAGUUUGCUCUUUAUUUUUUCCAAAAAUCAUUUCUAGGUACAUAAGUAUCUAUUUAAUCAUAGAAACACCAAAAAAAUUCCAAGAUUCAACCACUAGCUAGGAACGGUCAAGCCCGCUGUUUUGACCGCAUUUUCAAACGGGCAUAAAAAAUUCAAAAAAAAUCAAAAACUUGGAAAACCUUCGCAUUGUGUCAUUAUAUGUGACCAAGUUUCCAGGAAAAUAAUAAACUUGUAAUACGGUAAUUAUUUUAAAAAAGUGUUCUCAGAAAUGAGCUAUCAAGUGUGAAGAUUCAUGGCUUUCAAGCCAAAUGAUCAAUCUUAUGGCCACAUUCAUGGCAUAGUUUGUUCAAAUGAUCUCAUAUUGUGCACAAGGGUGCAUAUUGGAAUAGCAAACAAUGUUGCCCAAGGAAGUUUUCAUUUUCGUUGGACGAAAAAACCAUUUUCCAUUUUUCGAGUGCCCGAAAGGAGGUUUUUUUGUGAAGGAACUACCAAAUAAUUGUUGCAAAAUUGGAUCAAAUCAUUUUUAUAAAAUACUAGGCCAUAUUUAGUGCACAAUUGACAAAAUGGUCUGGUGUUAAAUUUUUUGAUCCACCUCUCGUGAAAAAGACAAAUUUCUGCCGAUUCAGUUGGAAGCGGGUCAAAUUUGAACUGCAGCUGUCUCAUAGUUUGCUAUUUAUUUUUUCCAAAAAUCAUUUCUAGUUACAUAAGGACCUAUUUAAUCAUAAAUACAUGGUUUGGUGGCGAUACGUCGAGGUUUGGGCGGUGGCCGAGGGCCCCAACUCUAGAGCGCGUAAACUUGCAUGCCCGCCGCGUGGUCACCGCGUGACCGUGGCGUUGCCAUGUGUUCUGGGCGGCCUAGGCAUGUCUAGUGAGUUGGGCACUCCCCAGGUUGGUGCUAGGAAGAAAAUUACAACAUAAGAUUCUCACGAGGAGACCAAUCGAUGCUCAAACAUGAAUUAGCAGUCAAGUGUUUGAUUAGCGGUACGAGAAAUGUACAUGGCUAAUGGGCGUGAGUUUUGGCUGAGGAUGAUCAGUUACUAAGAAGACCGUUUUCACAAAUUUUCAGCUCAAAAGGAGGAGCCUAGGUGGUACUUGCUUUGCAAACUACCACACUGGACAUAACUACGAAUGUUGAAGCUCGGCUCAAAAUAAUGAAUGGAUUGAGCUGGCAUUUGGUGGAGCAUGGUUAUUUGGGAAUAGGAAAGCACUGUAGAAAAUGGAUGCUAUUUGGACAUGCCAAAGUGGUACUUCCUUCACAAACUAUUGUUCUGAACAGAAUAAAAUGAAUAUUUUUGAAUUAUUUUUGAACUAGGCAAGGAAGGUUUUUACAUAUUUGACGAAGAUAUGACCCAAAGAAUUUAUGAGAUUUGUUUGGGAAUUUUGGCCAUGACAGAAAUAUAGGUUGCUUCACAACCUAGGGCAAAAACUGCCACAUGGACAUGACACAUAGGCAAAACUGAUGAGAUGGCGCCUAGUCAUCGCAACCCACCACAAUUUACAAGUCUAUGACCAUCUAUAUUGGUCAUUAACAACUAGAAAUAAGGCAGCGGACUAGCGUUGUUUGCUUUAUGACCAUUUCGUGUAAGGAAAUUACGACCUUUCUGCCAAAAAUGGUCGCAAUGGUUUAGGGUUUGGAGCCCCCCGAACAGCUUUUGACCAAUUGGUCUAAAAUGGUCAUAGAUCUAUGACCAAUUCUUCCAAGGUCACUGACAGAAGGUCACAAGUUGACAUAUUUCUUGUAGUGCCUCUAGGCGACAUCCUCGAUCUUUUAAUUGGUAUCAGAGCCUCGUCUCUCUUUAUUAGGCUUUACCGCCUAGAGAGUAAAGAUGUCGACUAGAGGAUUAGGAUUCUCUGACACUCUUAGUUUCGAUGGCACAAAUUUUGAUGUUUGGGUAAUUCGCAUGCUUAAUCUCUUUAGGGUCAUGGACCCAAAUUUAGAGCGAAUUGUAGAUAUGGGUUUUUCUCCUCCAAAGGAUCCCCAAAGAUUAUCUUUAGAGGAUGAGAAAAACUCUUAUCUCAAUGCUCAAGCUUCUAAUGUGCUUUUUGAUACUUUGAGCAAUGUAGUUAUAUUUCAACUCAUGCCGUUCCGAGAUGCUCAUGAGUUGUGGACGAAGCUUCAAGAUAAAUAUGGCGUGUCCAAGAUUUGUGGGGAUGAUUGUUCUCCCUCCACCUCCGGUCGUAUAGUCUUCUCAACUUCUUGUACUUCACCUACAUGUGGUUUGCCACAAGGUAAUGAUAUGGUGAGUAGUGUUGGUCAUUGCAAUGAUGAUAGUAUGCUUAUUGUGGAUGAUCCUUCAUCACUAUAUCAUUGCAAUGCUCCUUCUUUGGGCUUUAACACUUUGAGCACUCCAAAUGUUUCACAUGCUUGUGUUGAUAGUCCUUGCAUAUCAUGUAGAAAUUGCUUGACUAAAUCUCAUGAUUAUAUGCUUUCUAUGUCUUGUUGCCAUGAUAAAAAUGCAUCUAUUUCCUCGAAUUAUUGUGCUAACAAUGUAGAGGAAACCCAACACUCCAUGGAACAAGAUGUGGUGUUUAAUGGUGCCUCAAGGGAUCCUACAUCAUCAUCUAUUGCUUUUUGCCUUAUGGCUAAGGCGUCAAAGGUAUCUCCUACUUUGUACCCCAAUAUGUCUCUUGAUGAUGAUGUUGAUGCUAAUGAUGAUGAGGAUAAUGAUGAAGAGAAUGAUAAUGUUGCCUCCUUAAAAACUAAGGGGGAAAUGAUUUUUAAAGCUCUUCAUAAAAAUAAAAUUGCUCAUUCCAACUUCAUGGAAAUAAUGUCCAUUGCCAUUGAUGGCAAGAAAUACAUUGAGGAGUUGGAAUCUCAUCUAGAGGAGCAUGAGGUCACCAUUGAGAAAAUGGAAGCUCAUGGGCGUGAUUACGCAAAUGAGAUCGCGGAGCUAUCUCAAGCUCUUGAACAUGAACAGACCACCUCCGAAUCUCUUGAGGAGACUUUUGCUCUAGAAUUAUCUAGAGUGAAGGAAUCUAAUGAUAGAGCUCUUGAGGUGGCCAACGUUUUUGAAACUAAAAAUGCUAAGCUUGAAGUUGCUCAUGCUAGACUCCUUGAGGAUUUUGAGCACCAAGAAAAUGGCUCAAGGGUCAUCAAGGGUGAGCUCAUCAAACUCACUGAGUCUCAUGCUCAACUUGAAGCUUCUUAUUUAAAAGAGCUUGCCAAGUUGCCUUCUCCUCUUGUUGUUAAUGAUGAUGCUUCUGCUACUAAUUCUAUUACUUGUGAAGCAUCCAUUUUGAAGGAGAAUGUUGAGCUACGGGCUCAACUUGAGGUGCUAUCUAGCAAUUAUGGGAAAUUGGAAGAAAGUCAUGAAAAGCUCUCAAGCUCUCAUGAUGAUCUUCUAGUAUCCCAUAGUGUGCUAAAGAUAGCUCAUGAGGCCAUGAUUGCUAAGGUAACAUCUAGUGAGCCUCAUGUGGAUACUAUCACUACUUCUAGUCAAAAUAGUAUAUUGCCAUGUGCUAGUCCUUGUAAUUCAUCUACUCACAAUGUUGGUACAUAUUGUGAUGAAUUGCUUUCCUUGCCUUGUUUCUCUAACGAUGAAGCUUAUACUUCCUCUAGUACUUGUGUUGAUACUAACCAUGUAGAGGAAAUCAAAGAGCUCAAGGCCCAAGUCACUUCUUUGAAGAAAGACUUGGAAAAGAGUCAUCAAGGGAAACCCACACUAAAUAUCUUGAGUGUGCGAAAAUCCCCCAAUGACAAAGGUGGACUUGGAUUCAACUCCAAUAAGAAGAAGAAGUCCAAGAUGAACAAAAAGAAGGGCCAAGAACAAGUCAAGAAUUCGGCCAAGAUUGUUUGCUUCAAGUGCAAAAUUGAAGGGCAUCAUGUUAGAUCUUGCCCAUUGAAGAAGAAGGCCAUUAGUGACAAGUAACAAGGGAAGCGACUACAAGUGCAUUCUCAUGCUCAACCUCAAGUUGAAGAAAGGCCUCUUCCCAAGAAGACUCAAGCUAAUGCUUCUCAAGUUGAGAAAUCAAGUGAGAAGAAAGUGAAGAGUAGACGUUGCUAUCUAUGUCGUGAGAAAGGUCACCUUGCUUCUUCAUGCACUAGUGGUAACUUAUCCAACCCAAUUGUUAUUGAUGAUGUCUAUUCUCUUGGGAAGGAUAAGGUUGGCAAUGUGUUUGCCAAGUUUGUUGGUACUCAAAGUGGUUUGAAGCAAAGAACCAUUUGGGUAGCCAAGCCUAUUGUGACUAACCUCUUAGGACCCAACUUGGUUGGGGACCAACUAGCUCAAACUUGAUCAAUAGGUGUUGUUGGAGGGCAUUGGAGACUUGGCUACAUUAUGAAGAAUUAAGGGGACUUCAUCAUUCUUAUUGUCUCAAGCCAAGUCAAUUGGAUUAUCGAGUUUCUAUCUUAUAUCCAAUGUGCCUCCUUGGGGUAACUUGUACUUAAAUUGUUUACAUUGAAAGUUACUUGCCCCCUUGCAUGUUUUGGUUUUGUCCCUUGCAUGUGUUUGUAUAUGUUGUGAUUCCAACUUGCUUAUCUUGAGCAAUCAAGUAUGUGUGUGUUGGUUUGCACAUUAUGUACGUGUGUGUCAUGCAUUGAGACUUUAUGCUUCUUGUUUGUACCCUAGUUGGCUCUUGUGAGAGAUUAAUGGAAUAUCCCAUUAUGGGGGAGCGAUGUGCUUUGUGCACUUCGCAAUCCUAUAAAGGUGGGUACAUGGGGAAUACCACUUAGUAUUGAUAUUACAAGAUUAUCUAGUCGCUAUGUGGUAUGUCUUCUGUUGAGAAAUUCAAAUUCUAAAUAGUCUAUUAAUUAUCUCUUGUUGGAUCCUCUUAUUGCCUCUUGUUAAGUUCUUAUUGGUAUCACAUUAUGGGGGAGUAAUAUGCUAAGUGCAUAUUACAAGCCUAAAAAUGUGUAAAUUUGAGAUAUUGUCACCUAGAAUUGAUAUUGUAGAUUAUCUUGUUCCUAGGUGGCAUGUUAGCUCUACAAGUUGCAAUUUGCUUGUGUUUGGUGUGAAGAUGAUGUCGGAUAUCAUUGCUAUCUACCAAUGGGAAUUAUUUCCAUAUACUUCUUGUCUUUGACAAUUGGUAGUCUCUUAUGUGUGGUAGAAUUUGUUAAUCAUCUUUACUUUGGCUUUUGUUUUUUACUUGUCUUUUCUCUUGCCAAGGUUUGUGUCAACUCCCUUUUCGUCCAUACCACUUGUGGAUCUUGUUUAUUUCUUGUUCUUGUCUAGUUUUUUCUAGAUAUAGUGAAAGCGGUGAUCCCACCUUGUGCAUUUUGUAUUCAAAUACAAAUCCUAUAUAAUGCACAACUUGUGGGGGAGCUAUUCUAUUUUCUUUAGAACACUCUUCUUGUGAUCCUUAUCAAGUGUGUUUUGGUGGAAGGCAAGCCAUUUCUUUUUGGUCCUUUGUGCCAUCAUGAAACUUUGUUGAGAGCUUGGUUUGUUUGGAACCAUCCUCUCUUUAGGAGUUUGACAUCUUUAGUUUAGUGUGUAUCAAUGGAUAUCUCAUUCCUUGAUGUAUCUUUAAUGAUAUCUUCCAAGUGAUUAUUUCUCCAUUUGGUAUCCUUUUCACUUGGCAUUUCUUAGUCUUUUGGUUUCGGGUUUUGAAAGUCUUUAGCAUGCAUGUUUACUUCAUGUAUUUCAUUUGGCAUGUUUUCUUUGUUUGACUCAAUAUAUAGUGGAAACUCCACCUAGUCUCAAUUUGGAUGAGAUGUGCAUGAAAUUCAUUUUCAUAUUUAUAUGCACAUAUUUAUGUGGAGUUUGUCCUAUGUAUUGGUGUUUCUAACUAUUUGGUCCCAAUGAGUUUGGGUACUGUUUAGUUUGUGUUAUUCUUCUAGGAACAUUUGGAGAUGCAUUGGAUGCUCGGCUCACUCACAAGGAAGGUGUUGUCACCAUGUGCAUAUUGGAGUCAAGCUAGGAUGAUCAAUGAACUACUAUCUACCUUCAAUUUGUAUCUACUACAUCCUUCCAAUGAUAUUAUCUAUUCAUGCUUUCUCCUCUUGCAUUCAACCUUGUGUAGGUUGCAUCUUGGCUUGAUAUCCAUUUCAUAUCUUGUGAUACUUGUUUCCUUUCUCAAAGCAUCCCAACAAUGAUCUCAUGUUGCUAGUUGUGAUGUCUUUGAUGGUUGUGUGGUAGGAAUUCAUUUAUAUACAAUAAGACCAUAUCUAGCCAUGUGCUAUGCUUCCAAGCAAAUAUCUUAUUGGUAUAUGCAUGACUUCCUUUUGGAUAUCUUAUUCCUUCGUGUUGUAACUAUGUCGGGUGUACAUCCUUCUUUGUAGACAUAUAUCAUCAUGAUUUCGUCUACCUAGAACCUUAUACACCUGAGAGAAAUUACAUCUCUAGAUGAUAUCCUUUCUUUCACGUCCACCUUGUCUUUCUUUUGUUAUUUCUUUGGUGGCUCCGUGAAAGAUCUUGUCUUGAGUGCGGGUCUUAUCUCAUUGCAUCUUGAUGCACUCUUUUGUGGUGAAGAUCUUUUUCCUCAUGCUUGUCUUGACGAGGCCUUUGCCAUCUUAAUUGGUAUCCCUCGUCUUGAUGAAGCUUUCAUUUUCUAUCUUCACCACGGGUUGUCACAAGCAAAGGUUCUCUUCUGCUUAUUAGUAAGCUUGUGAACCCAUUUGCCAGUUGUGUGUGAGAACGAUAGGCCUUGCACCGUGUGCCUCAUUCAUUCAAGACUAUGUUGAUGCUUAAUGCUCAUCCUAAUUUUAGUCUUCUCAAGUUCUUCGCCAUGACUCACACACAUUAUUUUGGUUGAGCCUAUUCUUAAGUUGCCUCUUUCACUUGUUGCUCAACCAUGUGUUUGUUGCAAGUACUAGGCUUAGUUUCUUAUAUGCUCUCUUUGCACUUGUUGUAAGUUUCUAUUGAUUUUGGGGGAGCUAUGGUCCUAUUUUGUGCACUUUGUAUCCAAAUACAAAAAUUCUUGAUGUGCACAAAUCAUGGGGAGAUUCUCUGGUUUCUUUGGAACACUGCUCCGCUCUUAUCAUAAUAUCCUUUAUUCAUGUGGCUCGUAGGAUCAUUGGCCUAGUUGGUUCAAUUGGUAUCUUUUGAUAGCUUGCUUCAAUUGGUAUCUUUUGAUUGCUUGAUUGCGUGUUUCUCUCUUUGAUUAUGUCUUUGUGGCAUAUCUUCCUUUUGCAAUCUUUGGGCCUCAAUAUAGUUUGUCUUCCUCCAAGUAUUUACCGUUGGAUAUGUGUAUUGCAUUCCAUUCUCUUGUUGAGAAAUACACAAUUUAUGGAGGAACACAUUUUAUAUUGGCCUUCUAAGCUUUUAGACCAUUUUGGCAAUCGAUGACAAUGGGGGAGAAGUUUCAGAGAGUUGUGUGGAGAAGUUUAGAGAGUUGUCUCCUCUUGCUUUGGUUUUGUUCCUUAGCAUUUGCAUCUCAUUUGCAUGCACUAUUGGUUGUUGUAUUGCAUGGUGAUGCACAAUUCCUUAUAUAAACUCUCUUGAAAGUGAUUGUCAUCAAUUACCAAAAUGGGGGAGAUUGAAAGAACAUGCGAUGCCUCCAUGUUUGGUUUUGGUAAUUGAUGACAAUCUCUAUGGACUAAUGGUUGCCUUGAGUUAUAUUUGAAGGUUUUGUCCAUAGGCUUUUCUUGAAGUCCAUGUGUUGGUUUCAAGUAGUUUAUGAGUUGACCAAGGUGCUAUUAAGGAAUUAUCCAAAGAUUGGUCAUGUGAGUGUUGAGCUUAUUGCAAGCAUGUCUUGAAGAAGAAGAUUAUGUGAUCAUUCAUGUUUACCUUCAAGACAUCAUCCAAAUGAAGAGAGUUGGAAAGAUUCAAGGUUGAUCUAGCCUAAGUACAGAGAGUGAUUCAAGUUGAUCAACACACAAAGCGCACAAGUUGUACCGAGAGGGACCAAGUGUUCCCAUGGUAUGGUAAGCAUUGUUCAUUACGCUUUGUGUACUAACCCAUGGUCUACAUGAGAGUUCUUUGCGGGGUUAGGUAUGUUUCCAUGGUCUUGCGUCAAGAGGAAGAUCCCAUACAACCCAUGGAGGAUGACAUCAAGUGGUGAUCGUCAUCAAGUUUGCUGUGUGCAAGUUCAAGUGGAGCAACACGAAGAGUGGCUCACCCAUAAUGGAGUAUGGGGGAGCAAUCAAGUUUGAAUCUUGCCAUCCAUUGUGGUGUCAAUGGACUUGUGAAGAUGUGCCGAAGAGUCGCUCACCCAUAGUGGACUAUGGGGGAGCAAUCAUCUAGUCUUCAUCGAGCCAACGCAAUCAAGAAAGGUGGUCCAACUUGAGGGAGUCAAGAUCAUUUUCAUCUAGCUCAAGUGGACCAUGUGCAAGGCAAAGGUUUGCCCUUGAUAGGUUUUUUAUUUUACCGGUCUCGUGGUGGUAGUUGGGAGACCGGGUUAUAGGAUCGUUUGCCGUACUAUCAAGGGGGGCUCUCAAGUUGGUAGCUUGAUCGUAUCGUUAGUAGAGAGCUCAAACCAUUGCAUCCUUGCAUCAUGUUUCUUUGUUCUUGUUUGGUUCUCUUUGUGAGUCUUAGAGCUUAUGGUCAUCUUGAUGACAAGCUUGAGUUCAUCGAAAACGGAGUUCGCAUGCGUCUUCUAUGAUGUUUUCGGUGUUGGAGGUUUUACCGGUCUUAUCCAAGGAAGGGUUCUCACCAUUUUCUUAUGGGCCUUUUCUCAUUUGCUUCUUAUUGAUAUUUCUAUCAAGAUUGUGUUAGCCCUUGUUUCUAGCUUUCUAACAAACUUGGUUUCAUCGAAUUCGGAGCUCGUAUGCGAAAGUUGUGGCUGUUUUGAUAUUGCCUGUUUUACAUAGAGAGGUUGUACCGCCCCGUAGAGAGGUUAUACCGGUUGACCGGUACAACCGGUGUUUGAAGCGGUUGUACCGCUCCAGAAUUGGUCCGGAGGUUGUACCGGCCAUGUACCGCUCUACCACCGGACUAGUUUCUGUUUUGGAGCGGUUCUUGGGCGGUUGUUGACCGGUUUAACCGGUACUACCGGUUCCCCGGGCUGUUGUACCGCUUAGAGCUUUUCCCAGGUUGGUUUUUCCUCUGCUUUGGCCAGUUCACUACUACGAAAAGGCCUACUAAUGGCGCACCAGUUUUACCUACUAAUGGCGCAUCACUGGUGCGCCAUUACUAGCACGCCAUUAGUAAUUUUUACUAAUGGCGCACCACUGAUGCACCAUUAGUAUCUGGUAUACUAAUGGCGCACCACUGGUGCGCCAUUAGUAUAGGCCACAGUACGCCAUUAGUAUAGGCCACUGGUGCGUCAUUAGUAUAGGCCACGGUGCGCCAUUAGUAUUUUUAAAUUUUGAAGGCGGGAAAAUAGUAGUGGCGCACCGUCUAACCCCCACCGUGCGCCAUUGCUAUUUUUGAAUUUUGAAUUUGGAUCUGGAUCGUGAUUUUUUUGCCCAUUUUUUGCUAGUUUUUUUUGCUCAUUUUUUGGCACAAUAUUAUUUCAAAUUUUGUUCCUGUUUUUGGAUCUUGUACGUUCUUUUGCCGUGUUCUUUUGCCGGAGAGAAGUUUGCCGGAGAGGAGGAGGAGGAGGUCACCGGAGAGGCGCUCGCCUACAUCGCUGGAGAGGAGGAGGAGGUCGCCGGAGAGGAGUUCACCGAAGCAUCGGAGAGGAGGAAGGAGAAACCAUGAGGGAAUGGGAGGAGAGGAGGGAGGAGGAGCUCACUGGAGAGGAGGGAGGAGGAGCUCACCGGAGAGGAGGGAGGAGAAACCGUGAGGGAAGGGGAGGGGAGGAGAGGAGAGGAGGGAGGAGNNNNNNNNNNNNNNNNNNNNNNNNNNNNNNNNNNNNNNNNNNNNNNNNNNNNNNNNNNNNNNNNNNNNNNNNNNNNNNNNNNNNNNNNNNNNNNNNNNNNNNNNNNNNNNNNNNNNNNNNNNNNNNNNNNNNNNNNNNNNNNNNNNNNNNNNNNNNNNNNNNNNNNNNNNNNNNNNNNNNNNNNNNNNNNNNNNNNNNNNNNNNNNNNNNNNNNNNNNNNNNNNNNNNNNNNNNNNNNNNNNNNNNNNNNNNNNNNNNNNNNNNNNNNNNNNNNNNNNNNNNNNNNNNNNNNNNNNNNNNNNNNNNNNNNNNNNNNNNNNNNNNNNNNNNNNNNNNNNNNNNNNNNNNNNNNNNNNNNNNNNNNNNNNNNNNNNNNNNNNNNNNNNNNNNNNNNNNNNNNNNNNNNNNNNNNNNNNNNNNNNNNNNNNNNNNNNNNNNNNNNNNNNNNNNNNNNNNNNNNNNNNNNNNNNNNNNNNNNNNNNNNNNNNNNNNNNNNNNNNNNNNUGGAGGAGGUCGCCGAAGAGGAGAAGGAGGUCGCCGGAGAGGAGGAGAAGGAGUGGAGGAGAGGAGAGGAGGAGAUGGAGUGGAGGAGAGGAAAGGAGAUGGAGUGGAGGAGAGGUGGAGUGGAGGAGGUGCGCCCAGCCAUAUAUACGACAUAGUAAUGGCGCACCGUGGGCAGGUGCGCCAUUACUAACUUUUUUUUAUUUUGACUUAUUUUGAAUUUUGAAGGCGGGGAAGAUACUAAUGGCGCACCAUGGGCCGGUGCGCCAUUAGUAACUUAUUUUUUAUUUUUUUGACUUAUUUUGAAUUUUGAAGGCGGGAAGGUACUAAUGGCGCACCAUGGGCAGGUGCGCCAUUAGUAACUUUUUUUAUUUUUUUGACUUAUUUUAAAUUUUGAAGGCGGGAAGAUACUAAUGGCGCACCAUGGGCAGGUGCGCCAUUAGUGAGUUUGAAUUUUUUUGAAUUUUUUUGCCUCUUCAGAUCUUAAAAGCCCCGUAUCUUUUUUUCUGUUAGGUUUUUGAGGAUUUUGAAAAUGUUUAACGGGGUUCCCCCGAUUAAAUUCGGAUGUAACUUUUCGAGUAGAUGAUUUUUCAUAUAAAAAACUUUUUCAUCCGAGUUAGUAUGCAAAAGUUAUGCCCAUUUUUACAAAUUCUCGAGAGAUUUUGCAAAUGAAGUCGAAAUUCAUAUUUGCAAAUUUUCCCAACAACUAGACCAUAUAUCACAUGGGAAACUUAUUUUCUUUUAUUUUUUUGACAUUUUCAUCAUUUUCUUUUAUUUUUUUUAAAACUGAAAAGGCGAUCCACAGGGGGGUGCAUUCGGUGAAAGUGGUGGCCAAGUUACUAAUGGCGCACCGUGGCAUGGUGCGCCAUUACUAGUUGAACUAGUAAUGGCGCACCACUCCCACGGUGCGCCAUUAGUAAUUUUGACAAAAAAAAUUUAAAUAUUUUUUUUACUAAUGGGGCACCCGCGAUGUGGUGCGCCAUUAGUAUUUGGACACUAAUGGCGUACCAACACAUGGUGCGCCAUUAGUAUAUAGUAAUGGCACACCACAUGUCUGGUGCGCCAUUAGUGUCAAUUCCAUCUAUAGCCCUUUUCCUAGUAGUGGUUGUACCGGUUCGUGCACCGGUUGUACCGGUCCUACAGGUUUAUGCACAUAACGGGCAGAUUCGUGGGGACCUAUUUAAGGGGGUCUUCUGCCCCAAUGGUUCCCCAUCUCUUGAGCUCGUUUUGCCCCCAUUGUUGACCUUCUUUGAGCUUGCUAACUCUCAAUCCCUCCAUGGAUUCUUGCUAGUUUUUGAGGGAAAAGAGAGAGGAGAUCUAGAUCCACACUUCCACCAAUCACUUUCUCCUCUAUGUGAGGGGAACCCCUUGGAUCUAGAUCUUGGAGUUCUUUGUGUUCUCCUUCUUGUUCUUCCUCUUACUUUCCUCCCUAGCAUUAGUUGCUUUGGUGGGAUUUGAGAGAGAAGGACUUGGGUACUCUGUGUGCCCUUGCCAUUGCAUUUGUGCAUCGGUUUGAGUUCUCCACGGUGAUACAUGGAAGUGAAGUCUGAGAAGCUUAUUACUCUUGGGUGUUUGGGCACCCUAGAGCUUGUUUCUCUUGGGUGCCUUGGCGCCCUAGACGGUUGGUGGUGUUCGGAGCUCAAUCAUUGUGGUGUAAAGCUCCGAGCAAGCGUCGGGGUCUCCAAUUAGGUUGUGGAGAUCGCCCCGAGCAAUUUGACGGGUACAGGUGACCGCCCCCAAGGGUCGCCAAAGUGUACGGGUUCGGUGACCGCCCCCAAGGGUCGCCAUUUGUACGGGUUCGGUGACCGCCCUCAAGGGUCCCUUAGUGGAAUCACGGCAUCUUGCAUUGUGCGAGGGCGUGAGGAGAUUACGGUGGCCCUAGUGGCUUCUUGGGGAGCAUUGUGCCUCCACACCGCUCCAAACGGAGAUUAGCAUCCGCAAGGGUGUGAACUUCGGGAUACAUCGUCGUCUCCGCAUGCCUCGGUUAUCUCUUACCCGAGCCCCUUUACUUAUGCACUUUACUUUGUGAUAGCCAUAUUGUUCUUUGUCAUAUAUAUUGCUAUCACAUAGUUGCUUAUCUUGCUUAGCAUAAGUUAUUGGUGCACAUAGGUGAGCCUAGUUGUUGUAGGUUUUGUGCUUGAGAAAUUAACCGCUAGGUUUAUUCCGCAUUUGUUCAAGCCUAAACCGUAAUUAUUUUAAAGCGCCUAUUCACCCCCCCCCUCUAGGCGACAUCCUCGAUCUUUCAGAAACGAUUGUGUUUUUAAUGGCAAAACCUCUUCUUCUAUGCAGGUUAUUUACCGUUGUAUGCACUGACUUUGUAUGUGGUUUACGCUAUAGCGAAUGGAGUAUCAAUCACUGUUCAAGGCGGUGUGUAAGCGGUUGGAGCAGGUGGUCAGAGAGGUUUUUACCCAACAUGGGUGGCAACAUAAUCUCCGGAUCAGUCCACCUCCUCCGUCGACAUUGGCAUAGUUUUGGACUCAUAUGGCUUUACUGUUGCCAACUUGUCGUUUUUUUAUAUAUACUUUGCUGGACUCUUUGUUAAGGCCGUGUGCAUCUUAGCUAUGCAGAGGCCGGGUGUCGCUAAUUAUGCUUUGUAUCCACUUGAUGCUACAUUAUGAGUUAAUAAAAGUGCCUUUUUCGAAAAACUGUUUAGAGUUUAGAGCUCUAUAUGCAUGUCAUCUACUCUCUCUGAUUCAAAAUAAGUGUCGCAAUUUUGAAUUAAGGUUAAUUUAACCUUAGUUUAAAAUUGUAACAUUUAGUAAGAAUCGGAGGGAGUAGCAAAGGCGUCUCCGUCUCCAUACCUCUGCUUGAAAGAUCAAAACCCUAGUAGAUCAAUGGGCUAGCUCCAUUGCAUGAUCUUCGAAACUGUGAUAUUGGACAUCAUCUGCACUAGAUUUAAUUAGGCGAUCAACUUUGAGAGCUUAGAAAACUGGGAUAACAUGUCUAGAGUCAUUUCAGACGGUGCAGUAUUCUGAUUUUAGGUCUGAGUCUCCAUUACAGAACUUUUUUAGAGAAAAGGCAUCGGUCAAGCCCGAGAGAAGGCUCGAACCUAGCCCGACUUUGAAUUAAUAAAUCCAUCAACCGGCCAGGAUUACAACAAUCAACCACUUACAAGCAGCAUAAAGUAAGAAAGAAAAGAAAGGCACUGAGGCAGAACAACCUCAGGCGAUACAAGGUGCAAAACUGGAUAGUGCACAACCUAAGACUAAACAAGCAGCUACAAGAUGAAACUAAAGAACUGAGAUUGAUCAGUCAGGGCCUUCGUCCAUCAAAACAGCAAGCACCAGACAAACACCGAACUUGUGGAGAAUACCAAUGUGAAAGGAUAAGGCCCAAGCCCACUCUUGCAUGAUGAACAACCUGGGCACAAUGGCAUCCGUCUUCGUCGCCGUAGAAGGCCACCACCUUCUCGUCCCAGAUCUAAAGGACGCCGUACCGUCAGCAGGUGAAGUGGUUCCCAAGAAUCCGAAUACACAAAUGGCCACUAGGUGUACCAUGGGAGGGGCUGCAACAUACCACAUUGAGCUCCACAAGAAACAGUCGUUGCCAUGGCACAACCACGAGGGAGGCAUGCACUGCAGGAUGGGAACACGAAAUAAAUCGACACGGCUAUAAGUUGAUAAAGUGCAAUGCCGCCACAAUAGCCACCAACACAUCCCAACACGACAUCCACUCCGCGGUCCAAGGACGACGCCUUCAGGAAGGGGAGUGGUGCUGUAGCGCCGCCGUCGUCCCGAAGCAGGACCAAGGUCUUCACCUAGACGCAGGGGAAGGAUGGGUGGGGUGGGUUACCUCAACGAAGCCAAGUGGUUCGACGCCGCGACUUUGUCGACGUUGUGGCCGCCUCCAUCGGCCAAGGGUUUCCCCGGUCCUAGGAGCCCCACCGCCAAAACGCCAUCAACCACCGAAUGCGGCAAGCUGGGCCACACCGGAGCUUAGAUCAAACGGGAGAAGUGCGGAGCAUGGAGUUGGAGCUGGUCGAUUCAAAUCUGGCGCCUGGCCGAUGGAGGAAAUCCGUCCACUGCGUGCUCCAUCCACCAGGCCUUGCCGCUCAAGCAGACCGAGCAGCCCAGCCGAGCACCCACAGUCGUUGUCUGCCGUGGGGACAGUGCUGCCCAACUUGACCGAGGCCGCCAUCCUGGCACGCCAUGCCCUUCAUGCCAGGCGGGAGCGCAAAGCCUCGCCGCCACCUUCCUUGGCGCCGUGUGAGUUUGCCGGCGGCUGUCUCCGAUGGCGGCAAGGACAAGAUGGAGGAGAAGAGAGGCCGCCGGCGGGCUAGGGUUGGGAGCCGCCCGAGUUGCCCCACGGGAGCUCAUUACAGAACUCAUUGUGAAGGAAUAGCCAGAACUCAUUUUCUUGACCCGGGGUGAUAACACGCUUCUAUACUCACGUAAGAACCACGAGUUGAGAAGUAUCAGGUGCUGCAAACACUCUGCAAUGUUCAAAAACUCAAGUUUGAAUAUUAAAAAAUAAUUCUAAUUUUUUUAAGGACGUUCACAUAACAUAUGUCUACAUCAUCUAAUAAGUUCAAAUACGAUAGAGAAACAAAAAUAACAAAUCUAUCAUGAAUAGUGCCACAAAAAGGAAAAAGAAAAAACGACACUAUUUUUUUUGCGGGAAGAAAACAACACUGUUCACAUCUAGAACAAUACUAUUCACAUCUAGAAUUGUCAUUUUUCUUUCUCAAUGUGUAUUUUGAUUUUCAAUUUGAGAGAGAUAGCGGAUACAUGUCUUAAGAACAUUCACAUUUUUUUUAGAAUUUUUUGACGCAUAUAAAUUUAGUGGCAAAGCUGGUGCCUUGUGACCAUGAGGUCAUGGGUUCAAUUCUGGAAACAACCUCUUACAAAAAUGUAGGAAAGGUUGUGUGCUAUACAGCCAAAGUGACCGGACCCUUUCACAGACCAGUAAUGCUACACCGACGCACGGUUACAGGGUUCUACAGGGUGAGUUUCAGCUGGCAAACCGUGAUUGGAUUAAAGGGAGUGAGGAGCCCCACCCACCNNNNNNNNNNNNNNNNNNNNNNNNNNNNNNNNNNNNNNNNNNNNNNNNNNNNNNNNNNNNNNNNNNNNNNNNNNNNNNNNNNNNNNNNNNNNNNNNNNNNNNNNNNNNNNNNNNNNNNNNNNNNNNNNNNNNNNNNNNNNNNNNNNNNNNNNNNNNNNNNNNNNNNNNNNNNNNNNNNNNNNNNNNNNNNNNNNNNNNNNNNNNNNNNNNNNNNNNNNNNNNNNNNNNNNNNNNNNNNNNNNNNNNNNNNNNNNNNNNNNNNNNNNNNNNNNNNNNNNNNNNNNNNNNNNNNNNNNNNNNNNNNNNNNNCCUGCGCAAGCGGGAGUUACAUGCACCGGGUUGCCCUUUAUAAACUCGAUCCUUAAAAAUGGAAGCAUAGGAGCAUAUGAAAGUUGGGAGCACUAGAUACACAAACAAGACGAUAGAAGUUGAUGAAAAAAAAUCAUCUCACAGAAGAGAUCAAAGAAAAUCAAGACAAACAAAAAGUUCAAUGCAAACAACGCACAAGAGACAUAUUACUAACGCCACAACACGGUAAUUAGCAAUGAGUAGCCGGACUCCAGGUCUCCAGCCAUACGGCCCCGCGGCUGUCGACAAAGAGCGAGCCCACAUCUUAAGAAGGAACCACCGGACUUCGCCGCAAAACCCUCACAAAAUUAUCGAGAGAGGAACCUUGCCCCUCUCGCUCCAGUCUGAGGAGCGCCGAUCUUGCCGGCAAGCAACAUGAGCCAAGGGCGUCAACGACACAAUCACAGGCGGAGCUCCCGGUAGGGCGAGGCAGGGCGCCCGCCCUACCUUGAUUUUGUGCAGAAAGAUUAGUACAUGUAGUCAUAUGCUGUCGCCAGCCGGUUCUAUGUGCAUGGAGUCACGUUCGCUAGAAAAAAGAAACGGAAGAAAAAGGAGAGGGCCUAGUCGCUCCUGCAGCUUUGAUCCACAUUAUUUCGGUCCGUGAAUUGCUCUGCUGCUGGGCAUCCUCCGGUAAGCGGGAACUGAGAAAGCAAUCAAGCCCAUCCCAGUUGAUCAAGUCGCACGCACGAGCUUCCCUAAAAAAAAAGGGCGCACACACCUCUACAUGCUAUCUGUCUCUCUAAGAAAAACAGUACAAUACAAGCGAACCAAUCUAUGGUUGAGAUGGUUACGUGGACAGUGGUAUCCCCAACCCAUCAGGGUUCAAAUCCUGGUGCUUGCAUUAUUUCUGGAUUUAUUUCAGGAUUUCCGGCAAUGCGCUUUCAGUGGGUGCAGACGUUCCCAUCGACGACGAGGCGCCUACGGUGGCUUCGUAAAUCUCAAGAUGAUAUGCCGGCUCAGUCUCUCGGAGGUGCUCAUAGGGGUAGGAUGUGCGUGUGUGUGUUCAUAGGGGUGAGUGUAUGCGCGUGUAUAUGAGCGCUUGUGUCUGUACUGAUGCUAAAAAAAACAGUACACCACGUCAUCACAUAGAGAGAUGUAAAUUUUUAGAGAAUAGCUUCACAAUCUAGAUCGCAUUAAAGCUUCAUUAUCCAUUUGUUUUCAGGUCUACUUAAAUAUGUUUGCAUUUCCAUUGUAUUUGAAUUGGUUUAAAAUCAUGUAAAAUUACCAGAGCAUAUUAUUAUUGCGUACAUGCUAUUUUGAUAUUUCAUCAAAUUAUAUAUUACUCCCUUCGUCCCAUAUUAUAAGAGCGUUUUUGACACUACACUAGUGUAAAAAUGCUCUUAUAUCACGGGAUGGAGGAAGUAGUCCUUAGGGUUCGCCCCACCUUAAAUUUUUUUCGUAAAGAAGAUAGAAGGCGGACGAGACCAUCCCACGCCGGAGCCAAUGAGCACACCGUCACACCACAGUCGGAAGGUACAUGCGAUCCACGACAACACCCAAGAGGUUAACAGCACAAAGCAUCCCCGCACCAAGUCCGACUGAAAUCACAUGGGUUUUCACCCAAAACUAUAGGACGUGGAGGAGAGCCACGCUGACGCCAUCACGACGCCCACAUGCGUCGUUGCGCAUAGGUUUCGCUCGCUAACACGCACACACCACGACGAGGCACGUAGGCCACUAAGCCCACCCCGAGGAAAGUCAUGUCGUGACAAGAUCGUGGCCUCCAGAUCCAGAGGACACAACCGGCAUGCCGAGGCCGCCAUAUGUCCGAUAUUGCCAGGGGCGCACAUAACAAAGGACAGCGGGAGCGGCCACAAUCUUCGACAACACAGGCGAAGGGAAACGGGGCAACCAACAAAGUGGACAACGAAUGCCGUGACCUUGCCGCCAUCGUCCACUCCCCUAAGGCCAACUUCAUCGCGUGACCCUAUCAUGUCCGGACCCGUCUGUUUGGGAUAAAACGGACAAACCGAGCGGCCCAGCGCGCGGUGACAAACGGACUUUUGUCCGUGUGUCCGCUUUCGAUCCAUCUGUGGCCCAAGUUUGCGCCGCUUUUGAGGUGAACCAGACAUCACACGGACUCGUCGGCCGUCUACGGAUGUCCUCCCCUGGCCUGUCCAUCGGUGGCACGGGACGGGCCUUUUCUAUCCGCCCCCUCCCUCCCUCCGACCGCACCCCACUCCACUCUUCUCCACUCUUCCCCACUCUUUCCCUCGCCGCCGCUGCCAUUGCAGUCGUGUAACUCGGGCGCGCGCUCGCCCAGCCCCUUCCCCUCGUCGCCGCCGAGCUACCCAACCACGACCACCUGGUUUGCGCAUCCGCCGGCUGGAUUUGGGGCGGAUCCGGUCGGUCUUGAGCUCACCCGACUGUGGGAGGUCGGGCCGCGCCAUGGACUGGCCGGGCACCUCGCCGGAAGGCCCAGGCAGGGCCGCGAGGCCACAUGCAGGCAGUGGCUCGUCCUCUAGCCGCUCGGAUCUGCACCAUAGGUGGUCCGCCGGCAGAUACACGAAUGGCGGCCGGCCGGGCUCGGUGCUUGCCCAAAAACUCGUCGGCGCACCGUUGCCCCUCAUCAAGUGCGACCACUGCCCAAGGAUGGUCGUGCGUCGCGUGUCUACAACGCCGGAACAUUCCGGAUGGGUGUUCAUCAAGUACUUAAACGAUGGGGUAUGUGCUUUUUUUAGCUUCGGUUUGUGCUAUCGGAUGAGACUAGUUGUGUUAACUUUAAGUUUUAUUAUGUAGAAUGAAUGCAAGUUUUGGUAUUUGGAAUAAGAGUACAUCGAUAUAUUGAUAGAGCGAAAUUUAGUACAUGUUCGUGCACUUUUAGCUAGCUUAGAGGUUGUAGAUGAGACAAGUGCACUUGUUGCUAGAUUAGAGGCUAGGCACGAUAUUACGUGUGAGGAAGCAACAUCGACUUCUGGCUUGAAGAAGAAAGGAGGAUGCAACGUCGAGCCUCCUCCACAGAUCAAUAAUGAGUGCAUCGAGAAGGCCCUAACCCAACUCAAGGGAGCAGUUAUGGAAGUUGGGUAUCUUCUCAAAUGUAUUCUUAUGGUUUUUGUUUUCUUUGGUCUUGCUUUACUAGUCAAAAUGUGAUGAUGUAUUGUCUUGUACCAAAAAUGAAUGAUGAAACAAAGUUUAAGGACUUGCAAAGAAAUAUGCAUGCGGACAAGAUGCGGCCGGGAUGCGCCCACGCGCUGGACGCGUGGCCAUCGCAUUCCAGAAACUGCCCGGACACGACCCCAUUGCCCUAUCCAAACGGACAGAAUCCGGACAAAACGGACGUCCGUUUUGGGUCGCGCGGUGGAGUUGGCCUAAGGCCGCUGCCCCGACAUCUAUCCACCACGGAAAUGCUCCUUUGCGAGCGAGCGAUUCCAACGACGAUCUCGUAUCCUCACGCUAUCGGAAGCCAAAGGACAGAUGGGCCCACCAACUUUAAUGCAUCAGCCCACAUGCGCGUGUACAUCGCUCGACCUUCCCUACUCUCUCUCUCCUGUGAACUCUUAAUCUUCGCCCCCCUAAUUUCAACUAGUAAGCUUACACGUGCAACGCACAUCUAAAUUUAGACGAUAAGUACAUCCUUUUGUAAAAUAUCCGUGCGAUUCCUAACUUAGUUAUUUGAAGUGCAUUGUUUGACCAUUUAUGAUGGUUUGAACAGUGGGCAAAAAGGGAUCUUUAGACACGAAACAAGAUCUCUGAGUCGACCAAAACAGAAUCCACAAACUAAGAUAACAUCAUCCAUAAGCUGCCAUAAACAUCCCAUCGCUUCUCCUCUUUCUCCCAUCGGCAACCUUCUUCAUCCGGGCUCCCAACUGGUGUUGGUUCGUCAUGUCGACACGGAGCUUACCAUAUGCAUCUGCAUUCGCCGCGUAUGUAAUCGCCCUGGACCCUGGAUGGCCAUAGCAAGCUCCUCUUUUAGAAUUGGAUAACCAGCCCUCGAGCAAGGGAGGCGUAAACAUGGAGAAAAAGAAACAUAUCAUACUUGCGAGCACACCUUGGGAAGAUGUCUCUUCCAGCUGGGCCUUGUAUCUUGAGCAUCCAGUGACAUGUUCUUGCGGCGGUGGUCUUUGAAAAUUCCAAUGGUCAAAACAAGCAUAGAAGAAACCUUGUAAAAUAAUGGACGUGUAGACUAAUGAAACUGAUUGAUUUCUGAUGUAACCACUUUUUAAAGGGGACAUGGUAACACAAAACACAUGUUUCCAAAGAUCAAAAGGAGUAAAAAAUUAUGUAGCGGUGUCUUCAUAGGUUUUGCCGGUGUGAUAGCGAUGGAAAAUUUGUCUUCUUGGAAUUUGUACAUAUGACAUCUUCCAAGAAAGAAAUUAUUUAUGUACUUGCAUUUCACAUGCCGACCCAACCGUCAUCUGGCUUAACUUGAAGUGGCAGAACUUAACACUGUUCGACACACGAAAGGCUGCUGGCACAUAAGGGUAGUUCUAUGUCAUACUAAACCACAGUUUAAGCAUAAUAUUGAUCUGUUGGUGUACCCAAAAAAAAGAAGUGCAAUGCAUGUCUUCGAUAUAAAAUUCACAAUUUUAUUAAUCUUGCAUGUACACUUUAUGUUUUUGGUUGAUAUGCACUCCGUAAAAGAAUACAAACUCACUAAUAAUAGUCUGAUCGUAUCUCUUAUACAGAAGCUGAAACUAAUAUUUGGCCCUAGCAUUACACCGUUAAGCACCUGAAGUCAUUCUUAUUCCAAAUAAAAGCACCGUAACUGAAGCAACCAACAAACUAAACUCUAGAACAUCAACGGAUAAUCAGAUCAAUCCUUCUCUAAAGCUCGCAUGACAGAAAUGUCAAAUUCUAACCUAGUUGAAAAAUACUGUAUAGGGUACAUGGUCCACCCACCUAAUAAAUAUAAUAGAUCGGCAUCAUUACGUCUAAUAUGCAAUAAAUUAUGCACCAAAUAGAAUUCGAUAAAAUCCAGUAAAUCUAAUUUUUCUCGUUCCAUAUAUUAGUUUUUUAGAUAUAAGAGGAGAAAUAUUUCAUGGAUAGUUAAAGUCCUCACUCAGGCUUAGAAUUAGAAGAAACAAACAUUAGAACUGCAUUUGCUCGAUCCUUGAGUGAAACCUUGGUUGUUACCUCUCCCAAGAAAAGAAAAAGAGAAGAUACCAAUAAUCUGGAUGCGGCAUCAAUAGCACGGCUCGAAAGUAUAUAUAGAUGCAGUUUCAAGACUAACUAACCAUUUUGCAUUGAAGUUUGCAAAUAAAUCAUUUCCAUGUUUGAACAAAGGGAACUUGUAAACAUCUGAACCAGGAACAGAUGUUUCUUUAAGAUUUAACAAUAGUAGCAGAAACCCUGCAGCAAAGAAAUAAUUCUGAUGCACUGGGAUAAAAAAUUCUGAUGUACUUUAGUACCUUUUCAUAUGAAGGUGAGUGAGUAGAGAGACUAACACAACCAUAAGCACACGUCUCCUCAUUCCGCAAUUCAGAGCCUAGUUACUUUAUGAGCCAAUAUAUGCAUCAAUUCAGGAUCCUCCGGUGUAUAAACUGGUACUUUCGAAUCACAUUGCAACUUUUUGUUGAAGAAACAAUUUGCACAUUCAGUUACAUCGGCAUGAGCAUCGGUGCAGCUGACAUCGUCCUCUCCUAAUAGCCAUUUAUGCAGGGCAAAAAGUUGCAUUACAAAAAGAAAUAGACAUCGAAGAAAAUACCAUGGGUUGAAUCAAGAUGUCAACAUGUGGCUGCAAACUUGCAAUUCUUAUAGGAUUUAAACAAAAAAUAACAUAUAUUGCCUAAUCGGGCCAGGCGUCGCAGCAGCGUUACACUACUGGAAUAUGGGAAUUUUCCAUCAGCCAGCUCUUUGCCAUCUGCCAGCUGAUGGCAAAGAACGUCUUUGCCAUCUGCUUAUAAAAAACAGAUGGCAAAGAACUGACAGACGGCAAAGAACAUGGUUGCCAUCAGCCAAUUUUUUGCCAUCUGCCAGCAGAUGGCAAAUAAUCUUUGCCAUCUGCCAGCAGAUGGCAAAGAGGUUGGCAAAUCAUGUGGACGUCAAUAGUGUAACGGUGUACCAGCCCCACCUCUUUGCCAUCUGCUAGCAGACGGCAAAGAUUCUUUGCCAUCUGCUGGCAGAUGGCAAAGAGAUGGGGUUAUUUUUUUGCAGAUAAAAAAACUGUGGGGUUAUCCCUUCCCUCUCUCCCCUCCUCUCCCACGCAUCUGCACGCAUCUCANNNNNNNNNNNNNNNNNNNNNNNNNNNNNNNNNNNNNNNNNNNNNNNNNNNNNNNNNNNNNNNNNNNNNNNNNNNNNNNNNNNNNNNNNNNNNNNNNNNNNNNNNNNNNNNNNNNNNNNNNNNNNNNNNNNNNNNNNNNNNNNNNNNNNNNNNNNNNNNNNNNNNNNNNNNNNNNNNNNNNNNNNNNNNNNNNNNNNNNNNNNNNNNNNNNNNNNNNNNNNNNNNNNNNNNNNNNNNNNNNNNNNNNNNNNNNNNNNNNNNNNNNNNNNNNNNNNNNNNNNNNNNNNNNNNNNNNNNNNNNNNNNNNNNNNNNNNNNNNNNNNNNNNNNNNNNNNNNNNNNNNNNNNNNNNNNNNNNNNNNNNNNNNNNNNNNNNNNNNNNNNNNNNNNNNNNNNNNNNNNNNNNNNNNNNNNNNNNNNNNNNNNNNNNNNNNNNNNNNNNNNNNNNNNNNNNNNNNNNNNNNNNNNNNNNNNNNNNNNNNNNNNNNNNNNNNNGACUAGACCGAAAAGCUUCGAAUGAAGAAGUAGGAAGCCCCUUGGUCAUGAUGUCGGCAAGUUGAUGAGUUGUAGGAACAUGAACAACACGGAACUGUCCCAAAGCCACCUUCUCGCGUACAAAAUGUAUGUCCAGCUCAAUAUGCUUUGUCCGACGAUGAUGAACGGGGUUAGCAGAGAGGUAUACCGCGGAGAUAUUAUCACAGAACACCAUAGAGGCCUUGUCAACGACACAAUGGAGCUCGACAAGAAGUUGACGAAGCCAACAACAUUCAGCCACGGCAUUGGCCACCGCACGGUAUUCGGCUUCAGCACUCGAGCGAGAAACAGUAGGUUGGCGUUUGGAGGACCAAGACACCAAAGUGUCCCCGAGAUAAAUGCAAUAUCCGGAAGUAGACCUGCGAGUGUCCGGACAGCCAGCCCAGUCAGCAUCGGAAUAAGCAGCAAUGGCGAUGGAGGGGUUGCCAGCGAUCCGAAGCUCAUGUGAAGUAGUACCGCGGAGAUAGCGUAGUAAGCGCUUGAUCAAUCCCCAUUGAGCAUCACGUGGAGCAUGCAUAUGCAAACAAAUUUGCUGGACAGCAUAGGCUAUGUCCGGCCGUGUCAAUGUGAGGUAUUGAAGAGCACCUGCAAUACUUCGGUAGAAGGUGGAAUCCGAUACAAGCUCACCAGAGGCAGCUGAGACCUUGGGCUUGGUGUCAACAGGCGUGGAGGCUGGCUUGCAGUUAGACAUGGCAGCACGAUCAAGAAGCUCCUCAGCAUAUCUCUCUUGAGAGAGAAAGAAACCAGAGGCCGUGCGACGAACUGCAACACCGAGAAAAAAAUGAAGAGGCCCGAGAUCCUUCAUCUUGAAUUCAGUGCUGAGAGAGGUGAUGAUCAUCCGAAGAAAUGAUGUCGAGGAAGCUGUCAGCACAAUGUCAUCAACAUAAAGAAGCAAAUAAGCCAUGUCUGAACCACGACGAAGCACAAAGAGUGAGGUGUCCGAAAGAGCCGAAGAAAAUCCAAGGCGCCGAAGAAAAUCACCAAUGCGUGUGUACCAAGCGCGUGGAGCCUGUUUAAGCCCAUAGAGAGACUUGGACAACAGACAUACAUGCUCGGGAUAUGUUGCAUCAAUGAAACCCGUCGGUUGAGCACAGUAAACACACUCUUGAAGGACUCCAUGAAGGAACACAUUGGAUAUGUCCAACUGAUGCACGGGCCAAUGCCGAGAAGCAGCAAGAUGCAAGACUGUGCGGACUGUGGCUGGUUUGACCACGGGACUGAAAGUCUCACCAAAGUCAAUGCCGGCACGUUGAGUGAAUCCACGAACAACCCAACGAGCUUUGUAUCGAUCCAAGGAACCAUCGGGUUUGAGUUUAUGCCGAAAUACCCAUUUACCGGUGACGAUAUUGGCACCCCGAGGUCAAGGCACAAGAGUCCAUGUGUGAUUGGCCUGAAGGGCAUCAUACUCCUCUUGCAUGGCAGAAUGCCACGCAUGGUCACGAAGAACCGCAUGGGCAGACGAGGGAAGCGGUGAAGGCACAACCGCAGCCGCAUGAGCAUCCUCGAAACGCCGGCUGGGCUGCAGAACGCCAUGCCGUGCACGUGUGGCCAUCGUGUGGAUGGACAUGUCAGAAGGGCGAAGCCAUGGAGCCGCCCGCGGUGGUGCAACCGGAGCCGGAGGUGGCGAAGACGCGACGAGCUCAACGGCAGGGCCGGAGGACACCGCGGGAGAUGACGAAGGGAUCAAACUGGCUGCUGAAGAGUCGCGGGAGGCAGCAACUGGAGUGCCAGCAGGAGCAGCCAUGGCAGCCGAAGUGGGUAACCCAGGAGCAAUGCUCGUAGAAGUAGCUGCCGUGGCACCAGAAUUCGUUGCCAUGGCAGCUGAAUUGGGCGCCGCGGCAGCUGAACUGGGCGACCCGGUAGAAGAAGCAGCAGCCGUGGCAACCGGUGAAGGUGAUGCAGGGGCAGCCACGGAUGGACUUCCAGCAGCCGAAGGGGCGGCCGCUGGGCCAUGCGGACGAGAGGCCGGCGACGUGGGAACCACCAGAGGAUCGGGCUGCAAGGGCACAACCGGCGGUGAGGGAGUCUCCAAUAGCAUGUUCCUGAAAGGAAAAACGCACUCGUCGAAUACAACGUGGCGUGAUGUUAGUACACGGCGACUGACCGGAUCAUAGCAGCGGUAUCCACGGUGAUCGGGAGGGUAACCAAAGAAGACACAAGCAAGGGAGCGGGGAGAAAGUUUAUGAGGAGCAGUGGAGGUGAUGUUGGGGUAGCAAAGGCAUCCGAAAACAUGAAGGUGAAAGUAGUCAGGUGGUGAACCAAAAACAAGUUGAUGAGGUGGAAGAUUAUUGUGUGGGCGACAAGGGCGAAAAUUCAGAAGAUAGGUCGCGGUAUUUAGUGCUUCGGCCCAAAACCUAGGAGGCAUGUGAGCAUGAAAUAGUAGUGUGCGUACACUAUCGUUCAAUGUGCGAAGUAUGCGUUCGAUGCGACCAUUCUGUUGCGAGGUGUAAGGUCAUGUGAGCCGAAGAUGCAUGCCGUGCUAUGCAAAGAAGGUGCGUGAAGCAUUAUUAUCAAAUUCACGACCAUUGUCAGUUUGAAAAGCUAAGAUGUAGCGUUGAAAUUGGGUGGCGACAAAAGCAUGAAAACGAAAAAUAGUGGGAAAAACAUCCGAUUUGCGACGCAACGGAAAAGUCCAAACAUAGUGAGAGUAGUCAUCGAGCAUCACAAGAUAAUACUGAAAUCCCGAAACACUUACGAUAGGAGAUGUCCAAACAUCACAAUGAACAAGAGCAAAAGGAAAACUUGCUUGACUAUCGGAUUGUUUGAAAGGUAAACGAACGUGCUUCCCCAAUCUACAAGCAUGACACGUUGUAGGGGGUGAUUUUUUACAAGUAAAAUCAAACGAAGAAAGUGUUCUGGAAAGAGCAUCAUGUCCGGGGUGACCAAGACGUUGGUGCCAAAGAUCGGUGGUGCCGGCGAGAAGAGCUUGAUGGCUGGCGAUAUGCGGAUAGAGAUCGUCGUCGCUGUUACAUCGGAGAAUCACCGCGCGGGUACGACGAUCCUUGACAGAAAAACCGAGCUCAUCAAAUUCAACAUUAACAGGAUUUAUACGAGUUAAAAGACGAACUGAAAUAAGAUUUUUAAUCAGAUUAGGAGUGACUACUACAUCACGUAAAGAGAGAGGAAAAGAGGAGGUAGGGAGAGAAGCACUGCCGAUGUGAGUAAUGGGAAGGGAGUCUCCGUUUCCGAAUAUGACAUAGGAAAGAUUGGAAGAAGGACAGAAAGAAGAGAGGAUACCGGGAUCGCUGGCCAUGUGGGCAGUCGCGCCUGUGUCAAAGAACCAGUUGGAGCCGCCGCCGCCGGCACCGCCCUGCUGCAAGGAGAGGUUGUUGAGGGCGGCGUGGAGCUGCGUUUGAUCCCAUGCAGGGGGUUGAUGCUGCUGAGGCGCUGGAGCAUAGCCAUUGUAGACCGCUGGAGCACCAAGGCCCGGCUGUCCUAUAUGGGCAGCGUACGCCUGGGGCGUGGAGACGCCAGGGCGUGGGCCAAGAAGACCGGCGCCUGGAGCACGCCAGUUCGGUGGCCACGCCUGAAACAUGCCGGACAGCGGAUAGCUGCCGACGGGCCAAAACAGCGCGGCCGAGUCCCGCGCUGCAGGAGCGCCAGGGGCGCCGGUAGGGGCACCAUGGCCUUGCUGUUGCUGCUGUUUCUUGCGGCCCUUGCCACGGCCGCGACUACCCGAGACAGCAGCAGGUGGAGCAGGCGCGGUUGGGCGAGGCGCCGGGGCAGCCGGCGGUGCAGGCGUGGGGGGGCCGGAGAAGCGGUUGGCGACAAGGGCGGUCGCCUGGAUAUGCUGUGCAUGGCGGGCGAGGCACCGUUCCUCCUGCAAAAGAGCGCCACGAGCACGGGCGAAAGUCAGUCCAGCAGGGUUGAUGGUGAGGGCGGCGAUGCAGUGGCCGAACUCGCCGUUCAGCCCGUUGAUGAACGUGGUGAGCAUGUCCUGGUCGGUGACCGGAGUGCCCACGUCGCGAAGUGUGUCGGAGAGACACUUGAGACGGCUGGCGAAGGCGGUCACCGAGAGAUCUCCUUGGACGAGGUUGAGGAAGUCUCGCUUGGCGAAGCAGGAGCGUUGAAGACGGUUGUCGUGGAAGAGGUCGGUGAUGACGGUCCAACCGUUGGCGGCGGUGUCGGAGGGCCGGAUGAUGAUCUCGAGGAUAUCUUCGGAGACAGUGGUGUAUAGCCAGGAGACGAUACAUUGAUCGAUCUGGGUCCACUCGACGUCGCCCAGCGCCAUAAGAGCGUCAACGGAACCAUCAAUGUGAUCGAGAAGACCGAGCUUGCGGAAAGUGAGGUUGAAGAAGGUUUGCCAGAUGCAAAAGUUGGACUCGUCGAAGUCGAGGAUGACGGUGACGUGGUUGCGUAUGUUGAUGAGUUGGAUGUCGGUGGCAGUAGGAGCAGCAGGAUUGACAGAGCUAGCGGCAAAGGGGUUGGAGGGUUGGGACCCGGAUGCGAGGGAGGAGUUGGGAGUAGAGGCGAAGUCGCCGAAAUCCAUGGCUAUGGCAGCAACGACGGGCAGGGCUGGUGGCUAGGGGUGCAGCGGAAGCAAGUCACGGGAAGGAAAGAAAAACCGAUACCAUGUAGACUAGAUAGUUUAGGAGAAUAUGAUCGCAUGCAUUAGAGGCCCAGAGGGCGCACAUAUAUACAGUUACAUUGCCAGCCUAUACUUGUCCUCCAAGAUCUAAUCCUAGUUUAAAAGGAAAGAAUAGAUAUGGAGGUGCAGAUAGGAAGGUUAGGAUUACAUCACGUAUGUACGCUAAUACAUGCUACCUUAUUCUUACACUCUCCACUCGCCGUCGCCGUCCUCGGCCACUCGCCGUCCCGACCUCUCCACUCGCCUCCUCUGGCCAGCCAACCAUAGUGACAUCGUUCCUCUGACACGCUCGUCCGCUCCGGAUCCAGAUCCACGGCCCCAUUCGCCAUUGCAUGGUAGGGAGCGCUUUAUCUUGUGUUCUAGAGCCUGGAUCUCACGGCAUACCCCUUUUUGUGUGUGAUGCAGCUUCUAGGGAGGGAUGUUGAACGGACAGAUUGAGGCCGUGCCACCGUUCAGGACAGGCUGCUGGUGCUGGCCGUGGACGGGCUGCCGGUGGCAGCGCCGCUCAACGGCCGUCGCUGCUGUCCACUCGGCUCGGACAACUACACCGUUAUCCAGAUGACCUUAGCCCGCCCCGCCUCCACCUCCGCACUGGCCAUGACGCCGUGACGCCCCAGCCGCCUAGGUGCUGCUGCACUUGUCUAGUACUUCUCGCAUUUUUGUUUGCUGGACGACCAGUAUAAGGGUCUCAGAUUCAGUACAAUGUUACACUUCUGCACAAAUCGCUGUUGCCAUUGCCGAGAAUUGGUGUGUGCAUUGCCUUGCCUUGAGCGUGAGUUAGUUAUUUUGCCAAAUGAGCCGUUCAACUAGAUAGUUGGAUUCGGAUGAUAGUGUAGAUUUAUACUCCCUCCGUCCCGAAAUACUUGUCAUCAAAAUGAAUAAAAAGGGAUGUAUAUAGACAUAUUUUAGUUUUAGAUACACCCUUUUUUAUCCAUAGAUACAUCCCCUUUUAUUCAUUUUGAUGACAAGUAUUUUCGGACGGAGGGAGUAGGAACUAAUUAGAAGUAGUACAAACACACGGGAUGUUCAUUUCAAGUUUUUAGCUACAUACUAGCUGUGAACUGUUUGAGAGCUCCCUCGCUCUACAACUUCAGAAUUUUAUAGCCUUUUGCAGUUGCUUCUUUCAUGUAGAGCUCAGGACAUUAAGUACAGGGUUGUAAAAUUCCCAUGACUUCUGUUUGUUUGUAGAGUAUCUUCUAUUUAAUGCCAUCAUGUCAACUUCCUAAAUAUAAUGAUGACACUGUUUUCUUGGGGAUAGUUAUAACUGAAGAAUACUUUCAGGUUUCCAAACCUUGGAAAUAUGAGUGAUUCUCUUUAGAACUGUAUACAUUCCAAGGGAUACGAAAGUAAGGUUAGGAUCCCAGAACAUCUGCAAGUACAAUUUUAGAACCUUCAGGUAGUAGCGCUCCUUUUAUUUUUGAAUGGAAAAAAAGAUCCAUUAUACCUUAUUAGAUAAUGCAAAGUUCAGUUGUAUUUUUCUAGUCUAAGUUGGUCACUGUGCUAGUAGAAAAUGUUACUGGUUAAAGGAUAAUUUUGUAUUUGUCUUGCACUGCGAGCCUCUUAUUGAUGAAGCUAUUUAGUAUAUACGCCCAGUUAUCUUCAUAAUUGUUUCUGUAUUCUUAUCUAUGGUUUAUUUCCUUUAGCUUAAUUAGCUCAGUCAGAGGGUUCUAUGGUCUAUAGACUAAAUACUUGAAAGCUGCUCUUCAUCAUCUUUAUUUUCGCUAAAUCCGAUAGUGGCAUCGGAUCCUCUGCAAGCUAAGAUAUUAUAUUAUCCCACUAGGUUCACACAUUUAGGAUGGAGAAAUUUAAUAGAUAUUUGUGGGAAUUGGUAUCCUUAGCAUCUAAACCAAUUCUUAGAAAGUAUAUAAUAAUCCAAAUCUAACCUGAAUCUUUGGAUUUUAGGGGAGAUAUCCAUGUUUUUCAAUUUUAUACACUGAUGCGCAUGCCCAUGCACUUGUCUUAAAUAUUGUGUUUCUCCUAUUACUCCCCAAAACUAUUAGAAUUUCGUAGGGAUUUACACAUGCUAUGACCAAAGCAACAUGUGAUCUGUUCCAUUGCUGACACAUAUUUAUUACUUCUGUCUUGUGUGAGAAGUAAUAAAUCAAUUGGCAUUUGCCUUGCCGUUGCAGGCAAGCUCGUCGUUGACUUGAGUAUAAUUCUGCACUGACUGCUUGUUCAAUGACUAGUCAUGUCAGCCCGGGUUCUCUGCCAUAUGGAUACUAGUAACAUAAUCAUAUACUUAGCAUUUUUUCCUCCAAAAUGACUCAAUAUGCUUAGCUAGCUCAAAAAUGACAUAAUAAGCUUAAUUAGCUCCAAAAUGACAUAUUUAACCUAUGAUAGCUUUAAAAUGACCUAUACUUAGCAUUUUCCCUCCAAAAUGACUUAAUAUGCUUAGCUAGCUUAAAAAUGAUAUAUUUAACCUAGGAUAGCUCUAAAAUGACCUAUACUUAGCAUCUUUUCCUCCAAAAUGACUUAAUAUGCUUAACUAGCUCUAAAAUGACAUGAUAUGCUUAAGAAAUGACAUAUUUUAGCUCCUAAAUGACUUCAUAUGCUUAGCUAGCUCCGAAAUGACAUAAUGACCUUACUUAGCUCCAAAAUGACCUAUUUUAGAGAUAUAAGUUGCAUCAUAAUAAUCUUCACAUUUUAGUUGCAUCAUAAUAAUCUUCUUCUUCUAGUCUUCUUCUUCUAACUUUCUUCUUUCCCAUUUUACAGAUUUGCUUAAGAUCACGGAAGCUUAGGUUGAUGGAGUGCUUGUAUUUAGUUUUUGUUUUGACCUUGUGAAACUUGCUACCUAUGGAUGAAACUGUGUAAUAUUGAUGAAACUAUGUAUAUGUACGGAUGAAACUUGCUACUAUUGGUAACAUGUGUUGGAUAUAUAUAUGUGUUCAUGACUAUUGGUAAUAUGUGUUGAAUAUGUUAUAUUGGUCAUAUAAAUAUAUUUGUGUUUGAUUUUCUGUGAAAAUAAAUUGAUAUAAGAAAAAAUUAAAUUAAAUGGGGCAAUAUAGGCACUUUGCCAUUUGCUGGCAGAUGGCAAAGAGCUUUGCCAUCAGCUGGCAGAUGGCAAAGAGGCCACGUGUCAU
rnacentral:lncRNA from 1 species